rnacentral:lncRNA from 1 species
GAGGCAUAUGCUCAUAGAGUUUACAUCCAUAGGCAAAUGACACAACAUAUAUUAUUAUAUCUCAAUCAUGGCAGUACAUCAACCAGGCAGCAACAUGGCAUCCACCAUGAUAUCUUUUAUUGUAGCAACGAAAGAAAAUACACACAAGCACAUAAACAAACUGACACACGGGUUUGGAUACUCUCAAUGGGAUCCAGUUUUAUUGAGCACGAAGGCAAGACAUAACUUUGGCCUAUGAAAUUUCAGACCAUGCUUAUCCAUUAUUAGUCAUCAAGAUCAAGGGAUGCCAGGAGAGCAUCCCCCUUACAUAAACUAUCACAAGCAUCACCGCAAAGUUUCAUCUCUUCACUGUUUGUAGCUGGUGCCAAAAAAAACAUAGCAUGCGUCAAUUACUAACUUUUCAAUUAGUUUGUACAUACAAAUGAAAUAUAAAUAUAUUCAGAUGGAUUUAUUUACCUAUGUUGACCAUGACCUUGUCGUCACACACGGAAGCCCUACAUUCUAAGCUGCAAUUCUCAAUGGUGUUUAGUUCAUCUGCCAAAACGAAAUAGAUCUGUAUUAGCUAUCUUCACAACUACUUUUUGGGAUCACGGAAACAUUAUUCAUGUCAAAUAUGAUCGUACAAAUAUCAACUAAACAAAUUAAUGAUAGUUGAUAUUAUUUUAGUGGGUAAACUUGGGAAAAUUUUAAUUUGACCGUACUCUUUUAGGAUCAUGUCUACUUCAAAAAGGAGAUAGUAUAUACUUAUUUCGUCCCAAUGGGACAGGGAGUAGUAUAUACUCCGUCUCAUAUUAAUUAUUGCUCAAACAAAUGUAUUUAAGCAUUAGUGCAAGAUAGAUCCGAUUGAGCGGUAAUUAGUAUAUGAGAUGGAGGGAGUAUAAAUUAAAAGUAGUAGUGAGUUGAGUGUCUUUACCGGAGCUGCGUACAAAGGCCAAGUCAGCGGGGAGGUAACAGCCACAGAAGUUUGCGCACUGAAACACUAUACUAGGACCCAGAAGGCAAGAAUGGUAGCAGGCCCCUUUGAAGAUGCUGCCGCCGCCUAUAUAAAACAAUAAUCCCUGGUUAAUCUCUAAGGUCCAUUUAGAUGCAUGACAAAUGGGGAUAAGUUUAGUACCAUACUGCUAGAAUAAUGAGAGUGAGACCCCUUUACGAGGAAUGCUCUAUCACAUGCCAUUAGGAGCUUGAAAAGAGGAGUUGUACACGCGCUCUUCUCCUCCUCCGCACGCCUUCACUGCCUUCUUUUCUGUUGCUUUGUGACUACUGGGUUUAUCCUCCGCUUUAAUUUUCCCUAUCUCCCUCAGGGUAGAACGGGCUUUUUCAUACAAGCUGCAGAGCUUGAGGCCCGGCAGCAUGCUGGGGCGUUCGGCGAGGAGGAACACCAUGUAAUCUGACAUCGCCUUGAUUGCCUUACCAUGAUCUUAGAGUGCUUCUAGGACCCAAGUGUGGUUCCACGAGAGGAAAACAUCCGUAGCAAUGUGCCAGAUGAGGACGGCCUCUUGAAGCUCAGGAGGGAAUUCGCCUGACUGAUCCGUGGGCUUGAAGGCAGCAGUUUGCUUCUUGGGGUUGUCGAGCAUGGAACCAGUGUGGACAUUCCUCCAGAGAUAAGCUUGCUCAUAGGGUUAGAGAUAAGCUUGCUCAUAGGGUUCACGCGGGGCUUGAUCAUACCUCCAGUGAUCAUCGGUUUGUUGCUCGUAGGCUCUGGGCGAAGCCUUUGCAACUUCCUCGUCAAGGUGGUGCACUAGUGCAGAACCGGCCUUUAGUGCUGGUUCGUAACGGCCUUUAGUGCCGGUUUGCCAACCGGCACUAAAGAGUGGGGACUAAAGGUCCCCCUCCCUCUUUAGUACCGGUUCGUCACGAACCGGCGUUAAAAUGACACCACGUGGCACGAGCCAGGCCCUGUGAGCGUAGGACAUUAGUNNNNNNNNNNNNNNNNNNNNNNNNNNNNNNNNNNNNNNNNNNNNNNNNNNNNNNNNNNNNNNNNNNNNNNNNNNNNNNNNNNNNNNNNNNNNNNNNNNNNNNNNNNNNNNNNNNNNNNNNNNNNNNNNNNNNNNNNNNNNNNNNNNNNNNNNNNNNNNNNNNNNNNNNNNNNNNNNNNNNNNNNNNNNNNNNNNNNNNNNNNNNNNNNNNNNNNNNNNNNNNNNNNNNNNNNNNNNNNNNNNNNNNNNNNNNNNNNNNNNNNNNNNNNNNNNNNNNNNNNNNNNNNNNNNNNNNNNNNNNNNNNNNNNNNAUAUAUAUCAUCGAAUGUCUCACAACCAACACCAUUAAUUAUUCACACAUACACAUGUAUAUACAUAUACAAUUUCUCCUACAUGUUGCCUUGGUGCCUCCGGAGCACGAUGACAAGUGGUUCAUGGGGGCGGUAGCGGGUAAUAGUAUUCUCCUUUGGGAUCUAUGACCUGGUCGAGCAAAAAUCCGGCUAUUUCCUCUUGAAGUGCUAGUACGCGGUCCGAUGGUAAGAACUUAUCCCGCACCUCUCUGAACUGUUAAGAAAGAGAUCAAUAUGCAUGUGUAUUAGUUGUGUGACUAAAUAUCGAUAAUGGUGUGAAUAGUGUUCUGACAAACAUACCCACUCCUGUCUAUCAGAUCUGCUCCUUUCGGAUGCCAUCAUGUGAAUGUUCUCGUAAACGUAGAAUGCACACAGAUUAUUCCCCGACGCCUGCUUCAGGGCCUUUACGAGAAUGGAAUUGAAUCAGAUAAUGAUUAAUCAAGCAUGAUAAUUAAUUAAUGAUAUUGAAACAAGAAUUAAAGAGAUGGUAGCUAGCUAGUACUACUUAAUUACUUACCUUUGGUCGAUGCCAAAACUUUUUUGCCCAUUUGCCUGGAGUCACCUUGAUGAACUUUGCCCAUGCCCUGCCCGCCGGCAAAGAAAAUUAAUAAAGGGGUUAUUAAAUAGUUCAUAUCAGGAAAUGACGAACUAAUAAUAGGCCGAGAUAUAGUUAAUAAUGAUUGAAAUUAUCUGUUGACUAUCCCCUUCACGAUGGUGUAGUCUUUAUCUUCUUUAGUUAGUGAGUCCAGUAAUUCAACUUUUCCUUCCUCAACUUUAAUGUCUAACAAGAUCCAGUGCCAACUGCAUGUGCACACGUUUGCAUGUCUUAAUUAAGCAGGCAUGUGCAUAGAAUUAAUCAACUACCAUAAAACGUAUACACUUAAUUAUUAACAUCUAGCUAGCUAGUAAGCAAAAACAGAAUUUGUAGUGCAAGACAGUGUGACUCACGGGAAGUUGUAAGGAAGUAGUAUAUCUUCAUUGGUAUUGAGGCGCUUCAAGAACUUUAGCAUGCUUUCCUCUACACUUGCUUGAUAAACUGGAAGCUUCCAUGUGUACUCAUUAAUGGUAUUUGGGUCAAUGAACCCAAUGCCAUAGCGUCCAGAUUUUUUCAUUUCAUACAUCUUCAUCCUGUAUAUAAUACCACAGAAAAGAAUAUAGUGAGGAUAAUUACAUGUAAUGAUUGAUCAAAAUUAUCACUACAUAACUAGCUUGAGACUUAAAUUACAGAAAGAAAUCAUUUACACAUAAUAACAACUGACAAUAGACUUGUCGAGUGCGUCUUGAUUGUAUAACUUAAAUAGUUCUGAAUACUCAACGGCCAGAGCUUUCUCAAGGUAGUAAUGCUCACGCUUGACAUUUACCAUGAGGGACUCUCGAUUGGAAAUCUUGAUAAUGUUCAUGUACCAUUAAUGCAAUUCAUACAUUCUCGUUGGGAGGUCCUUGACCUUGUAUGGAUGGACCAAAGGUUGGCCCCGGACAUAUUUCUGUUUUAUUUCCGAUUCUCUAAGCGGAGACAUGGGCUCGAUUUCGAGGAGUUGUCCAACAGAGAUCUUGAGCAUUUCAGCCUGCAUUAUAUGCUCCUCUGUUAUUACCACAUCGCCCUGCUGGGGAAUGCUAACGCUUUGCCCACAAUAAUAUUUGGCGCACGUACUCCUCUCAUGUGUUGUUGGCACAACAAGCGGGGGGAUCGCUUGCGUCGUCUGUUCUCCCAGCUGGGGAACGGUUUUCCUGCAUUUUUUGCUAGCUGCUUGUUGGCUCGAGCUCGAGCUCGCUUCCUUCUGUAGCCAUGCUCGAUGUAGCUUCCUGAUUUGACGCUCAUAGUCUGAGUCAACAGGCUUGGGAGCUGGUGCUCUAGCCAGACGAAUGAAGUGGUCAAUCGUUUUCUCAGGCACUUUCUCCUUUGGCGGCGGUGCCGGUUUCGGUCCAAAAUGGGCGUCCACUUGGGCCUGCACUAUGGCUGCGUUUUGCUCCUUGGUCAUGUCGUAAGGCCUCUGAGGAAGAGGAGCAAAGCUUGGACCAUAUUUAUAUCGCUUGUCUCCGCCUAUACUUCCUGUAUUACCUCAACUCGUACCGCUACGCACCAUAGCUGCGGCGUGUCUCUUCUGCGAUUCCUGAGACCGCGGAGACGGCUGACGUGGCUGACGCUGUGCCAGACUUGAAGCAGGAGGAGUGGCCUGAUGCUGUGCCGGACAUGAAGGAGGAGGAGUCUGCUCACGCGUUCGGGGACUUGGAGGAGGUGGCAGACUUCGAGGAGGAGUCGGCUCACGCGUUCGUGGACUUGGAGGAGCGGGAGUCUGCUGACUCGGUGACGGACUUCGAGGAGGAGUCGGCUCAUGCGUUCGUGGACUUGGAGGAGCGGGAGUCUGCUGACUCGGUGGAGGACUUCAAGGAGGAGUCAGCAGACGACGCGGUGUCGGUGGACUUGGAAAGAUGAUGCAAUCCUUUCUCUAUAGGAUGAUACGAUGUACGACCUCUCUCAGUGUGCGCUCACCGUCACCUCCAGCAAUGUCAAGUGCUAGCAUCGAAUAUGGCUCCACCACUUCAUCAACCAUGACACGAGCAUAGCCCUCUGGAAUCGGGAUGCAAUGGAAGGUUGCUUCAGGGGUAAUUGAAAGCAACGCCGUCCACCACCUUCAUGGAUAUGUUCUUCAUUUUGGAGUGUAGCUCACAGUUAGUGUUCUCUAUGAUGUCAUUCUCAGGGUGGUAUGUAUCCAGCAGUGUGUCGCCCGGGGCAGAACCAACGCUGCUUCUCAGCAUGGAUGGGAUGGUGCUAUCCAAUGAUGGACGAUCAUCCGCUUGCUGCUGCCACUGCUGAGACCCCCUUUCCUGGCUAAGUGAGUCGAUCUGCUGCUGCUACUGCUGGAAUUUAAGUGCCAAGUCUGUGUGACUUGCUUCUAGGCAUUGAAGGCGUUCUGCGUCCUGCUUCCUUUGCUCCUUGAUACGUCUCCAACGCAUCUAUAAUUUUUUAUUGUUCCAUGCUAUUAUAUUACCCCUUUUGGAUGUUUAUGGGCUUUAUUCUACACAUUUAUAUCAUUUUUGGGACUAACCUACUAACCGUAGGCCCAGCCCAUAUUGCUGUUUUUUCCUAUUUGAGUAUUUCGAAGAAAAGGAAUAUCAAACGGAGUCCAAACGGAAUGAAACCUUCGUGAGCGUUAUUUUUGGAACAAAUCUGAUCCGGAGAGCCUGGAGUGCAAGUCAAGAAAGCUCCGAGGGCCCCACGAGAUAGGAGGGCGCCCCCUGUAGGGCGCGCCCCCCUGUCUCGUGGGCCCCUCGGGCAUCCACCGACGUACUUCUUCCUCCUAUAUAUGUCCACAGACCCCGAAAACAUCCAGGAGCACCACGAAACACAAUUUCCACCGCCGUAACCUUCUGUAUCCGCGAGAUCCCAUCUUGGAGCCUUCGCCGGCACUCUGCUGGAGGGGGAAUCAAACACGGAGGGCUUCUACAUCAACACCAUAGCCUCUCUGAUGAGUUGUGAGUAGUUUAUCACAGACCUACGGGUCCAUAGUUAUUAGCUAGAUGGCUUCUUCUCUCUUUUUGGAUCUCAAUAUAAUGUUCUCCCCCUCUCUUGUGGAGAUCUAUUCGAUGUAAUCUCUUUUUGCGGUGUGUUUGUCGAGAUCCGAUGAAUUGUGGGUUUAUGAUCAAGUUUAUCUAUGAUAAUAUUGGAAUCUUCUCUGAAUUCUUUUAUGUAUGAUUGAGUUAUCUUUAGAAGUCUCUUCGAAUUAUUAGUUUGGUUUGGCCUACUAGAUUGAUAUUUCUUGCCAUGGGAGAAGUGUUUAGUUUUGGGUUCAAUCCUGCGGUGAUCUUACCCAGUGACAGAAAGGGUUACAAGACACGUAUUGUAUUGUUGCCAUCGAGGAUAACAAGAUGGGGUUUAUAUCAUAUUGCAUGAGUUUAUUCCUCUACAUCAUGUCAUCUUGAUUAAUGUGUUGCUCUGUUCUUAUGAACUUAAUACUCUAGAUGCAUGCUGGAUAGCGGUCAAUAUGUGGAGUAAUAGUAGUAGAUGCAGGCAGGAGUCGGUCUACUUGUUAUGGACGUGAUGCCUAUAUACAUGAUCAUGCCUAGAUAACGUCAUAAUAAUUCACUUUUCUAUCAAUUGCUCGACAGUAAUUUGUUCACCCACCGUAAUACUUAUGCUAUCUCGAGAGAAGCCUCUAGUGAAACCUAUGGCCCCCGGGUCUAUCUCUUAUCAUAUUUGCUUUCAAUCUACUUUUAUUUACAUACUUAUUUUCUGCAUCUAUAUUAUAAAAUACCAAAAAUAUAUUUAUCUUAUCAUACUUUCUCUAUCAGAUCUCACUUUCAUAAGUGACCGUGAAGGGAUUGACAACCCCUUUAUUGCGUUGGUUGCGAGUUCUCAGUUUAAUUUUGUAGGUGUGUGGGACUUUUUAGGAGCCUCCUACUGGAUUGAUACCUUGGUUCUCAAAAACUGAGGGAAAUACUUACGCUACACUUUGCUGCAUCACCCUCUCCUCUUCGGGGAAAACCAACGCUAGCUCAAGACGUAGCACUCCUCCUCUAGCUCCCUCUUCUCCUCCUCCUCCAUCUUCUUUCUUGCAUGGGACCUGUAGUCGUUGUUCCAGUCCGAAAAGCCCUCAUGCUAGGGAAUAACGCCCUUGCCGCGUGUUCUUCCCGGGUGUUCAGGAUUUCCCAAGGCACGCGUAAGCUCUUCGUUCUCUCUGUUGGGCGUGAACACCCCCGUUCGAGCUUCUUCUAUUGCGUCAAGUAUCUUUUGAUCGGCUCCUUUUGGACUUGCCUUCUGCGAAACUAGGUCUGUCUUCGGGUCCAACACCGCCCAUGCGCAUAGAACCAAGUUCUGCACCUGGGGGGGCAGCUCCUAGUAAUUGGAGUGACCCCUGCAUCCUCCAUCUCUUGCUCAGACUUAUCCCACUUAGGCAUUCCCACCGCGUAGCCACGUGGACCCAGCCUAUGGAACUGCGUCUUUUUGCAGUAUUGGCCUUGUUUUUUAUCGACCGUUCCUUAGAUAAUUCUGAAUCCUUGAAUUUCACGAAAUCGUCCCAGUGUUCUCUUUGCUUCUCCAGUGUUCCCGUGAAUUCUGGAGUCUUCCUUUUUGCAGCGAUGUAGUUGGCCCAUACAGUUUUCUUGUGGGUGUUGAAUGCAAUUGCCUUCUUCUUAAGAGCAGCGCCCUUGACUUUCUCCACAUCUGCUUUAGUGAAAUAAUCUGGUAGGGUGAAAUGUUCCAUCAGAGAAUCCCAAAGGUCUUUUUUUGCUCUGUCGUCGACCCAAGUAACACCUGGACGUUUAGUCUUUGGCUCUUUCCAUUCUUGAAUGGAGAUCGGGAGUUUGUCCUUCACAAGACCUCCGCACUAACAAGUCCACUUGUUUGCAAUGUUCUUAGGCGUCAGUGGUUCUCCACUAGGUUUGACGGAUUCGAUGUUGUACUUUACACCAUCCUUCAACAAUCUGCCCGGGCCUCGCUUUGUCCUGCUGUCUAUAGAAGCAGAUUUGCUCGAUCCGGAGGGCUGAAAGAAGGAAGAUCGAUUCGUUCAUAUAUCUUAAAAAAACAUGUGAUGAUCACCAGAUGCCUGCUUAUACAAAUAUACCUCGCUGGUAGUCUUUGUUAUUUGAAGAUCAGCAUUCUCUGUGUCAUCAUAAACAUUGUUUGUAUCAUCAUAAUCAGAAUCAUAGUUCAUGACUUCAUCAGCUCGGACGUCGAGAUCGAAUAUCUUUUCAUCACCCUCUCCGGUAUUGUUCAGAUAUUGGGAGCUGACAUCUGCUUCAUUCAGAUCAUCUAGCCUGCCAGGGCUGCAUAUGAUGUCGAACAAUUCCUCUUCUCUAUCUCUGCCGGUAUUGUCCGCCAUAGCUUUUACUUAACUGAUACAAAAGAAAUAUAGAACAAUUUAGUAUUCAAAUUACAAUGCAUGGAUGCAAUCAAUAAGGAAAAACUGAAUCAUAUAGUACAUAAUAUAUAUGCAUCGUCUCGAUUAAUAUAUAAUUUCAUAUAUACAUCAUCGUCUCGAAUAAUAUAUAUAAUCUCGAAUACAUCAUCUCGAAUAUUAUUUUGCUUUAUCUAUUUUUGUUUUAUUUAUUUUUGAGUUGUUUUUUGCUGUAUUUAGAGUUUCUUUCUGGAUGUUUUUUAUUUAGGUACAAAAAAUUACAAACUUUCUGUUAGUGCCGGUAGUUUUCAAAUUUGAAUAGUUUAACUUUUGAAUUAUUUGAAAUUUGUGUGAAUCACUAGUUUGUGAAUAACACAUAACUACCCUAACUAUUACAGAGAUUCCCUCCUGGGUGUGAAACACAGAAGAAAGUGAAGAUAGUGAAGCCGAUCAUAUCCCGGAUCUUUGGGUGUGAAACAUUUUCUUCGCGUGUGUCCCUUUGCACCGUAGCCAUGGAAAAUCUUCAUCAUUUAACUGGAUGCUCGGGUCAAUAUUCACUGUGAAUGGAGCAAUUUCAUCAAACUUAUCAUAAUCUUCUAACAUGUCUGUCUUGUCAUCCACUCCCAUGAUGUUUCUUUUCCCUAAAAGAACUAUGUGGCGCUUUGGCUCGUCGUAUGAUUCAUUCGCUUCCUUAUCUUUUCUUUUUCUCGGUCUGGUAGACAUGUCUUUCACAUAAAAAACCUACGCCACAUCAUUGGCUAGGACGAAUGGUUCUUCUGCAUACGCAAGAUUGUUGAGAUCCACUGUUGUCAUUCUGUACUGCGGGUCUUCCGUUACCCCGCCUCGUGUCAUAUUGACCCAUUUGCACCAGAACAAAGGGACCUUCAAACCACCUGCAUAGUUAAGUUUUCAUAUGUCCUCUAUGUAACCAUAAUAUGUUUCCUUUCCCGUGUUGGUUGUUGCAUCAAAGCGGACAUCACUGUUUUGGUUGGUGCUCUUCUUAUCUUGGGCGAUCGUGUAAAAUGUAUUCCCAUUUAUCUGGUACCCUUUGAAAGUCAUUAUAUUCGAAGAGUAACUGGGACAACGAGUAUACGUCAUCUUCAAUAUCGCCAUCAUGCAUGGCACGUUUCUGCAACCAACCGGCGAAAGUCCUCGUUUGUUCACGUGUAAUCCAGUCGUCAGACUUCUCCGGGUGUUUGGAGUGUAGAAAAUUCUUGUGUUCCUCCAUAUACGGAGCCACCAAGGCGGAAUUCUGUAGAACUGUGUAGUGUGCUUCAGUGAGAGAAUGCCCGUCCAUACAUAUUAUUUGAUCCCCUCCUAGCGUGCCUUUUCCAUCCAGUCUGCCCUUAUGUCGCGAUUCAGGAACACCAAUCGGCUUAAGGUCAGGAAUAAAGUCAAUACAAAACUCAAUGAACUCCUCAUUUUCAUGGCCCUUCGCGAUGCUUUCUUCUGGCCUAGCACAGUUAUGAACAUAUUUCUUCAAGACUCCCAUGAACCUCUCAAAGGGGAACAUAUUGUGUAGAAAUACAGGACCCAAAAAGUUAAUCUCUUCGUAAAGGUGAACUAGGACGUGCGUCAUGAUGUUGAAGAAGGAUGGUGGGAACACCAACUCAAAACUGACAAGACAUUGCACCAAAUCAUUUUGUAACCUUGGUAUGAUUUCUGGAUCGAUUACCUUUUGAGAGAUGGCAUUGAGGAAUGCACAUAGCUUCACAAUGGCUAAUCGAACGUUUUCCGGUAGAAGCCCCUCAAUGCAACCGGAAGCAGUUGCGUCAUAAUCACGUGGUAGUCAUGAGACUUUAGGUUCUGGAACUUUUUCUCUGCCAUAUUUAUUAUUCCCUUUAUAUUCGAUGAGAAGCCAGACGGUACCUUCAUGCUGAGAAGGCAUUCAAAGAAGAUUUUCUUCUCUUCUUUGGUAAGAGCGUAACUGACCCUGAUGUAUGUCGUCUUUUCCGCGCAUAUGUUGCUGGUCCUCCCGUGCCUCUGGUGUAUCUUUUGUCUUCCCAUACACGCCCAAGAAGCCAAGCAGGGUCACGCAAAGAUUCUUCGUCACGUGCAUCACGUCGAUUGCGGAGCGGACCUCUAGGUUUUUCCAAUAGGGCAGGUCCCAAAAUAUAGAUUUCUUCUUCCACAUGGGCGCGCGUCCGUCAGCGUCCUUUGGAACAGGUUGUCCGCCAGGACCCUUUCCAAAGAUUACCUUCAAAUCCUUGACCAUAUCAUGUACAUCAGCACCAGUACGGUGGCGAGGCUUCGUCCGGUGAUCCGCCUCACCUUUGAAAUGCUUGCCUUUCUUUCUUACGGGAUGCCUGCUCGGAAGAAAUCGACGAUUUCCCAGGUACACAUUCUUCCUACAACUCUCCAAAUAUAUACUGUCAGUAUCAUCCAAAUAGUGCAUGCAUCCGCGGUAUUCCUUGUUUGUCUGUCCUGAAAGGUUACUGAGAGCAGGCCAAUCAUUGAUGGUCACGAACAGCAACGCCUUUAGGUCAAAUUCUUCCUGUCCGUGCUCAUCCCACGCACGUACACCUGUUCCAUUCCUCAGCUGUAAUAGUUCUUCAACUAAUGGCCUUAGGUACACAUCAAUGUCGUUGUCGGGUUGCUUAAGGCCUUGGAUGAGCACUGGCAUCAUAAUAAACUUCCGCUUCAUGCACAACCGAGGAGGAAGGUUAUAUAAACAUAGAGUCACAUGCCAUGUGCUAUGGUUGCUGCUCUGCUCCCCAAAAGGAUUAAUGCCAUCUGCGCUUAGACCAAACCAUACAUUCCUUGGGUCACCUGCAAACUCCUCCCUGUACUUUCUCUCGAUUUUUCUCCACUGUGAACCGUCAGCGGGUACUCUCAAUUUUUCGUCUUUCUUACGGUCUUCUUUGUGCCACCGCAUCGCCUUCACAUGCUCUUUGUUUUGGAACAAACGUUUCAACCGUGGUAUUAUAGGAGCAUACCACAUCACCUUGGCAGGAAUCUUCUUUCUGGGGCGCUCGCCCUCGACAUCACCAGGGUCAUCGCGACUGAUCUUAUAACGCAAUGCACCACAUACCGGGCAAGCGUUCAAAUCCUUGUACGCACCGCGGUAGAGAAUGCAGUCAUUAGGGCAUGCAUGUAUCUUCUGCACCUCUAACCCUAGAGGGAAGACGACCUUCUUUGCUUCAUACGUACUCUCGGGCAAUUCGUUGUCCUUUGGAAGCAUAUUCUUUAUCAUUACCAGCAACUUUCCAAAUCCCUUGUUAGAUACACCAUUCUCUGCCUUCCAUUGCAGCAAUUCCAGUGUGGUGCCCAACUUUUUUUUGUCAGCUUCGCAAUUCGGGUACAACAAUUUCUUGUGAUCCUCUAACAUGCACUGCAACUUCUUCCUCUCCAAAUCACUUGCGCAAUUUCUCUUUGCAUCGGCAAUGGCCCGACCUAGAUCAUCAGCGGGCUCAUCUGAUGCCUCUUCUUCAGCUUGUUCCCGCAUUGCCGGCUCAGCUUCUUCCUCCAUUGUUGUAUCAUCGUAUUCAGGGAACCCAUGGCCAGGAUAGAUGUCGUCGUCCUCUUCUUCUUCAUUGUCUUCCAUCAUAACCCGUCUUUCUCCAUGCUUGGUCCAAACAUUAUAGUGGGGCAUGAAACCGGACUCAAAUAGGUGAACGUGAAUGGUUCUUGCCGUAGAGUAAUUGUGACCAUUCUUACAGCUAGCACAUGGACAAGGCAUAAAACCACCCGUCCGCUUGUUUGCCUCAGCGGCAAGCAGAAAUGUAUGCACACCAUUAAUGAACAAGGAAGAGCAUCGGUCAUCAUACAUCCAUUGUCGGCUCAUAUCUUCAUUAUACACAACACCGAAUAGACCAAAUUAAUACAAGUUCAUACAUAAAGUUCAUAUACAACACUUAAUUAAAUGCAACAUACAAAGAUCUCUCUAGCUAAAGAAUUUAAAUGCAACAACAAAUGCGAUCAAGAUCGCAACUAAGGUAACAAUUGAUCCAACAUCAUAAUGAUACCAAGCCACACUAUCAAUGGCAUAUUUUCUAAUCUUUCUAAUCUUCAACCUCAUUCUUUCCAUCUUGAUCUUGUGAUCAUCGACGACAUCGGCAACAUGCAACUCCAAUUCCAUCUUCUCCCCCUCAAUACUUUUCAAUUUUUCUUUCAAAUACUCGUUUUCUCUUUCAACUAAAUUUAACCUCUCGACAAUAGGGUCGGUUGGAAUUUCCGAUUCACAUACCUCCUAGAUAAAAAUAUCUAUGUCAACUUGAUGGGCAUAAUUUGUCAUAAACACGAAAUGCAACAACUAGUUUUAAAAGAGAAUAUACCACAUCCGAAUCAUAACAAGGACGAGGGCCGAUGAAGACGGAUAUCAAAACCAUGGCACUAUGUAUAACAAACAACGUACGGGUAAGACAAUUAUACGAGUAACUAUAUAUCCAAAUCACACAAACAUCAAUUUGGUAAUGUAAAACAUUCAUGAACAAGAACCUCACCAAAAGGUGGUGCCGGCGACGGGACGGUGCGGGCGAUCGACGGUGGUUACGACGGAGAUUUAGAAGGCACUAAGUAAACCACACCUACAUAUGCAAACUAAGUGUUAUUUUUGACCUCAAAUUGCAUAUAAAUCAAAUACUAGCAAAUAUAAUUCCUCCCAAAUUAAUCACUAUACAAAGCAUUGCAAGAGCUAAUCUAGCAAUGAGAGUUGAAAGGACAAAGUUGCUAAAGGGGCUGGACGGGCCCCAGACUGACAACAUCCUGCCACCACUCUCUUUAGUACCGGUUCGUGGCACGAACCGGUGUUAAAGGUUCGCCACGAACCGGUACUAAUGAGAGCGGCCGGCUAACCGUUGGAACCAGCACUAAUGUGUCUCAGAUUUGCCCCUUUUUCUAUUAGUGGUGGUGCGGCCUUGCGGGCGCACCGUAUGUCUCUUGAUCAAUUGUCACAUUUCUCAUACAGGAACAGACUUUCCUUGGGUAGGGCGGCCAUGUAGGAGGCUCAUUGAGCAUACCCUUGCAGAUCCGCUGCCUGGGGUAGAAUGGCACCGGAGGAUGCUCAUUGUCCAUACCAUUGCAGAUCCGCUCCCUCGGGUAGAACGGCCACAAAGGAGGCUCACUGUCCAUGUCCCUGCAGAUCGGCUCCCUGGGGCACAACGGCCACGAAGGAGGCAGAUUGCCCAUAGAGUUGCAGAUCCGCUCCCUGGAUACUGGAGUCCUUUGAUGCUUACCGGUGUCAAUGCAGUUGUUCUGCUUGGCAUGAGGCACAUGUACAGUACAACUGGGGGGCUUCAUGGUCCACUCACACGGGCACUUCUCGGGGGCUCGGCGCGCGGCCCUGGAGACUUUUGAUGCCCACCUAUGGAUGGGUUAUGGGACUGCAGCCCUUGAUGCCCAUCGACUUUGGAAGAGGAGUUCCGCCGCCCUUGAAACCCUUCCUGGUGGAGGAGCUUGGGGUUGGGGGCUUGGAGGCCCAUCUGAAGUGCCACUCGACUGUGGGUUGACCCCUUGUGUCAAGGGAGCAGGGAAUAACUCUGCAUAUAUAACAUUGAACACCAGCUUCUUGACAUAGUCGGAAAUCUCCAGGCCCUUCGAGUGGUGUUUCAAUUCAGUCUCCAGUCUAGAUAUGUUGUAUAUGCUGUAUAGGUUGCGCCUCCCACCUCCUGUAGCUUUUGUGCUUCUUGGCAGAGUCACAUGUCCACAGCCACAAGGAGAGCCGGGAGAGAGGCAGGGACACGACCCAACGACGGAGCUUGUGCCAUCUCUUUCGGCACAAAACUUGAUGAUUCAACCAACUGUGUGGCCCCUUGAAGAAUGAGUAUGUCCAGGUUGAAGCUAGUGCUCUGAGCAGCCAUCUCAAAUCGAGGAGGAAAGUCGUCCCCAGCAAUACAUUACUGAUAACUUUAUCUUCUGUUCUCAUGUCGUCUUUGCAUUGGAGGCUAAACAGAAAGAGCGCAGUGGCGGUUAAGAGCGGCGAGGAUAGACAGAUGACAUAGCCAUGCCACGUGUAGACCACUGCGGCCUUGGUGUAGAGGAUGUCAUACAUAAGAGAGAGUUCCAUCUCCACCACCUUGCACAUACUCUCCCAUUGACCCGAGAAGCUGCUUCUGACGGCGGCAUUAUAAUCCAUGUACUCCACCGAGUAAACAGAAAAGGCACCCUUGCAGAUAUCGAACAGGCCAUGAGCAACCAACAAGGCUUCCUCAUCUUUCAGAUUCUUGCCUCCACCAUAAUCACGUCUGAAGCUACUGGCACUUGGUUGCAGCUCCCUGAAUGACCUCCGUAUGCGGCUCAAAUUGCAUAGCCAUAGCGCCGCCGCACUCUCCACAUACUUGAAAAGGCCCAGCAAUAACAUGAUGAAAGACGCUUGACGCAACAACCCAGUAGUGCAGUCGGCGAGUAUAUAUCUAUACACAAUAAGUAUGGAUCCUAGGGACUGCAGGGGAACAAACACGAACAGGCGCAGCCAGAGCUCAUUGUCCUCGAUGGUGUAGGCACUCAUGUUGUCCGGGGGAGCGUUGUGCAGUGUAGAAGGACAAGAUAUGGGCUGUGCAAUCUCGAUGUAUUGAUCGGUGCACCAGGCACGUAUAUAUAAGUACAGAGGUGGGCCACAACCUCAACUAUACAAAGGAAACUGGAGGCGGCCCUACACACAAAUAUACACGUACACAAUAUACUCAACACCCCCCCGCAGUCGAAGCGGCACCAGUGACGCAAAGACUGGAACGGGACUCCUCGAAGGUAGAAGUCGGCAGUCCCUUCAUCAUCACAUCGGCGAACUGCUGAGCGGUCGUUACAUGGAGAACCCGCAUACGUCCAAGAGCCACCUGCUCGCGCACAAAGUGAAUGUCCAGCUCGAUGUGUUUAGUCCGGCGAUGAUGAACGGGGUUGGCGGAGAGGUACACCGCAGAAACGUUGUCACAGUAGACAACCAUAGCCUGGGAGACGUCGUGAUGCAGCUCCUGAAGUAACUGUCGUAGCCAGGUGCACUCGGCAACAGCGUUGGCCACAACUCGGUACUCAGCCUCCGCGCUGGAGCGCGAAACCGUGGGUUGUCGCUUGAACGACCACGAGACGAGUGAAGGACCGAGGUAGACGCAGUAGCCAGAGGUGGACCAACGAGUAUCGGGGCAGCCAGCCCAGUCUGCAUCAGAGUAGGCCACCAUCUCCAGAGAAGUAGACGCCGUGAGUGUCAACCCGAGGGUCAUCGUGCCGCGGAUGUAGCGAAGGAUCCGCUUCAAGAGAGUCCAAUGAGAGUCACGAGGGGCGUGCAUGUGGAGACACACCUAUUGAACAGCAUACUGAAGAUCCGGUCUGGUGAGAGUCAAAUACUGAAGAGCGCCGACAAUAGACCGGUAGAAAGGAGCAUCCGACGCAGGCGAGCCCUCAAGAGAAGAGACCUUGGCCUUCGUGUCAACAGGAGUAGCAACAGGGUGACAGUUGAGCAUGCCAGCACGCUCAAGAAGCUCAUGUGCAUACUUCUGUUGAUGAAGAAAGAAACCGUCCGGACGCUGAACGGCCUCAAUGUCAAGGAAAUAAUGUAGAGCACCCAGGUCCUUGAUAGCAAACUCGUCACGCAGCCGGAGAGUAAUCUGCUGAAGAACAGCUGCGGAGGAGGCCGUCAGGAUGAUGUCAUCGACGUAAAGCAGCAAAUAUGCAGUCGUGUCACCAUAGACAAACAGUGAGGCGUCCGAGCGAGUAACGCUGAAGCCUAGUGUCUGAAGAAACCUGUAAGUGCAUCUAGUGCCAUCCCUAGUUGGUUUUGGAGUAUUGACGACAAAGUUGGUUGAGGGACUAAUGUGUUUGUGAGAAUUGCAGGAUAACGCAGGUAGUGUCCCUCAUUGAUUCGGUUUACCUACCGGAGAUGACCCCUAAAAAUGUAUGAAGACAUUGAAGACAAUGGUGGUGUGUGAAGAUAUUCACACUGAAGUCUAUGACAUGAGAAGACAUUGAGUGAAGACUAUGGAGCGCGAAGACUGAGUCGUUUCGUUGUUUCCUUUUCUUCUUUGUUGAGUCAUAGGAACCACCGCACUGUUAAGUAGGGUCCAAGUGAACUAAGUCAGAGUGACUGAAGUGAUGCUCAACCCAAAUCCUAUGUCUUCGAGCGAAGACAAUGUGAGUAAAUCUUAUCCAGAGCUGGAUGAGUCAGCUUUGCUUGUAGCCCAAGUAAAGUUGCCGUGUGUGUUUGAAAUCUGACCAUUGAAACAUGUGUCAGUUCCUUAGUGACCCAGGGUCAUUUUGGACAUAUCAGGUCGGGUUGCCUUGUGGCUAUAAAUAGCCCACCCCCUACACCAUAAAUUGGUGGGCUGCUCAGAGUUAGUUUACGGCUUUUGUCGUUUUGAGAGCAACCCACCUCGAAGCCUUUGAGAGAGAAAUCCUUGCGAGGACAAAGCCCAAACACCCAGAGCCAAAGAGUGUUAGGCAUCACUGAAGUCUUUUUGUCUGUGUGACCUGAAGACUUAUUACACUUGAGGACUGUGUAUCCUCCAGCCGGUUAGGCGUCGCGUUCUGAGCAUCCAAGAGUCAUUGUGGAUUGCCAGGUGAACGAAGUCUGUGAAGGUUCAGAAGUCUACCUUGAAGACUUAACAGAGUGAUUGGGCGAGGACUGGGUGUCCUUAGCUCAAGGGGAAUAAGGUGAAGACACGGUCUUUUGAGUUGAAUCUCAGCCUCCCCAACCAGACGUACAGUUGUCACAGCAACUGGAACUGGUCCAACAAAUCAUGUGUCUUCAACAAGUGACUGGUUCUAUCUCUUCCCUCCUUUACUUUGAGUUUGUCUUCGUGAAGUCAUUGCUUAUCUGUCUUAUCUGAUUGACUUCAUUGCUUGACUACUAUUGUUGAUUGGCUUCAUACUAUCUUCCAUCCUGAUCCUUACUACCUAGCUGCUGUUAGUCUUCGUACGUUAGCACUAUUGCAUACUUGACUAUGGCUUGCUUUGUGUAGUUUAUCUUCCGCUGCAUAUCAAUUAGGUCAUUUCUAUUGUUUAUCUUCGAAACUUCCACAUUUUGAAGACUUUGAUAAAAAUCGCCUAUUCACCCCCCUCUAGUCGAUAACUAGCACUUUCAAUUGGUAUCAGAACAAAGUACUCCCUUGUUCUGUGUGAUUCGGUUUAACCACCUGGAGUUUAGCUAUGUCGACUGCAGGGAUAAUCAAAGUCUCCGUUGCUUGCCCCGUGUUCGAUGGAACAGAAUAUCCCUACUGGAAGAAUAAGAUGCGCAUGCAUCUUGAAGCCAUUGAUGUCGACCUCUGGUAUGUCGUCAAGAACGGCGUUCCAAAAACUGGUGAAGGUGUCACCCCUGCUGAUGUCAAGAAGUUCAUUCAACUGGACUCGACUGCAAAGAACAUCAUCUGUGGUCAUCUAACCAAAGGACAGUAUGGCCGUGUGAGUGCUCUGGAAACGUCAAAGCUAGUUUGGGACUGGCUAUCCAAGGUCAACGAAGGCGUCUCUACACAGAGAGACCAGAGGAUCAGUGUUCUUCGCAAUCUCUUCAACCGCUUCAAGAGAAACAACAAUGAAAAUGUCCAGCUCACAUUUGAUCGCCUCACCGACAUCACAAAUGAGCUUCAGGCUCUCGGCGCCACUGAGAUCACCAAGCAUGAAAUCAUCAAGACGCUGCUGAGAUCCCUUGACAGCUCCUUUGACACCCUUGCCCUCAUGAUACAAGAACGUCCUGACUUCAAGACUCUCGAUCCGUCUGAUAUACUUGAGAGGCUCAACACACAUGAGUUUCAGCUUUCUGAGAAAAGAGAUAUCUAUGGCCCCAACUACGGCCGAACUCGUGCUUUGAAGGCAAAAGUUGUUUCCUCAUCUGAAGAAGAAGAAUCUGACUGCGGUUCUGAUGAUCCUGAAGACAUUGGAAGGGAGCUUGCUAUGCUUGUGAAGAAGUUCCAGAAAUUCACCAAGAAGAAGGGCUUCAGAAAGUCUUCACGAUCCAGUUCAAGAAAUGAUGAAGCUUCCACUCAAGACAACAAGAAGAGAACAUGUCACAAGUGUAAGAAGCCUCGGCACUACAUCUCUGAGUGUCCUCAGUGGGACAACGAGAAGAAGAAGAAAAAGAGCAAGGAAUAUGACUCUGAUGACAAGAAGAAGAAGAAAUCAUCAAAGUCUUCUUCCAAGUCCACAUCAAAGUCUUCAUCUCAUAAGAAGAGCUCAUCUGGCAAGGCUCGUGCUUUUGUUGGCAAGGAAAUGGAUUCAGAGGAGGAGUCUGCUUCUGAGGAGGCAGAGGUGGAAUCUAAAGUUGAGUCCAACUCUGGCAUUGCGAGUCUGGCUCUAGCCACAGCCUAUGUCGCCAAGUCCAUCUUCAACACUGAAGACAAUGACUCCCACUCCAAAGCUGAUGAUGAUAAGGACAAUCCUGCUCCCACCUACUGCUUCAUGGCACGCGGUGUCAAGGUAAAAUCACACGAUGCUUACUUUCAAACAUCAAGUGAAGAUGACUCUGAUUGUGAAUCUAAACCCAGCUACAAAACACUUGCUAAAAUUGCUACUGAACAACAAAGGGCUAUGGAACAUACUCAAAAACUGUUAGACAAAAGCGAUGACCUAUUGGACGCGGAAAUGACACGUUCAUAGUCCUUAGUUGAAGACAUAAAAAAUCUUCAUGCUAAGUAUCAAGAACUUGAAAGUUUUCAUGAGACGCUCUCAACCACUUAUGAAAAGCUCUCCUAUGAUUAUCUUCAAAGGAAGCAAGAGCUUGAGAAAUUGAAAGCGACUCAUGAAGAUCUUCAAAAAGAGAAUGAGCCAUUUCACGCUCAACAGAUCAGUCCCGCUCAGGAUGGAUUUGAACCACCAUGCUUAAAAUGCAUUGAGCGUGAUAACGCUGCCUCUGUUGCUGAAUGUUCCACUGCUGCUACUGUUGCUCUGUCUUCAACUACUGAUGUGGUAACUAACCCCUCUUCUGAGGAUACCACUACUAUUGCUGAUAAAAAUGCUAGGUUGAAGACAUUGCUUGAAACAGGGAUGUAUAAAAGUCUGAAAGGGCAGCAGACACUGUGUGAUGUCCUCAAAAAGCAGAUUCUGAACCAAAACCCUAGGAAAGAGGGUGUUGGGUUUGAGAGGAAAAUGAAUGCUGAUGGUUCCUACUGGAAGCCUGAGCAGUAUCCCAAAACCACAUGGGUUGCUGCAAAGGAACCUUCAGUGGAUCCAUCCACUUUAUCUGGCUUUACAUGUGCUAAUCCUAUUAUCAUUGAUGAAUCCCUUGAUGCAAACUAUAAAUUGUUCAAAAAUCAGAAUGGUGAAGUGUUUGCUAGGUAUAUUGGUACUAACUGCAGGAAUGGACCGCCAAUGAAGAAGAUCUGGGUUCCAAAAAGCUGUCUUGAGAAUCUUCCUGUGAAUGUUGUCAUGACACCACCCGAGAAGAAGACAAACCCCAGACCAAAGGCGUCACAUGGUCCAACGGCUUCAUACGGAAAGAGGACUCACCUGAGUCACCCUAACGCCAAUGUUUUGCAGGGAAAUCACACUCAAACUUAUGAAUAUGAGCGUGUGUCUUCAAACCGCUAUGUUCAUAAUACUAAGAACUUUUCUGCUUAUUCAUAUGAGUAUCAAUCAUCUCCUGCAAGGCUAUUUGCUAGGGCUCCAAAGCCGAAAUUCUCAGAUGCUACACUUAGACUCAUUGCUUCUAAGCCACCCCUAAAGAUGUGGGUGGUGAAGAAGAACUAACUCUCUUUUGCAGAACAUGGUCUCCAGCCAGCAAUCAAAGGCGUCCGAUAUUAUUGCUGGGGACCUAAAACACAAAGGGACGCAUGAGAAAAUGACUUACUAUGUAUUUCACAUAUGAAUCGCUUACCUGUCAUACUGUGUGCUAACUUUCAUCUAUGCUGUGAUAAUUCAAGUGUGCAUCAACUGCUUAUGCUUCACAACAUACAUUGUGAAGCCUAUCCUCCUAACUGCAAUGUAGGGUAUGACACCUCGUGCUUCAGAAUGGAUUAUGGACAGCGGAUGCACUAAUCAUAUGACUGGUGAUCGAAGUCUUCUCAUGGACUCAACCUUACGUCCAUCCGACAAGAGUCAAAUCACAUUUGCUGACACUGGUAAAGGCAAGGUAUUGGGUCUAGGUAGAGUUGCAAUCUCAAAGGAUCAACACAUGGAUAAAGUGAUGCUUGCUGAAUCCCUUGGAUUCAACUUAAUGUCUGUCUCAAUGCUUUGUGACUUAAACAUGAUUGUGAUAUUCGGAAAAUAUCGUUGCCUUGUACUAAUGGAAUCUGACAAGUCUCUAGUCUUUGAAGGGUAUAGGAAAGGUGAUCUAUACAUGGUAGAUUUCUCAGCAGGACCACAGCUUGCCAUAUGUCUUCUUGCAAAAGCUUCAGAAUGCUGGCUCUGGCAUCGAAGGCUGGGGCAUGCUGGCAUGAGGAACUUGCACACACUCGUCAAGAAGAAGCAUGUCAUAGGCAUCGAAGGUGUCAAGUUCAACAAAGAUCAUUUGUGUGGUGCUUGCGAAGCUGGGAAGAUGACGAGGGCCAAGCACCCCUCGAAAACAAUCAUGACGACAUCUCAACCCUUUGAGCUGUUGCACAUGGACUUAUUUGGCCCUACUCACUACUCCACCCUCACAACAAUGGUGUGUCUUUAUGGCUUCGUCAUUGUUGAUGACUACUCAAGAUAUACAUGGGUGCACAUAAUUCUCUACAAGACUGAAGUACAAGAUGUCUUCAAACGAUUCGCAAAUCGAGCAAUGAACAAUUAUGGCGUCAAGAUCAAGCAUAUCAGAAGUGAUAACGGCACUGAAUUCAAGAACACCGGCCUUGAUCUAUAUAUCUAGAUACAAUGGGAAUCACUCAUGAAUUUUCUGCUCCGUACACACCUCAACAAAAUGGCAUUGUUGAGCGCAAGAACAGAACCCUCAUUGAGAUGGCUCGAACAAUGCUCGACGAGUACAAGACACCAAGAAAGUUCUGGCUUGAAGCUAUUGAUACUGCAUGUCACAUCAUUAACCGUGUUUACAUCCACAAGCUUCUGGGAAAAACAUCCUAUGAGCUCCUUACUGGCAAGAAGCCAAAUGUCAGCUACUUUAGAGUUUUUGGUGCUAGAUGCUGGAUCAAGGAUCCCCAUCACAGGUCAAAAUUUGAACCCAAAGCUCACGAAGGCUUCAUGCUUGGCUAUGGAAAUGAUUCGCACUCUUACAGAGUCUUCAACCUUUUCCACUACAAAAUCGUUGAAAUAGUGGAUGUGCGAUUUGAUGAAACCAAUGGUUCACAACGAGAUCUCCUGCCAAGCACACUAGAUGAAGCUCCUUCCAGUGAAUCUAUCAAGCUGAUGGGAACUGGUGAAAUCAUGCCCUCUGAAGCACAACCUGAAGAGGAACUUAUCAUUUCUGCACCAAACCAACCUGAAGACAAUGCUCAGACCGAAGACAAUCCUCCCAAUGAUGACAAUAAUCAACAUGAGCAAGGGCUUCAUCCAGUUCAUCCUCGUGUUGCAAAUGAAGUACAAAUUGAGAAGAUAAUUGAUAGCAUCAACGCACAUGGUCCGCUUACUCGAUCAAGACCAACACAGUUAGCAAAUUUCUGUGGGCAUUUUUCAUUUGUAUCAAUAUUUGAACCCAAGAAAGUUGCUGAAGCCCUUAUGGAACCUGAAUGGAUUCAAGCCAUGCAAGAAGAACUUCAACAGUUCAAGCUGAAUAAUGUUUGGGAACUUGUCAAGCGCCCUGACCCUCGCAAGCAUAACAUUAUUGGCACAAAAUGGAUAUAUCGGAACAAACAAGAUGAGCAUGGUCAAGUCAUCAGAAACAAAGCACGUCUUGUGGCACAAGGAUAUACUCAAGUUGAAGGAAUUGACUUCGAUGAAACAUUUGCUCCUGUGGCUAGGCUUGAAGCUAUUCGCAUAAUGCUAGCCUAUGCAAAUCACCACAACAUCCUGCUAUAUCAAAUGGAUGUGAAGAGUGUUUUCCUCAAUGGCAAGAUUGAAGAAGAAGUGUAUGUUGCUCAACCACCUGGCUUUGAAGAUCCAAAACAUCCUGAUAUGGUGUACAAACUCAACAAAGCACUGUAUGGCCUCAAACAAGCUCCUCGCGCUUGGUAUGAUACAAUCAAAGACUUCCUGAAGAGCAAAGGUUUCAAACCAGGAUCUCUAGAUCCCACACUCUUCACGAAAACAUAUGAUGGUGAACUGUUUGUGUGCCAAAUAUAUGUGGAUGACAUAAUCUUCGGCUGCACCAACCAGAAGUAUAGUGAUGAGUUUGGAUACAUGAUGCAAGAGCAAUAUCAUAUGUCCAUGAUGGGUGAGCUGAAGUUCUUCCUUGGUCUUCAAAUCCGUCAGCAAAGAAAUGGCAUCUUCAUAUCUCAAGAAAAAUAUCUCAAAGAUUGUCUGAAGAAGUUUGGCAUGCAAGAUUGCAAAGGUUACACGACGCCAAUGCCAGCCAAACAUCAUCUUGGUCCCGACGAUAAUGGUAAAGAGUUUGAUCAAAAGGUAUACCGCUCCAUGAUUGGUUCUUUACUUUACCUAUGUGCAUCUAGGCCAGAUAUUAUGCUUAGUGUUUGAAUGUGUGCUCGAUUCCAAGCGGCACCAAAGGAAUCACAUCACUUAGCUGUGAAGCGAAUUCUUAGAUAUUUGGCUUACAGCCCAACACUCGGAUUAUGGUAUCCAAAGGGCUCAAGGUUUGAUCUGGUUGGAUUCUCGGAUGCUGAUUAUGCUGGUGACAAGGUGGAUCGCAAUUCAACAUCAGGAACAUGUCACUUUCUAGGACGAUCACUUGUCUGUUGGUCUUCAAAGAAGCAGAACUGUGUAUCACUCUCAACUGCUGAAUCUGAAUACAUUGCUGCUGGAUCUUGUUGUGCUCAGCUUCUGUGGAUGAAGCAAACUCUCAAGGACUAUGGCAUCGAUCUGAAGCAAGUCCCUCUCUUCUGCGACAAUGAAAGUGCCAUCAAGAUUGCCAACAAUCCAGUUCAGCACUCGAAGACAAAGCACAUUGAAAUUCUUCAUCAUUUUCUCAGAGAUCAUGUCAUGAAGAAAGAUAUGACAUCAUUCAUGUCAACACUGAAGAGCAACUGGCAGAUAUCUUCACAAAGCCCUUGGAUGAGAAGGUUUUGCAAGUUAUGGUGUGAGCUAAAUAUCUUGGAAUCCUCAAAUGUCCUGUGAUCAGGCCACAUCCUAACACUUAUGCAUGUUGAUGACUUAGAUGUGCAACACACGAAGUAAAGUAUAUCUUCAGUCAAUGAAGACUUACAUUCUGAGUGUGAAUACAUUAAUGUGGAAUUUGACUUCAGAGCGCCACGAUAAUUGUGCGCCGUGUCUGGGUCUAAUACUUCCUAUACGGUGGGUAACGCCACCACCAAAAUUUCUUGGUUUGAAGUGUUUCACUCAUGGCGUUAUUGUUGAAUAUCUUCGCAUGUUGAUUUGACCUCAACUUUCAACUUAUCUUCAUGAUUUACUUCAUUAUGUUGAGUUGAUUGCUUUCUCAUAUAUAUAUAUAUACUAGUAUUCUGUCCUCUAUAGCAUUCACUUAUAGCCAUGUCUUCACUGUUGAAUCUUUUGAACUAAGUGAAUGUGAUCGGACCCUAAUCUCUCUAUGCUUACUAUCUCAAACUCUAUCUGUCCAAAUCAUAUGCAUUCUAUUGAAACUGUCGAAUGUCUUCUCUGCAUCCUUGUCAGCAGAAGACACAAAUACAAACAUCAAGUCCUAUUAAGUGAUUCAUCUUUAUUGUCGAUAUCCGGAGAAGCCGAAACAACCAUCCGACAAACUUGGCGGGCGUGGGAAUGUGGGACAACUCUGAGUAUGUUGCAUGCUUGCCACGUGUCCCAUGGAUGUGAACAGGCAGGGGCACCUGCGUAAUUGCACUGUGCCGCACACCUACUUAUAAAUACGUGUCCCCUGCGGUCAAGAAAACCUUCUUCCACCUCUCCACCUCGUCAAAACCCUAGUACCACCGCUAGCUCUCGACGACGCCGGCGACGAAGCGCUUAGCUGCCGCGACUUCCCCGAUGCCGUCCUCACGCCGGCCGCGGGCAUCAUCCACUCCGCCACCGCCGUAGGUGUCCUCCGUCGCCAAGUUAGGGCACGGUGGACAGAACUGCUCGGUCUCCAAAUUCUUCCCAUCUAGCAGUUCUUCGUGUGGUAAAUAUAACUCUAUUUUUACCAGCUUUUUGAUCCUCAAUGAUUCAUCCAAUUUACCAAAAUUGGUUUCUGUCUAUACAAAGUUAGAUCUACUCUGUCUGCAUCUCAUACUGCCUAGUAUAUUCACUUAAGCUUCACAUCUAGUUAGAUUCCUCACUUGUACUUAUUCACGGAUUUGUACAAAUCUGGAACCGACUCUCAACAUAUAAGUGAAUGUCUUCGCAAGAUGAGGUCAAUGUCUUCAAACUGAUUUAUCUUCAAAAUCUUUUGAGAAUGCAUAUGACCUCUUCCCCUUCCCUCGCAUCUCUAAUGCUGUCACAGGUACAUGUCCGUGGGAGAAUCCCUAGGUUCUCAUAGUCUGCAUUCGUUUGCAGAAUUCUUACAGCAACACAUUGAUUCUCCUGAAGCCAGUUCCUGUCUGACCAGCAAGCGAAAGCCUUUGAACAUAUUGAAACCGUUCAGUUUGAAGUUCAUGGCUACGGAGAAAUCUAUUAGGAAGGGUGGCAGACAGCGUCGUGGGGGAACUUCAAGGAUUUGCCUGAUGAUCUUGCAGAAAUCUACAAAACAGAUCCUGAAGAAGAUUACAGUCAGCGCAAGACUUGAAUCCAAUGGAUUCAAUGCUAUUGGGCUGAACAGUGGUACAAGUACAAGUUCGUGACCCAGGAGUACGCUGAGAAAAAUACUAUCAAGAGCCCUUGGGGUGAUAUUCUCUAUCGAGGCCUUCCCCCCAAGAACAAAGCUGAAGCCAUUGCGCAAGAAUUCUAUCCUUGCAUGGUCCGUGGACCACAGCCUGAAGAAGCCGACCCAUCAUCAUUGCUCUGGUGUCGCGACGACAAUCUCUUCAAGCGCAAUGUUUAGUAUGCUAAGGCUUCAGCAAAGGAAGACAAGAAGUCAUGGGGAUUAGACUUCAAUCCUGGCCCCUCUGCUCCCCGUGAUGAUGGCACACGUGAAGCUGAAGAGAAUAGAGUUGGCCCCUUUGCAAACCUUGAUGGCCUCAUCUCCUACAUCUUGGUACAAGGUGCCAAAGUGGAUCAUUCUAAUAAUGAUGUUGAUUUUGAUGAAGCUCCAGCUCCUACUCUAAGGUCGCAGAAGCCAAAGAAGAUUAAGGCUUCAUCAUCAGCUGCACCUCCAAAAGCUUCUCAUGUGAAGCCACUGGCCACUGCACCUCCUGAAGUCAGUGUGCAGUCUGAAGAUCUUUCACGCAUCUCCAAGAAGACGAAGAAGAAAAACAAAAUCGUCAAGUGUACUGAUCAGGCUUUGACUCCUGCUGCUAUUAUGCGUGAAGAGCCCAUUGAUCUGUCCAGCGAUGACGAUCUUGCAGAUGAUGCUCUUGAGCAACUGAUCAAGAGCAAGGAAGAAGCAGAGAUCUUCAACAACUUGCCUCUCUUUGACGUGGCAAUCAUCCAUAACUUCAUUGAUGAGUGGUUUGACACACCAAAUCUCAGCUUUGAUGAUCUGCAACUUCCAAUUGGCCUCAACGUCGCCUUCAAUGGCGCCAUUGCUUCUGAGCUAGCUAUUGCUCAGCGCAUCGUCGAACUGAAGCACAAGAUUGACUAUGAAAAGGCUCAGUUCAAGAAGCAUGUGGCCACGCUCAACGUGCAAGAUGCCAGGAACUUCAAGAUCAUGUUGCACGAGCUCAAAGAAGCCUUUCACAAGAAGCGUGAAGAAGCUCGAGGCUCCAGAGAGCGUAUGAAGAGUCUGGCUAACAAGUGUGUGCUUGCCUAUAAUGAGGCUGAGAAGCGUAAGACUCUUGGUCGUCCUGGCAUCGACCCCAGGAUGGCUGCAAAGAAGAAGAAAUCAACUGUCCCUUCUGCACCUUCAAGGCCAGAUGAACCUCGCAUUGUCUUCCCAAGCAGCAUGACUGGCUCGAAGCCACGAGUCACCACUACCGCUUCAGAACAGAAGAAGACGAGGGCUGCAGAGGCUGAAGCCAGAAAAAGGAAAACCUCCGAAGCCUCUGAAGCUGCUCCCUCCAAGAAGAAGCACAAGACCAAGAAGAGUCAGGCUGCUCCCACAAAGCCCCUUGUCGUUGAACCCAUCUCAGUGGUUCGUCCUGCAUCUGCAUCCCAAGAACUUUGCAUGACUGUUCAUGAGCCUGCUUCCACAGAGGCUCCUGAAGCUGAAGAGAUACCUGCAGCUGAACCCACCGCUACUGAAGACAUUGGUCAAGAUGACAAUGUUGAAGAUGAUGAAGUUCUUCCUCAAAUUGAAUAUAAUGUGGUAUCAUCGCCUGUUCGUAAGAACAACGAAAUCAUCAGCAUUGGACGUCCUCUGAUGCCAAUUGCUCAGGAUGCUUCAUGGGCUGAUCGCCCGCAAGAACAAGACUCCCCUAGCACUCCCCAACAACAACAAACCACACCAUCCGUACAAGUUGAAGAGGAUGAGGGCCUGCCCACUCCAUCUCCAAAGGCGUCGCCUGUACUACAAAGGCUUCGCAAAGGACCAAGGCCUCAAGCCCCUCUUCUGAGCGUUCCAGAAGGAGAGGUGCACCAUCAACCUGUUGCACGUCAAGUGUUUUCAGAAGCCACUCCUGUUGUGAAUGUCUCUGCGUCUGAAGCACCAGCUGCUGAAGACAAUCCAGCUGCAUCAGCCGAUGACGAACGUCAAGAAGAACAUAUCUCUACACCCCCCCAUUCUUGAAGAAGUUGUUCACGAUGUGAAAUUGUCUGUGCCUGACCCUCCAGCUCAGCAAGUGGAGGUUGAAAACCUUGAGCCUGCCACCACCAACACCAAUGAAGCCGAUGACAUAGUCAUGGCUAAAGCAAAUGUGGAGCCUGUCCCAAGCCCCAUACUAGAAGCCAAUGCUGAUAAUGCACCUGAAGCUUCUGAUGUGCAGCCCAAAGCCACUGUUGCUGCCACUGCUCCUGUUUCGCCACCAAGGCCCUAUACAAUUGAGCAAGCAUACAACCAUGGCGAGCUAAUCACCGUCAGAUGGCCUGUUCUGGUCCCUCCGCCUACUGUCUCUGGUCCUCAAUUUGACUAUCACAUUGAGCAUAGGCCUCAGGUCCAGAAGCCAAAGCCAAGACUGCCAAGGUUUCCUGGUACUGCCACAUCUGUCGGGUCUUUCAAUGCAAAUGGCUUCAAGAGCCACAACACAUUCUUUGACAGCUCAAAGAACCCCUACACGAAACCAAGAAUAUCAUCAGAUUGGUUCUGGAGUCAUCAGCAGCGAAGCUAUUACUCCUGUGUUUUGUAUGAUCAAGGGCGCAUUUUCCCUCAUAUGCGCCUCGACACUGAAGCCAUUGCUGGACUGCCCUGCUUAGAAGAAGCACUUGACUGCUUUCGUGAUGCGGGUCUGCUCCGCUUUGUCACAGACAAAGAACAUUGGAAUGAAGAGCUAUUGCUCCAAUUCUAUGCUACACUCCACAUUCGCGGUUAUAAUAGAGAUACGAAGACAUGGGUUCUCGAGUGUAUGACAGGAAAUGUUCAUCAUGAAGCCAAAGCUCUUGACAUCAUUGAGCUUACAGGCCUAUCCACUCCCGGAGAGCUCUAUGAACCUGGUUGUCAAAACCACCACAAUGCAUUGGAGAGCAUCUUCCACAAGCCCGAACCCAAUAUGAGCCAGAUGUUGAGCAUGAUGAAGCCUUUGCCACGUGAUGCUGAAUAUCCAAAGGAGUUCUUUGUUGAUGACCUUGAGUAUCUGCCGCGCACCAUAUAUCACAUCAUCAGGCGGACUCUAUGGCCUAUCAAAGGACAUUCAUCAGCUGCAAAACUCGAAGGAGCCAUGAAGACAUUGGUCUUUUACAUCCUCAAUGGCAUCAACUUCAAUGCGCAAGAUUUCUUCAUCAGGAAACUGGCUGCUUCUGGAUCUGACCUCUUCGGACUGAAAUUCUAUGCUCCAUGGGUCAUGCGCCUCAUCAAGCGACACUCUGCUAUCAACUAUCAACCAUCUGCUCGCAAUCAUGUGAUCUUCCUACCAGAGGUUGAUAUGUCAGUUGAAGCCAUAUAUCCUGAACCUGCCAAGAAGCCUCUUCGUCUUCAGAAUGCUGAACAUCAAAGCUUCACUCAGCCUAUGGAAGGAGUCCAAGUUGUCACGCGUGUGUAUCCAAUGGCUGGAAAUAUUCGUCUGCCUCAUCGUGCAUCAACUGAAGCCACUGCGAGCACCAUUGCUCAAAGGCCUCGGAAGCGCUCUCGGGUCCUCAAUGACCAAGAACUUCUUGUGGCCCUACAUCAGAAGCAAGACAAGCAUCAUUUUUGGCUAAAGCGUCAGAUGCAAAGCCUCUUGGUGGAUGUAAAUCGCAUUCGAAACCUUGCCACCAAGAAUGCGUUUGUCACUGACGAAAUUUGUCGGCGUUCAUGGAAGAGUUUGACCCUACUCAGUGCUGAAGCUGAUCUUCAAGACGAUGGCUUCACUGAAAGAUUCAAGUUUGACUCCUCUCCUCCACGGAAUGCUGUCCUACGAAGGACUCCAUCUCUUGAAGACUCUGAUUAUUCUUCCUCCACGGCAACUGUCAAUGCCAAUGCCAUCGAUGAUGAAGACGAUGCUACUUCACCGCCCCCUACUUCUGCACGCAUCGACACUGCACCAAGUUUGUCUGCACCGCCAAACGACAACGACAACCCUACUGCUUCAACUACUCCUCGUGAGGACGAGUAGAUGCUCUAUGUCUUCAAACCUUUUUGGUCAUUACUGAAAAAAGGGGGAGAAGCGUAUGAGUCUGAUAGUCUUCAAGCGGGUUCAUUAGGGCGGUUGCUUUAUAUUUUUUCCUAGUGCUUUCAACUCUUGCCCUUGAUACACUUCGUUCUUUGAGUUGUAAUACUUAAACUUGAUGGUCGUCUGCUACUUAUUUGUGUUUCCACGUGCGAUGAUAACUUCUGCACUUAGAUCAUUCUGCAGACGUCCAUUUGUCAUUAUGCAUAUCAUUCUCUUAGCUAUAUCAUUUCAUGCAUGAUGAAUUAUCUUCAUAAGUUGAAGAGGAUCUCCACAAGUACAACCUGCCAUGUGCAUUUGCAUUCCAAAAGCAAAUUAUUUAUAUGCACAUCUUCAGGGGGAGCCCUUGCCACUUAUGAAGACAAUACGCUAUCCUUUACAAUUUCACAUACUUCUUUCCCGUUGAAAACUUCAACCAGUUUGUCAUCAAUCACCAAAAAGGGGGAGAUUGUAAGUGCAUCUAGUGCCACCCCUAGUUGGUUUUGGAGUAUUGACGACAAAGUUGGUUGAGGGACUAAUGCGUUUGUGAGAAUUGCAGGAUAACGCAGAUAGUGUCCCUCAUUGAUUCGGUUUACCUACCGGAGAUGACCCCUAAAAAUGUAUGAAGACAUUGAAGACAAUGGUGGUGUGUGAAGAUAUUCACACUGAAGUCUAUGACAUGAGAAGACAUUAAGUGAAGACUAUGGAGCGCGAAGACUGAGUCGUUUCGUUGUUUCCUUUUCUUCUUUGUUGAGUCAUAGGAACCACCGCACUGUUAAGUGGGGUCCAAGUGAACUAAGUCAGAGUGACUGAAGUGAUGCUCAACCCAAAUCCUAUGUCUUCGAGCGAAGACAAUGUGAGCAAAUCUUAUCCAGAGCUGGAUGAGUCGGCUUUGCUUGUAGCCCAAGUAAAGUUCCCGUGUGUGUUUGAAAUCUGACCGUUGGAACACGUUUCAGUUCCUUAGUGACCCAGGGUCAUUUCGGACAUAUCAGGUCGGGUUGCCUUGUGGCUAUAAAUAGCCCACCCCCUACACCAUAAAUUGGUGGCUGCUCAGAGUUAGUUUACGGCUUUUGUCGUUUUGAGAGCAACCCACCUCGAAGCCUUUGAGAGAGAAAUCCUUGCGAGGACAAAGCCCAAACACCCAGAGCCAAAGUGUGUUAGGCAUCACUGAAGUCUUUCUGUCUGUGUGACCUGAAGACUUAUUACACUUGAGGACUGUGUAUCCUCCAGCCGGUUAGGCUUCGCGUUCUGAGCAUCCAAGAGUCAUUGUGGAUUUCCGGGUGAACGAAGUCUGUGAAGGUUCGGAAGUCUACCUUGAAGACUUACAAGAGUGAUUAGGCAAGGACUGGGUGUCCUUAGCUCAAGGGGAAUAAGGUGAAGACACGGUCUUCUGAGUUGAAUCUCAGCCUCCCCAACCAGACGUACAGUUGUCACAGCAACUGGAACUGGUCCAACAAAUCAUGUGUCUUCAACAAGUGACUGCUUCUAUCUCUUCCCUCCUUUACUUUGAGUUUGUCUUCGUGAAGUCAUUGCUUAUCUGUCUUAUCUGAUUGACUUCAUUGCUUGACUACUAUUGUUGAUUGGCUUCAUACUAUCUUCCAUCCUGAUCCUUACUACCUAGCUGCUGUUAGUCUUCGUACGUUACCACUAUUGCAUACUUGACUAUGGCUUGCUUUGUGUAGUUUAUCUUCCGUUGCAUAUCAAUUAGGUCAUUUCUAUUGUUUAUCUUCGAAACUUCCAUGUUUUGAAGACUUUGAUAAAAAUCUCCUAUUCCCCCCCCUCUAGUCGAUAACUAGCACUUUCAAAACCCGGCGAUCCGCUGGUACCAGGCGCGGGGUGCCUGCUUGAGCCCGUAAAGAGAGCGGGACAACAGACACACAUGGCCGGGAAGUGAGACGUUGACCAAACCGGUGGGUUGCUCACAAUACACCUGCUCCUCAAGAUGGCCGUGGAGAAACGCGUUGGAGACAUCCAUAUGGUGAACAGGCCAGCCGCGGGAUACGGUGAGCUGGAGGACGGUGCGGAUCAUGCCCGGUUUGACAACCGGGGCAAACAUCUCAGUGAAGUCCACUCCAGCGCGCUGGCGGAAACUACAGACCACCCAGCGAGCCUUGUAGCGCUCGAGAGUACCAUCCGAGCGGGUCUUAUGGCGAAAGACCCACUUGCCGGUGAUGACGUUGGCGCGAGGACGCCGGGGAACCAGGGUCCAGGUGCGGUUCCGUUGAAGAGCAUCGAACUCUUCCUGCAUCGCCGCUAGCCAAUGAGGAUCACGGAGGGCGGUGCGAGCGGAUGCGGGAAUGGGCGACGGCUCCGUGGUGGAAGCGGCGAGGACGUACUCGUCGCUCGAGUACCGGAGGCUCGGACGAUGAACGCCGGUACGAGCGCGGGUGACUGGGCCGGGCGGCGCCGUCGGAGCCACCGGCGAGACGGCCGGCGUCGGGGCCGACGAAGCGGCCGGCGUCAUGGCCGGCGAGGUAGCCGACAUCGGGGCCAGCGAGGGGGCCGGCGUGGGGGCCGGCGAGGUAGCCGGCGUCGGAGCCGGCGAGGGGGCCGGCAUCAGGGCCGGCGAGGUGGCUGGCGUUGAGGCCGCAGAAGAGGCGGCCGAGCCUGCAGCGCCAGAUCCCGCGGCGCCCGAGUCGGGGGCGGCGGGUGAAGACGGGGCGCCGGCUGCACCGUCAGAGCCGACCAAGGAGGCCGAGGGGGCGGGCGCCGGCGUGAGGGCGCGAGGACCGCCAAAGCCCGGAGGUGGUUCACGGGCCAGGCGGGACCGUCCACCUGACGAAGUCGUCGAAGGGCCGGCGGUGACGAGACGACAAGGGGUACCUGCUGCUGAAACGGAAACACCAUCUCAUCAAAGUAAACGUGUCGGGAGGUGAAAACACGAUGGGAGACGGGAUCAUAGCAGCGAUAGCCCUUGGUGUUAGGUGGGUAGCCGAGAAAGAUGCAGGCGACGGAGCAGGGUGCAAGCUUAUGAGGCGUAGUAGCGGCGAUGCUAGGGUAGCAAAGGCAGCCGAAGAUGCGAAGCCCAUCAUAAUAGGGGGGUGCACCGAAGAGGAGAUGAUGAGGUGUAAAGUUCCCGCGAGUACGACAUGGGCGGAUGUUGAUGAGGAGAGAAGCGGUGGCGAGAGCGUCAGGCCAAAAGCGCGGAGACACAUUGGCAUGAAAGAGAAGAGUCCUAACGCAGUCAUUGAGAGUGUGAAGGAUGCGCUCAGCACGACCAUUCUGCUGCGAGGUGUACGGGCAAGUAAGACGAAAAAUCGUGCCAUGUGUGGUGAGAAGAUUACGAACCGCGAGGUUAUUAAACUCCUUCCAAUUGUCUGUCUGCAAUGCAAGAAUGAGACAACCAAACUGCGUGAGAACAUAAGAAUAGAAAGCGGCGAGAGUGGAUAUAACAUCCGACUUGCGGCACAACGGGAAGGUCCACACAUAAUGCGAAAAAUCGUCAAGUAUGACAAGAUAAUAAAGAAAGCCCGUAUUACUGGCAACAGGAGAUGUCCAAACAUCACUAUGAAUUAACUCAAACGGGUACGAUGCAACAAAAGAAGAAGCCCUAAAUGGAAGACGAGCAUGUUUGCCGAGGCGACAUGCAUGACACGAGUGAUCCUCGUUCUUAUUACACGUGAAAAAAAACUCCGAAGUAUGUGGCGAAGGGUGGCAGGAUUAGGAUGACCCAAGCGAGCAUGCCAAAGAUCCACUCCGGUGGCGAGAGCGACAGGGGCGGCAGAAGUAGUGGAGGUGGCGGAGUGAACCGGGUAGAGCUCGUCGGGGUUGUCACGUCGGUGGAGCACCAUCCGCGUGCGAGCGUCCUUAACAGAAAAACCACAUUCGUCAAAUUCAAGGGUAACCGGAUUUUCACAUGUAAGAGAACGAACAGAAACAAGAUUUUUAAUAAGUUCAGGAGAAACUAGAAUAGUAGACAUGGAUAUAGGAGUGGAGUUAGACGGAAAAUAUGUAUGACCAAUAUGAGUGAUGGGAAGGGAAGAGCCGUCACCGGCGGUGAUGCGGUUGGAGGUAUGGACAGGAUGGGCGGUGUGGAGGUUAUCGGGGUACGCCGCCAUAUGAGCGGUGGCGCCGCUGUUCAUGUACCAAUCGCCGCCGCCGGUGUAGCUGGACGGGUAAGGAGCGUUGUGGAGAGCCGCCAGGAGGGCCGGGUCCCACGGUGCCGGCGGGAGAGGCGGCGCGGCCGUCAGGGGCAGCGGCGGCGGCCUACCUGGCGGCUGCUGCUGACCGUAGGGCGCCGUGUAGGGCUGCGGCACGGCGUAGUACGCCUGGUGUGGCUUAGGCCGGGUGCCGAGAAUGCCCGGGGCAGGGGCCCGAGGAACCGGCAUGGAGUAGGCGUGUACAACGCCGGUCCAUGGGUUCUGACCGGCGUACCACAGGGCCGGCUGAGAAGCCUGCUGCGGUGGGCGGGGCGCUCCUCGCUGAGCANNNNNNNNNNNNNNNNNNNNNNNNNNNNNNNNNNNNNNNNNNNNNNNNNNNNNNNNNNNNNNNNNNNNNNNNNNNNNNNNNNNNNNNNNNNNNNNNNNNNNNNNNNNNNNNNNNNNNNNNNNNNNNNNNNNNNNNNNNNNNNNNNNNNNNNNNNNNNNNNNNNNNNNNNNNNNNNNNNNNNNNNNNNNNNNNNNNNNNNNNNNNNNNNNNNNNNNNNNNNNNNNNNNNNNNNNNNNNNNNNNNNNNNNNNNNNNNNNNNNNNNNNNNNNNNNNNNNNNNNGGUGGUGUGGGUCGCGCGAGUCUGCGCCACCCGCAUCCGGCGCUCCUCCAACUUGAGGUACGCGGCCACCUUGGCGAAGGUGGGCUCCGGGAUGAGGGUGAGGUUGGAGGCGGCGUUCCCGAAGUCCUCGUUGAGGCCGCCGGAGAGGGUGCUGAUGAGGAGCUCAUCGCCGAUCUUUUCCCCGAGAUCACGGAGCUCAUCGGCGAGCUUCUUUAGGCGCAUGCAAAAAUCAUCAAUGGAUGAGUCAAGUUGCUGGCACCCGUAAAACUCACCAUAGAGCAGGACCUUGCGCUGCAGCCGAUUGUCAGUGAAGAGGCCGUUGAGUUUGGUCCAGACCGCAUAGACAUCAUCCUCGUCGUCCACCACAGUGUGGAAGAGGUCGCCGGCAACGCUGUUGAUGGUGCACCGCCACUCUGCUGUUGGAAGGGUUGACCACCCGUUGUUAUUGCAAAUCAGACAUAUCACUUACUGAUGCUAGGGGCAAAGCCACGUAGUAGUGGUUGGCUCUUAGAUCAAGAUUCAGACAUAUCACUUACUGAUAUUGCAAAGCAAGGGUAGCAAGGAGAUGACAGAUCAAUUAUUUCAGAGGUAAAACUCCAGUCUGAGUUAGGAAUAGCUUCAGCUUGUGCAUAAGCCAGUUGUCCUAGUGAAAUCUGCUUAAGCUGGGUUGAAAAGAGAAAAAAAACAGAGGAAUUCAUUUGAUUGGGUUUGUAAAGGCUUAUGGAUCUUAUCUUAUUUCUGGUGGUGAAUUGUGUAAACUAUAAAAAACACCUUUUAUGCUUGUUUAAUUUAUAAGAUUGCUGUUUUAAAUUUUUUAUUUGCACGAAAUAUCAAUGUUAUAUCCGGUCCACACAAGAAUUGGCAUCACAACUUGAAAAAUGUGAACAAGCAAGCAAGAUUGUACAAAUUCAUUUGGUGCAGUGAGCAACCGAUAUCAAGAACAGCAUAGACACAUCAGUGGUGGAAAAAUAUAUAUCAAAAGUCAUCAAACUCGGGUAGUAAAAUGAUAGCUUAAUAUAGAGUACGGUCAGGAAACCAACAUCCCAUGCAGCCAGCACAUGUUCCAGCGAAAAAGGAAACAGGGCUCAUCACGAAAGAUUGAAAAUGAAUCAAAUCUCUCAUCAGGAAUACAAUCUGAACCCAUUUCUGUAAUAAUGAUAGUGGUAAGAUACACUACUACUGACGUUGGCCACGUGUCACCCCAUUAGAAUUUCAAAUACUGUUGACGUGGUAUCCAGCGCCACCACUAUAUUUUAACAAUGGCGCCAUAUUAGUGGCAUCGGAUGUCCACGCGAGCAAGGCCAUUUUUUCCACACCAUAGUUAGGCUUUUUUGCACUAGUGACAUGGGGGACGUUCUAGGAGAAGCCACAAGAGGAGCCGCAUCCAACAGCCACAACAUAGGAGGGACAACCGCAGUGGCGGAGCGAGCGCCCAGCGACCCUGGGCAGUUGCCCGGGCUCGCUGGCACUCCGACGGCAACAAUGGUCGUACCACAAUACGUAAAACUGCUGGAUACGGAGUGGAUUUACCCGGGCAAAACUGGAUUAGGCCUCCUUCACAGCCCAGCCCAGUUAUUUACUUGAACGUCCCGAUCACUCCAGCCCACUAAAAAAAAGAAUACCAUCGACAUCGAUCGCUUCGCUCCAGCCCACUAGGCAACAGGGAAUACCAUUGAUCGCUCCAGAGUCCAGACAGUUCUCUCCUUCUCGGCUUCUCGCGUACUCGCGUCUCUUUGGUUUCUCCCAAGUGCGGCAGGGACUUGAAGGCGAGCCGGCGAGGCGGCGAUCUGGGGCUGGGCGAGCGGCAGGCCGCUGGCGAGCCGGCAGUGGCCACGGUCGUCCCCUCCUUUGGCCCUUCCUCUCCUGAAGGCUGAGGCAGUUCCUUUUCUUCGACUUCCAGUAAGAUCGCUUACUUAAUAACUGAUUUGGGUUGAGAUAAUGAGAUUGAUGUACUUAGGGCUUAUUUAGGAACUUUUGAUUGGGGAUGAUUAUGACCAAAGUCCAAAGAGAAAAUCUAUUUGUUAGCGGUUGGAAACUACAGAAACUGUAAGUUAAUUAGACUGACAAACUAGUAUGCAGGUUGCAGACACUUUCCUCUAGUAAUUUUAAGAAAUAUUUCACCGAUUUCACUUCAGUUUGGCAACAUCAAGAAAUACUUGAUAAUCUGAUACAUGUAGUUGAUGCAAGUAGCUUUUUUUAUUGUACUGUACUAUGAACUUGUGAUUAAUCCAUAUUCUUAUUUGUGUAAAAACUAACUUCAGAUUUUUUACUCACUAAAUUUCAGAGAUGAGGAGGUUUUUGGUUAAGAGAGCAAGGACUGAAAAUAUGAAUGAUGUGCAACCUGAAGUAGAAGUAGAGCAAAGGACUGAAAAUGUGAAUGAUGCGUAGCCUGAAAUAGAAGUAGAGCCACCAGUGCCAAAUGUUGCCAAUGAAUUUAAUCCAAAUGCGAUUGAGCACGAUUCGGGAAAGAGGAAACACAUUUGUGAAUAUCCUCCUGAUAUUCAAGACCAAGUGAGGAGAGCAUAUAUAUUGAAGGGUCCAAUGCAACCAGAUUUGAAUAAAUACCAUCGUACUGAUUUUGGAAGUUCGCGUUCCUCGAGCAUUUUCCAAAUCUUGGUAUAGAAGGUACGACUGGAUAGAAUACAGUGAGUGGAAUAUUGAUAUAUUAGUUCGCUUAAAUAUUACAUUUGUAUGACUGUUAUGUCUGUACUUUCACUUCAAUAUUAAUGUGGAUUUGUGCUUUGCAAGUUUGAUGCAUAGUAUAUAUUGUCUACCCGGUACGGAAUUUUUUAUUUGCAUAUUAGUCAUUCAGGCUUAAGUUUGACCGGGCUUCGCAAAAGUUCUGGCUCUGCCCCUGGACAACCGUGACCUUGGUGGUUACUUCCGUCGUGAUGGCCACGAUGGAUACUGUGGCGGUGAUGGAGGUUAACGUGGAGGCUAUGGUGGUGGUUACAGUGACUGCGGUGGUGGUAGUUACCGUGGUGGUGGCGGGAGGGGUGGAGGUGGUGGCAAGCAUGACAUGUACGAUGAUGGACUAAGGCGUACGUAUGGUGGCAGCCCACCACGACGUGGAAGGAGCCCUCUAGCCAGAGAGAACUGCAAGGAACACAUGACCAAUAUCAAGCAGUGGAAUCGUGAGCGGGAGGAGAAGAAAUGAUGAUCUCUAUCUAUGUCAGUCCGGUUAUGGGCAAUGCACCAUUUCCUUAUUAAUUAUCGCUUCGUUAGCUUGCAUCUAUGUUGGUUUGAUGUUGAACAUUGGUGUGUCUGUCGAUAUAGUAUUGCUUGGUUUACUGAGCUCUGAGGUGCAAGAUUCAUUUGGAGUUGUGUAAGUUUAUGAAUAUUUGUCAGUGGGAUCUGCUAUCUUAUUGUUUGAGAAGUUAGUGUCAUGCCUUUAUUUAUUUGGUUGAUUGGUCUUCUCUUGUUUGGUGUUACCCUUCAUGAAGGCACUGCCUUGCUCGUUUAGUGUUUCAUGUUGAAAUUGAAGAUAUUGGACGCAAUGUUGGUCCGGUUUGUUCCUCGGGGCACGGGCAUCCGGGGCGCAAUGUAUGACCUCAACCAUGCUUCCUCCAUGGCUUCUCCCUCCAUCCCGGCCAGGUCUUCCAACCCACUUGUCCAUCCUCUAGGUGCUUAGGUGGAAGGUAUGUUGAUCCAGUCUGUCCUGGAGUCGUGGUAGUGGGACAAUGGUGCCGAGCAUUGGUAGUGACGUGGUCUAGACACCCCAUGUAUCUCGUCUCUUUGCCUUGUCGGCUGACUUCGAGUUAGAAGAGUUUUGUGAUGUGUUGUAUCCCUCUUUGCUAUUACCAUAAGUAGUAUGGUGCUUCUCGCUUCUCUCAUAUAUGUAACUAUUAUUUCUCUCUUUCCUAUCAAUAAAAUGAUACACAAAAUUUGCGUGUUUGUGAAAAAAAAAACAUGUAAUUAUGUCUCGUACUUGUUUCUCCGUUCCAUCUGCUGUUGCAUGCAUGACUUCGGUGCUCUUUUGGUCCCUCUGUACGAAAGAUACAUAUAUGGUUUGGGCCCAGCCAUCAGCUGACGAUAUAGAGAUAGUCGGAUGAACAAAUAGAAAUGGAAGCAUUACCACGUGCAGGUGAAAAUGGUAAAGCCAAACCGGAAAAGGAGAAGCGUUGUGAUGUGAUAUUUGGAUUUUGAAUUGAAUAUUUAGAACUUUAGCUGUUUUUUCCUUUGUGAAAAAUAACUAAACUUGAAAGGCACUUCCGAUCGAAGAAGAAUCAACGCAAGCCAUGCGACGAACCUAGUGCCAUUUUGCCUCACCUAUGAGGACCGCUGGCAUGGUGAAAUAAUUUAUCAACUCAGCAACACAAUGAGAGAUACAAAUCAUGGUGUGGUCUUUUACCCAAACGAGUAGUGAAUGGUUCUUAUAGAUGAACAUUCAGACAUACUGUAUAUCGCUUACUAAUAAUACAUAGCAAGGGUAGCAGGGAAAUGAGAAUGACGACCAACUAAACGAGAGAUACAACGAGUACAACAAACUACCAAGCCAGAAAAGAUACAAUGAGUGCAACCACCAAACCAUAAAACAACUGAAGACUGAAGGAGGGAGUACAGGUUAGCUAGUGCGACGAAAAGCAUCACAACAGAGUUCAUUGCAGAGUAUUUUCCAAAGGAAAAGCUCGCCGUCACAGCUGAGCUGCCUGGCAUGAGAAUCCCUUGUUCUCAUGAUUUGUCAAUUGGGUCUGUUGCCGCAUUAUUUGCGUUGUUGGUAAUUCUACCAGUGCCUUAACCGUUAGUGCUUCUCAGUCGGCUUCAGGCAUCACGUAAUGUGUUUGCUUGUUUUAACCGUUGCUACCCUGUUGUUUGUACUAAUGCCCAUGCAUUCCUCGCCACAAGUUUCUGAGAUAAUCAUACGAAUGAUGAACUAGCGCAAGACAUGUGAAGCACUUUCGAGACCACAGGCAGACUGUGAUAUAAUCUACCACUGUUUGUUUGUUACUGCAAGCAAGAUUUGGACAUGUCAUUCAAUAAAACUACUAGUAGAAUUUUUUGUCAAAAUUCCUCGCAGUACAAAUACAGAGCAAGUUUAUCAAUAAAAGAACGACCAAACCAGAGAAUACACGGGUACAGCUAGAAACCCAACAUAGAAUACGGAUUAGCUAGUGAAAUGAGAGGCAUCACAAGAAAUUUAUUGCAGAGGAAAAGAUAGCUAGGGUACUUCUCAAAAGAAAGACGCACAGAACCUCGAUUUGAUACAAUCAGCAUCUGCGUGUUGUGUAGCGACCCAUAUGAUUGUUAUUAGCUCACCACCACGGCUUAGUUGUUUGGCAUGGGACUCCCUGCUGCACCGGAGGGACGCAUCGACGAGCAUGUUCACCCACACAUCCAAGAUGAACUCCAACGUUCUUUCAAUAUGCCCAGAGCCAGGACCAGGAGGAUGCAGCAUAUUUGGAAUCCAGUGUGCGUGUCUUCUAAUGGCAACAAGUCCACCUUCUUCGGUAGCUGUCCUCCGAUGAUGCAGCUCAUGGGCAAUUUGAGUUCCUUCUGAGAGACAAAUACGAGCUCUGUCCUCGAGAUGACCCUUAUUUAUUCCUCCAGUUCCUUCACCAGUAGCACCUAGCGUCUUGAGAUUAUCCUUGUUCGUCAGCAUCCACUUGGCAAGCUCAUCCCCUUUUGUUUUAGAACUGCUGGCCCUAUAUUGCGGCUUGACCGCCAUCCCAAUAAUACGGCAGGCUGUUUUGAUCACGCUGUGGAACUUACGGCCUGGUAGCAUGUCAUGUUUUCCGAUGUCGAGGAACAUCAUGUAAUCCGAUAUCAUCUCGAUCGCCUUCUUAUGGUGUGGGAAUCGCUGCGCAACUGUGGCUGUGACUUGGGUGUUGCACCUGAGGUAAACAUCUGUGGCGAUGUGCCAGAUGAAGACAUCCUCUUGAAAUUCAGGAGGAUGAUCAGGUUGUUGCUCGGAUGUGCCAGGCCCCAAGCGAUCAGCCUGCUCGGCGGGAGGAGGGGACCGUGUGACAGAUCUUCUAUAUCGGCCAAGCAAAACAGAAGCUUUGAUGGAUAGCUCUCAGAGAACAGAAGAGCUGCUGUAUAGGGUGCCCCCUCCCCGAGUGCAGUUGUCCAACAAGUUUCUGUAUAGGGUGUUAAAUGGUCCCCGAGUGCAGCUGUUCAAGAAGUUACGCUGCCCCAAGGAACCCGCCCACCUCCUGUAGCUUUUGGGCUCCUCGGCAGAUUCACACGUCCACAAGCACAAGGAAACCCGGGAAAGAAGCAGUGACACGACAAACCGACGGAGCUUCGCCCAUCUCUCCAGGAAUUCAUGCUUCAACCAAAUGUUUGGCCUACGUUUGAAGAAUGAACGUGUCCAUGCUGAUGCUAGUGCUCUGAACAGCCAUCUCACGUCGAGGAGGAGGGUCAAAUUCAGCAACACAUAACUGAUAGCUUCAUUUUCUGUCGACAUGCCCUCUUUGUGGUGGAGGCCAAACAGGAGGAGCGCGAUGGCGGUAAGGGGCGGUGCGAUCAUACGGAUGGCGUAGCCACCCCAGGUGUGGACCACGGCUGCCUUGGUGUAGAGGAUGUCAUACAUGAGUGAGAGUUCCAUCUGCACCACUUUGCACAUAAUUUUCCAAUUAACAGUUUUGAACAAGCUUAUGCCAGCUUUAUGACGAUCCAGGUCCACCAGAUAAUCACAAAAGGCACCCUUGCCUCAGGAACGGGACCCAGAAUGCGAAGAUCAUCUUCUCGCGCCGUGAGGUUUCGAUGUACAGGUUGCUCAUGACAUAUGCCGGGGCCAAGUCAGUCAGCUGGUAUGCCACCCACACCAACCCUCUCCUCAAACCUCUGCGUUUGCGCCGGCGGAUGUCGGCGAAGACGGCAAGGAUAAGAUGUGACGCUAAGCUGAGAAGCGUCACUAUCCGGUACAUCCAGUUACUCCACCACUCCACCCCAUGUUCAAUCCAUUGUCCACCAUACAAGCAUGUACUAGCCAUUAAGUGCUCCUGCAUGCACCGAAAUCAAGAUUAGGUACACUAUACCACAUAUAUAUGUGCAAGGCAUCUACUUCCUCUGUUUCUAAAUAUAAGACCUUUCAGAGAUUAAAAUAUGUAGGGACUACAUACAGAUAUGUAUAUAGAGUUAUAGACACAUUAUAGAGUGUAAAUUCACUCAAUUUGCUCCGUUUGUAGUCUAUAUUGGAAUGUCUAAAAGGUCUUAUAUUUAGGAACGGAGGGAGUAGUAUGUAGUCUAGCUAGCUGUUACUGUUAAUUGAGAUGUUGCGUCCAUGCUAGAGAGAGGUUAAUAAGGACCAAAAACCAAAAUCAAGUACAAGUACACACAUACCGGCAUGCACCAGCUAGCUAGGCUGAUCAAUGCUUCGACCUUCCAGUGGAGACCUAAGACAAGUGUUACUCUCGUGUCCUGUCUCUAGAGCUGGGACUGGCAUAUGAGCAGUUCUAAGUUGAUCCACUAAUAGCUUAACUGUAGAAUGUUUCCUACUUAGGUUCAGUUUUGUCUUUACUGACCCGUUAAACUAUGGCUAUUGUGCAUCAAGAUUCGUUCGAAGUCCUAAGAAAACACAAGGUUGUCAGGGACGGUUUUUCUUUGGCUGGGGUUGCCGUCAAUCUGAAUUGAGGAUGUCAGUGAUUGGCAGCUCCAGACUGCAAAAUUUGUCCUACUUAUUGGACAGCUGAUCAGCAUUGUUCUUAGUUCCACUUCCUAGUGCACACACUAGCAGCCACUGGGGCCUAGCAGGGGGCGGCAAUGAGCACCGGUGAGCCGUGUCGACAUCACCAACAGCAGAUGGAGAGGAAGGGAAAAGGGCUGGCAAAGCCAAAAGCAAGGAUCACAUGAAACUAUUGUGUGCAUUGUUAAUGUAUAUGAAACUAUUUUUCUUUCUCGCAAAAAAGAAGUGUAUAUUGACUACACAUGCACUGAACUGGAGCUAAGAUGAUUAGAUACGGUUCUUAUCAAUCAAGCUAGAACAAAAGAGAUUAUUUGUCCCUCACAAUUUGGUAAUCCUGCUCUGCCAAUUUUCACCAUCAGUGUCAAAUAAACAAUGAGCGCACGGAGAGAUUGAGAGAGCGCUCACCGAAAUCAGUGGAGUGGCGCUUGGGCAUAUGCAGGAACUCGGGAGUACUCAUGCUCCCGGUCAUGCCGGAGACCGCGGCACACGAAAUCUUGAGCAAUGGAGAAGGGCGCAAAAUUCACGGCCAUACCGCUGCCUUGCGGUCCUCCUCGCUUCAGGUCAGGGACCGAGCGCGGAAGGGCGCCGCCGCCUCGAUUCCUUCCUCGGUGGUGGGCUCGGCCUUGGCCUCCCCUACAGGAUCCGGAGAGGGAGGUUCGGCGGGGAGUGGCGGCGGACGGGCCGACGGGAGGGGCGCUGCCAUCGCUGGCCGCCUGGUCUGGUGCCGCCGUACGGGGGGAGGCAGGCGCGACUAUGAGGUGCUCAUAGCCAGACCGAAGCGGGAGACAAUCGCCCGGCCCAGCGCGCUGGAGGGCCACAAGCAUUAAGCGUUCGUUUUUUUCUUUCAUUUUGAACUUUUUUAGUUUUUAUUAGAAAACAUUUGUUUAUAUUUCGACAUAUUCUAAACAUAUAGUAUAUUAUAAAAAUAAAUUUACAUAAAAUUUUGAAUAAAUUUUAGUCAUGCAUUUGAAAAAUGUUAAACCUAUAUAGAAAAUUGUUUCUAAUGUAUAGAACAUGUAUGAAAAAAGUAGACAUCAAAACAUAUAUAGGAAAAAAAAUAAACAUGUAUAUUUUUUUAUGAUGUAUACAAAAAAUGUAGAUGGUGUAUGAAAAAUGUAGACAUCAAAAUAUAUAUACUAUAAAAGUGUGUGCUGUGUUAAAAAAAUGUUUGUGCAAGUUUUAAAAAAUGGUGAUAGAAUUUGAAAACAAUGUUUCAACAUGUCAUUGAAUUUUUUUAACACAUAUGCGAACAACAAUGUUCAAAAACAUAUGUUUGAAAACAUGUUAAUGAUGUAUUUGAGAAAUGUUAAACAUAUAUAAAAUAAAUGUUUUAGAUGUAUACGAAAAAUGUACAAUGCAUCUAGCACAAAGUAGACAUGAAAACAUGUAGUAUUUGGAAAAAAUGUUAAUCAUUGUAUUUUACAAAUUUUAACUAUGUAUUAAAAAGUGUUAAACGUGUAAAAAAAUCUUGAUGUAUACAAAAAAUAGAAGGGGAGCCUUGGCGCAGCGCUAAAGUUAUUGCAAAACAGUUUACGAGUCCUGGAAACAGCCUCUUGCAGAAAUGUAGGGAAAAACUGCAUACAAUAGAUCCAAAGUGCCUGGACCCUGCAUAAGCGGGAGUUACGUGCACUGCGCUGCCCCUUUAUUUAUAUAUACAAAAUAUGUAGACAUCAAAACAUGUAGCAUAAUGUUAAUCAUGUAUUUUAAAAUUGUAAAACAUAUAUAAAUUUUUUCUUGAUGUAAAACAAAUGUAGACAUAAAAACAUGCAUAUUUAAAAUAAUGUUAAUCAUGUAUUUAAAAAUUAUUAAAUGUGUAUAAUUUGUUUUCUUGAUGUAUACAAAAACUGUAGACAUCAAACAUGUACUACCUCUAUUCCUAAAUGUAGUGUGCAUAGGUAAGUUCAAAAGUCAAACUUCUCCUACCUUGAUUACAUUUAUAGAGGACAAAUAUCUACAUCUACAGGUUAAGUAAAUAUCAUUAGAUACAUCAUUAAGCAUAUAUUUAUAUUAUAUUUGUUUAGUAUUAUUUUGGUUGAUGCUUUUCUCUUUGGUCAAACAAAACAAUGUUUGACUCCUAGGAAAUUUUAUACGCACUACAUUUAGGAAUAGAGGGAGUACAUUUAAAAUAAUGUUAAUCAUGUACUCCCUCCAUCCCAUAAUAUAAGAACGCUUUUCAUGCUAUGCUAGCUUGAAAAACGUUCUUAUAUUACGGGACAGAGGGAAUAUUUUUAAAAUGCUGAACGUGUAUACAAAUAACGUUUCAUGUAUUUUUAUUAAAUGAGUAUAAGAAAAAAAGUACAAGGCGUAUGGGAAAAAGUAGACUUGAGAACAGAUAUUAUAAAAAAUGUUAGUCUGUAGUUAAAAUGUUAAAUAUGCAUAAAACAUAUUUUGUUGUAUACAAAAAUGUACAUUGUAUGUGAAAAAGUAGACAUGUGUUGAAAAAGUAAAAAGAAACAAAAAGCAAAAAAAAAGUUAAACACAAUGAAAACCAAAGCAAAAAAGAAAAACUGAGAAAGAAACAUAGAAAACUGAAGAAAACGAAAAAAAAGGAAAUCCAAUUUUUUUUUGAAGAAAAACAAAGAAACCCGAGAAAGCAACAAAUAAAAAGAAAGGAACCCCAAAAAAUGAAGCGAAGGAGCAAAGCGAGCAUACAUCUCGCUGUAAGCGAGAUAUAGCUCCCGGAGCAGCAGGUGGACAAAUGAUGUUUCCCUUUCUUCACGAGUGAAUCUCGCAGCACCCCAAUUUCAACAUGGUAAAUUUUUAUUUUUAAACUUUCAGUUAUAAAACCACUAAUUUUGUGCUAAUGACCAGCAAGGCUCACUUGUCAGGCCUAGUGACAAGAACAUUGUUUACUUUGAUAUAGCUUUGAAUUUUCAAUGAAGAUCCAAUUAAUUUGGAAAUAAAAACUUUAAACUACUUAUAUCUUUUAAAAAAAUCAUGAAUUUUUUUUUUGUUAAAAUUUUCGUAGCAAACUUACCAACGAUGAUUCUCUCAUAGUCAAACUGCUCAUUUUAAUGAGCUGAAAUUCUUCAGAAUAGUCAUUCCAAUGAGUAUGGCUUUUCUAGAAACCACAACAAGCAACCUUGCGGUAAAUGACAAUUUUAUGGUAGGUACCCAUCCCAGGAAUAUGGCUGGAACCGUUGAUGAUGAUGUGAUGGUUUUCGAUUACUUCCCGGUCGUCGUUAUAACAUUGUAGCUAAACGCUUAAUUAUGAGAUUGAAAAUAUAAUAAUAUAACAUUAUUGCCUCUAGGGCAUAUUUCCAACACUGACACAUUUGAUUGUUGGAAAUGUUGGGGAACGUAGUAAUUUCAAAAAAAAAAUCCUAAGCACACAUAAGAUCAUGGUGAUGCAUAGCAACGAGAGGGGAGACUGUUGUCCAUGUACCCUCGUAGACCGAAAGCGGAAACAUUAUGACAACGCGGUUGAUGUAGUCGUAUGUCUUCACGAUUGACCGAUCCUAGUGUUGGGGAACGUAGUAAUUUUAAAAAAAUUCCUACGUACACGCAAGAUCAUGGUGAUGCAUAGCAACGAGAGGGGAGAGUAUCGUCUAUGUACCCUCGUAGACCAUAAGAGGAAGCAUUAUGACAACGCGGUCGAUGUAGUCGUACGCCUUCACGAUCGACCGAUCCUCAGUACCGAACGUACGGCACCUCCGCGUUCAGCACACGUUCAGCUCGGUGAUGUCCCGUGAACUCACGAUCCAUUAGAGCUUCGGGGAAGAGCUUCGUCAGCACGACGGCGUGGUGACGGUGUUGAUGAAGUUACCGACGCAGGGCUUCGCCUAAGCACCGCUACGAUAUGACCGAGGUGGAUUAUGGUAGAGGGGGGCACCUCACACGGCUAAGAGAUCAAUGAUCAAUUGUUGUGUCUUGGGGUGCCCCUCUGCCCCCGUAUAUAAAGAAGCUAGGGGGGAGGCGGCCGGCCAAGGAGGAGGGCGCACCAAGGGGGGAGUCCUACUCCCACCGGGAGUAGGACUCCUUUCCUAGUAGGAGUAGGACAAGGGGGAAGGGAAGGAGAGAGGAGAAAGGAAGGGGGGGCACCGCCCCCUCCUUUUCCAAUUCGGACUAGAGGGGGAGGGGGCGCGCGACCUGCCCUGGCUGCCCCUCCUCUUCUCCACUUAGGCCCAAUAGGCCCAUUAUACUCCCCGGGGGAUUCCAGUAACCCCCCGGUACUCCGGUAUAUGUCUGAAACCUCCCGAAGCACUUCCGGUGUCCAAACAUAGUUGUCCAAUAUAUCGAUCUUUACGUGUCAACCAUUUCGAGACCCCUCGUCAUGUCCGUGAUCAUAUCCGGGACUCCGAACUACCUUCGGUACAUCAAAACACAAAAACUUAUAAUACCGAUCGUCACAGAACUUUAAGCGUGCGGACCUCACGGGUUCGAGAACUAUGUAGACAUGACCGAGACAUGUCUCCGGUCAAUAACCAAUAGCGGAACCUGGAUGCUCAUAUUGGUUCCUACAUAUUCUACGAAGAUCUUCAUCGGUCAAACCGCAUAACAACAUACGUUGUUCCCUUUGUCAUCGGUAUGUUACUUGCCCGAGAUUCGAUCGUCGAUAUCUCAAUACCUAGCUCAAUCUCGUUACCGGCAAGUAUCUUUACUUGUUCCGUAGUGCAUCAUCCCGUAACUAACUCAUUAGUCACAUUGCUUGCAAGGCUUAUAGUUAUGUGCAUUACCGAGAGGGCCCAGAGGUACCUCUCCGCCAAUCGGAGUGACAAAUCCUAUUCUUGAUCUAUGCCAACUCCAGGAACACCAUCGGAGACACCUGUAGAGCACCUUUAUAAUCAGCCAGUUAUGUUGUGGCGUUUGGUAGCAGACAAAGUGUUCCUCUAGUAUUCGGGAGUUGCAUAAUCUCAUAGUCAUAGGAACAUGUAUAAGUCAUGGAGAAAGCAAUAGCAGUAAACUAAAGGAUCAAGUGCUAAGCUAACGAAAUGGGUCAAGUCAAUCACAUCAUUCUCCUAAUGAUGUGACCCCGUUAAUCAAAUGACAACUCAUGUCCAUGGCUAGGAAACUCAAACAUCUUUGAUCAACGAGCUAGUCAAGUAGAGGCAUACUAGUGACACUAUGUUUGUCUAUGUAUUCAGACAUGUAUUAUGUUUCCGGUUAAUACAAUUCUAGCAUGAAUAAUAAACAUUUAUCAUGAUAUGAGGAAAUAAAUAAUAACUUUAUUAUUGCCUCUAGGGCAUAUUUCCUUCAGUCUCCCACUUGCACUUGAGUCAAUAAUCUUGAUUACAUAGUAAUGAUUCUAACACCCAUGGAGUCUUGGUGUUGAUCAUGUUUUGCUCGUGGAAGAGGCUUAGUCAACGGGUCUGCAACAUUUAGAUCUGUAUGUAUCUUGCAAAUCUCUAUGUCUCCCACCUGGACUUGAUCCCGGAUGGAAUUGAAGCGUCUCUUGAUGUGCUUGGUCCUCUUGUGAAAUCUGGAUUCCUUUGCCAAGGCAAUUGCACCAGUAUUGUCACAAAAUAUUUUGAUUGGACCCGAUGCACUAGGUAUGACACCUAGAUCAGAUAUGAACUCAUUCAUCCCGACUCCUUCAUUUGCAGCUUCCGAAGCAGAUAUGUACUCUGCUUCACACGUAGAUCCCGUCACGACGCUUUUUUAGAACUGCACCAACUGACAGCUCCACCAUUCAAUAAAAACAUGUAUCCGGUUUGCGAUUUAGAAUCGUCCGGAUCAGUGUUAAAUUAAAGCUUGCAUCGACGUGACUAUUUACGAUGAGCUCUUUGCCACCUCCAUAAACGAGAAACAUAUCCUUAGUCCUUUUCAGGUAUUUUAGGAUGUUCUUGACCGUUGUCCAGUGAUCCACUUCUGGAUUACUUUGGUACCUCCCUGCUAAACUAAUAGCAAGGCACACAUCAGGUCUGGUACACAACAUUGCAUACAUGAUAGAACCUAUGGCUGAAGCAUAGGGAACACUUUUCAUUUUCUCUCUAUCUCCUGCAGUGGUCGGGCAUUGAGUCUGACUCAACUUCACACCUUGUAACACAGGCAAGAACCCUUUCUUUGCUUGAUCCAUUUUGAACUUUUUCAAAACUUUAUCAAGGUAUGUGCUUUGUGAAAGUCCAAUUAAGCGUCUUGAUCUAUCUCUAUAGAUAUUGAUGCCUAAUAUAUAAGCAGCUUCACCAAGGUCUUUCAUUGAAAAACUCUAAUUCAAGUAUCCUUUUAUGCUAUACAGAAAUUCUAUAUCAUUUCCAAUCAACAAUAUGUCAUCCACAUAUAAUAUUAGAAACGCUACAGAGCUCCCACUCACUUUCUUGUAAAUACAGGCUUCUCCAAAUGUAUGUAUAAAACCAUAUGCUUUGAUCACACUAUCAAAACGUUUAUUCCAACUCCAAGAGGCUUGCACCAGUCCAUAAAUGGAUCGCUGGAGCUUGCACACUUUGUUAGCACCCUUUGGAUCGACAAAACCUUCUGGUUGCAUCAUAUACAACUCUUCUUCCAGAAAUCCAUUCAAGAAUGCAGUUUUGACAUCCAUUUGCCAAAUUUCAUAAUCAUAAAAUGCGGCAAUUGCUAGCAUGAUUCGGGCAGACUUAAGCAUCGCUACGGGUGAGAAAGUCUCAUCGUAGUCAACCCCUUGAACUUGUCGAAAACCUUUCGCAACAAGUCGAGCUUUGUAGACAGUAACAUUACCGUCAGCGUCAGUCUUCUUCUUGAAGAUCCAUUUAUUCUCUAUGGCUUGCCGAUCAUCGGGCAAGUCAACCAAAGUCCACACUUUGUUCUCAUACAUGGAUCCCAUCUCAGAUUUCAUGGCCUCAAGCCAUUUUGCGAAAUCUGGGCUCACCAUCGCUUCUUCAUAGUUCGUAGGUUUGCCAUGGUUAAGUAACAUGACUUCCAGAACAGGAUUGCCAUACCACUCUGGUGCGGAUCUUACUCUGGUUGACCUACAAGGUUCGGUAGUAACUUGAUCUGAAGUUUGAUGAUCAAUAUCAUUAGCUUCCUCACUAAUUGGUGUAGGUGUCACAGGAACCGGUUUCUGUGAUGAACUACUUUCCAAUAAGGGAGCAGGUACAGUUACCUCAUCAAGUUCUACUUUCUUCCCACUCACUUCAUUCGAGAGAAACUCCUUCUCUAGAAAGGAUCCAUUCUUAGCAACGAAUGUUUUGCCUUCGGAUCUGUGAUAGAAGGUGUACCCAACAAUUUCCUUUGGGUAUCCUAUGAAGACACAUUUCUCUGAUUUGGGUUCGAGUUUAUCAGGUUGAAGCUUUUUCACAUAAGCAUCGCAACCCCAAACUUUAAGAAAUGACAACUUUGGUUUCUUGCCAAACCACAGUUCAUAAGGCGUCGUCUCAACGGAUUUUGAUGGUGCCCUAUUUAACGUGAAUGCAGCUGUCUCUAAAGCAUGACCCCAAAACGAUAGCAGUAAAUCAGUAAGAGACAUCAUAGAUCGCACCAUAUAUAGUAAAGUACGAUUACGACAUUCGGACACACCAUUAUGUUGUGGUGUUCCGGGUGGCGUGAGUUGUGAAACUAUUCCGCAUUGUUUCAAAUGAAGACCAAACUCGUAACUCAAAUAUUCUCCUCCAUGAUCAGAUCGUAGAAACUUCAUUUUCUUGUUAUGAUGAUUUUCCACUUCACUCUGAAAUUCUUUGAACUUUUCAAAUGUUUCAGACUUAUGUUUCUUUACGUAGAUAUACCCAUAUCUGCUCAAAUCAUCUGUGAAGAUGAGAAAAUAACGAUACCCGCCGCGAGCCUCAAUAUUCAUCGGACCACAUACAUCAGUAUGUAUGAUUUCCAACAAAUCUGUUGCUCGCUCCAUUGUUCCGGAGAACGACGUUUUAGUCAUCUUGCCCAUGAGGCAUGGUUCACAAGUACCAAGUGAUUCCAAAAGUCCAUCAGUAUGGAGUUUCUUCAUGCGCUUUACACCAAUAUGACCCAAACUGCAGUGCCACAAAUAAGUUGCACUAUCAUUAUCAACUCUGCAUCUUUUGGCUUCAACAUUAUGAAUAUGUGUAUCACUACUAUCGACAUUCAACAAAAAUAGACCACUCUUCAAGGGCGCAUGACCAUAAAAGAUAUUACUCAUAUAAAUAGACCAACCAUUAUUCUCAGAUUUAAAUGAAUAACCGUCUCGCAUCAAACAAGAUCCAGAUAUAAUGUUCAUGCUCAAUGCUUAACAAUUAUUCAGGUCUAAAACUAACCAAGAAGGUAGAUGUAGAGGUAGCGUGCCGACGGCGAUCACAUCGACUUUGGAACCAUUUCCCAUGCGCAUCAUCACCUCGUCCUUAGCCAAUCUCCACUCAAUCCGUAGUCCCUGUUUCGAGUUGCAAAUAUUAGCAACAGAACCAGUAUGAAAUACCCAGGUGCUACUAUGAGCUUUAGUAAGGUACACAUCAAUAACAUGUAUAUCACAUAUACCUUUGUUCACCUUGCCAUCCUUCUUAUCCGCCAAAUACUUGGGGUAGUUCCGCUUCCAGUGACUAGUCUGUUUGCAGUAGAAGCACUCAGUCUCAGGCUUAGGUCCAGACUUAGGUUUCUUCUCUUGAGCAGCAACUUGUUUGCUGUUCUUCUUGAACUUCCCCUUCUUCUUCCCUUUACCCUUUUUCUUGAAACUAGUGGUCUUGUUGACCAUCAACACUUGAUGCUCCUUCUUGAUUUCUACCUCCGCAGCCUUUAGCAUUGCGAAGAGCUCGGGAAUUGUCUUAUCCAUCCCUUGCAUAUUAUAGUUCAUCACGAAGCUCUUGUAGCUUGGUGGCAGUGAUUGACGAAUUCUGUCAAUGACACUAUCAUCCGGAUGAUUAACUCCCAGUUAAAUCAAGUGGUUAUUAUACCCAGACAUUUUGAGUAUAUGUUCACUAACAGAACUAUUCUCCUCCAUCUUGCAGCUGUAGAACUUAUUGGAGACUUCAUAUCUCUCAAUCCGGGCAUUUGCUUGAAAUAUUAACUUCAACUCCUGGAACAUCUCAUAUGCUCCAUGACGUUCAAAACGUCGUUGAAGUCCUGGUUCUAAGCCAUAAAGCAUGGCACACUGAACUAUCGAGUAGUCAUCAGCUUUGCUCUGCCAGAGGUUCAUAAUGUCGUCAGUUGCAUCUGCAACAGGCCUGGCACCCAGCGGUGCUUCCAGGACGUAAUUCUUCUGUGCAGCAAUGAGGAUAAUCCUCAAGUUAUGGACCUAGUCCGUGUAAUUGCUACUGAUAACCCACAAGUAUAGGGGAUCGCAACAGUUUUCGAGGGUAGAGUAUUCAACCCAAAUUUAUUGAUUCGACACAAGGGGAGCCAAAGAAUAUUCUCAAGUAUUAGCAGCUGAGUUGUCAAUUCAACCACACCUGGAAACUUAGUAUCUGCAGCAAAGUGUUUAGUAGCAAAGUAAUAUGAUAGUGGUGGUAACGGUAACAAAAGUAAAGACAGCAAAACUAAUGUUUUUGGUAUUUUUGUAGUGAUUGUAACAAUAGCAACGGAAAAGUAAAUAAGCGAGAACUAGUAUAUGGAAAACUCGUAGGCACCGGAUCAGUGAUGGAUAAUUAUGUCGGAUGUGGUUCGUCAUGUAGCAGUCAUAACAUAGGGUGACACAGAACUAGCUCCAAUUCAUCAAUGUAAUGUAGGCAUGUAUUCCGAAUAUAGUCAUACAUGCUUAUGGAAAAGAACUUGCAUGACAUCUUUUGUCCUACCCUCCCGUGGCAGCGGGGUCCUAUUGGAAACUAAGAGAUAUUAAGGCCUCCUUUUAAUAGAGAACCGGAACAAAGCAUUAGCACAUAGUGAAUACAUGAACUCCUCAAACUAUGGUCAUCACCGGGAGUGGUUCCGAUUAUUGUCAAUUCGGGGUUGCCGGAUCAUAACACAUAGUAGGUCACUAUAGACUUGCAAGAUAGGAUCAAGAACUCACAUAUAUUCAUGAAAACAUAAUAGGUUCAGAUCUGAAAUCAUGGCACUCGGGCCCUAGUGACAAGCAUUAAGCAUAGCAAAGUCAUAGCAACAUCAAUCUCAGAACAUAGUGGAUACUAGGGAUCAAGCCCUAACAAAGCUAAAUCGAUUACAUGAUAAAUCUCAUCCAACCCAUCACCGUCCAGCAAGCCUAUGAUGGAAUUACUCACACACGGCGGUGAGAAUCAUGAAAUUGGUGAUGGAGGAUGGUUGAUGAUGACGACGGCGACGAAUCCCCCUCUCCGGAGCCCCGAACGGACUCCAGAUCAGCCCUCCCGAGAGAGAUUAGGGCUUGGCGGCGGCUCCAUAUCGUAUAACGCAAUGAUUUCUUCUCUCUGAUUUUUUCUCCCCGAAAGCCAAUAUAUGGAGUUGGAGUUGGCGUCGGAGGGCCACCAGGGGGCCCACGAGGUAGGGGGGCACGCCCUAGGGGGGGCACCCUCGUGGACAGGGUGUGGGCCCCCCUGGUCUUCAUCUUUGGCGAGGAUUUUUUAUUAUUUAUUCUAAGAUAUUCCUUGGAGUUUUAGGUCAUUCCGAGAACUUUUAUUUUCUGCACAAAAACAACAUCAUGGCAAUUCUGCUGAAAACAGCGUCAGUCCGGGUUAGUUCCAUUCAAAUCAUACAAGUUAGAGUCCAAAACAAGGGCAAAAGUGUUUGGAAAAGUAGAUACGACGGAGACGUAUCUACUCCCCCAAGCUUAAACCCUUGCUUGUCCUCAAGAAAUUCAGUUGACAAACUGAAAGAGAAAAAGAAAACCUUUUACAAACUCUGUUUGCUCUUGUUGUUGUAACAUGAAAAGCCAGCAUUCAAGUUCCAGCAAAUAUUAUGAACUAACCAUACUAACAAUAACCCAAAGGUCUCACAAUUACUCAUAUCAAUAGCAUAAUCAACUAGCGAGCUAUAAUAACAAAACUCGGAUGACAACACUUUUUCAAAAUAAUCAUAACAUGAUAUAACAAAAUGGUAUCUCGCUAGCCCUUUCUGAGACCGCAAAACAUAAAUGCAAAGCACCUUUAAAGAUCAAGGACUGACUAAACAUUAUAAUUCAUGGUAAAAGAGAUCCAGUCAAGUCAUACCCAAUGUAAACCAAUUAUAAUGAAUGCAAAUGACAGUGUGCUCUCCAGCGGGUGCUUUUUAAUAAGAAGGAUGAUGACUCAACAUAAAAGUAAAUAGAUAGGCCCUUCGCAGAGGGAAGCAGGGAUUUGUAGAGGUGCCAGAGCUCAGUUUUAAAAUAGAGAUUGAAUAAGAUUUUGAGCGGCAUACUUUUGCUGUCAACGCAACAACUAUGAGGUGACGAUAUCUCCCAUGCUAAGCAAAUUAUAGGCGGUUCCCAAACAGAAUGGUAAAGUUUAUACUCCCCCUCCUCCACAGGCAUCAAUCCAUGGCUUGCUCGAAACAACGAGUGCCUCCAACAUUUAACGGGUCCCAGGAGGAGUUUUGUUUGCAAUUAUUUUGAUUUAGUUUGCAUAAAGCAUGGGACUGGGCAUCCCGGUGACCAGCCAUUUUCUCGUGAAUGAGGAGCGGAGUCCACUCCUCUUGAGAAUAACCGCCUAACAUGGAAGAUAAGGGCAGCCCUAGUUGAAACAUGAGCUGCUCGAGCAUACAAAACAGAAUUUCAUUUGAAGGUUUGGAGUUUGGCACAUACAAAUUUACUUGGAACGGCAGGUAAAUACCGCAUAUAGGUAGGUAUAGUGGACUCAUAUGGAACAACAUUGGGGUUUAAGGAGUUUGGAUGCACAAGCAGUAUUCCCGCUUAGUACAGGUGAAGGCUAGCAAAGGACUGGGAAGCGACCAACUGGGAGAGCGACAACAGUCGUAACCAUGCAUUAAAAUUAAUUUACACCGAAUACAAGCAUGAGUAGGAUAUAAUCUACCAUGAACAUAAAUAUCAUGAAGGCUAUGUUGAUUUGAUUCAACUACAUGCGUGAACAUGUGCCAAGUCUAGUCACUCAAUUCAUUUAAAGGAGGAUACCAUCCCAUCAUACCACAUCAUAAUCAUUCUAAUAGCAUGUUGGCACGCAAGGUAAACCAUUAUAACUCAUAGCUAAUCAAGCAUGGCAAAAGCAACUAUAAUCUCUAAAUGUUAUUGUAAAUAUGUUAACUUCAUAAUAGCUGACUCAGGAACGAUGAAUCAUCAUAUUUACAAAAACAAGAGAGGUCGAGUUCAUACCAGCUUUUCUCAUCCCAAUAAGUCCAUCAUAUAUCAUCAUUAUUGCCUUUCACUUGCACAACCGAACGAUGUGAAUAAUAAUAAGAGUGCACGUGCAUUGGACUAAGCUGGAAUCUGCAAGCAUUCAAUAGAUAGGAGAAGACAAGGAAUAUGGGCUCUAAAUUAAAUAAACAAUCAUGCAUAUAAGAGCCACUUCAACAAUUUAAUCAUGGUCUUCUCCUACUGACCCCCAAAGAAAAAGAAAGGAAAUAAAAACUAUUUACACGGGAAAGCUCCCAACAAGCAAAAGAAGAACGGGAAAUAUUUUUGGGUUUUCCUUUUUAAUUACUACAGCAAAGAAAUAAACUACUACUAAUUUGUUUUUGUUUUUCUUAAGGUUUAUUAAGCACACAAGAAGAAAGCAGGAGAAAGAAAGUAAUCUAGCAUGGAUAUUACAAUGAAAGAGUAUGAACACCGACAUCUAGCAAUGAGUGUGUGUGAACAUGAAUGUAAUGUCGGUGGGAAAUACGUACUCCCCCAAGCUUAGGCUUUUGGCCUAAGUUGGUCUAUUGCCAGGGAUGGCCUGGUGGAUACCCGUAGGUGAAGCUGGGGUCAUACUGCGAUGCAGAAGACUCUGACUGCCACUGGCUGGCAGCCACCUCUGGAUCCCAAGAAUAAAUAGACUAUCGUGGAGGCUCAUCUUGUGGCUCCGGUUCCGGGGCGGGUGCAGGAUUUCGAUAGGCUUGAAUGGCCGCCCACGGAACGAUGUGAGGACCUGCAGACAAGUUAAACAAAGAGGGAGCAGGCAAAGUAAUAGUCUCAGGGUGAUGUUUAUCAAAGUACAAUUUAUAUUUGAGUUCCCCUUCACGACUCUUAACAACAAAGUCAUGCGCUAGCAUACUCCUAUAAUCUAAAUAAGCACGGGGCAGCGAUGUUUCCUCUUUCUCCUCAUGCCUAAUAGGUAUUUCAAAAUAUUCAGCUAGGCGUGAAGCAUAAAUGCCUCCAAAGACGGGGCCCUUAGUAUGGUUCAGACUUAACUGUCUAGCAACAAUUCCACCCAUACUAACAGAGUUAUUGCGGUAUAAACCAUGGAACAAAAUGAUAACAUCAGGAACACUAAGGUUUCCACAGUUUCCACGACCUAUCAAGCAACGACUAGCAAAUAAGGCAAAGCAGCGUAAAACAGGAAAAUGUAUGCUAGUAAUUCUUGCAUCAGAAACCUUCCUGGUUUCUCCCACCGUGAUAGUGUGAAUAAAAGCUUCUACUUCAUUACGGUGUGGUUCAUCCAAGGUGCCCUCAAAGGGUAUUUUGCAAACCUCACAAAAUUCAGCUAAUGGCAUCCUCUUAACAACGUCAUAUAAAUGAAACUCUACUGAUGGAGGUGAAUUCUUAGGGAAAAAGUAGAAGUUUUGCACAAAAGUAUUUGUGAGUAAGAGAUACUGAUGACAUUGGUCGCGGAGGAAGUCGGUGAGGCCAGCAUUCUCAAUUAAUAAAUAGAAAUCUUCGUAAAUCCUGGCUUUCCUCAAGAAGUCAUCGGAAGGCCAUUCACACGGCCGGACCUCCGCGGUGCGAGGCAAAUUAAAUUUGGGCUUCUGUUCUUCUUCCUUUUGUUUUUCCUUCGAGCUUCGGCUCGACGAGCCCCUCAAAAGUCUCUUCAUUAUUUCUGAAACAAUCUGAAAUUUUUAGUAACUUCAAAUAAAAGUGAACCAACUUCAAUAAAAUUGAUAGCAACUACUCCCACGAGUGCCUAGAGACUAAAUCAAGCAUUAGAACUACUUGGGACCAUAUGAAUUUGACAUGCAAGCUCAAGAAGAUGGUCACCUAGGCAGCAUAAAUUUGCAAUAAAUAAAGCACUAGAACAAAAACUAAUUGGACCAAUGGAGGAGUCACAUACCAAGGAACAAUCUCCCCAAGCAGUUUUGCAAGAGGUGCUUUGAGCAAGGAGAUCAAAAAUCACAGCAACAGGGGCUGGAACUCGUGCUUGAGUUGGUUUUUCGUGUUUGUGUGAGGCAGAUAAAGAAGAUGGGUGCAUGGAUAAGUGGAGGAGGGCCACCAUGGGCCCACGAGGUAGGGGGGCACGCCCAGGGGGGUAGGGCGCGCCCUCCACCCUCGUGGCUAGGUGGCAGCUCCCCCCGCGGUAUUUUUUGCACAGAAAAUUCUCAAAUAUUCCCGAAAAAAUCAUAUUAAAUUGGCAUGGCAUUCUAAGGACUUUUAUUUUCGGGAUAUUUUUAUAUAGCACGGAUAAAUCAGGAAACAGACAUAAAAAAUACUAUUUUACUUUAUUUCUACUAAAUAACAAAAAAUAUAGAGGGUACAAAAGGUUGUGCUUCUAGUUUCAUCCAUCUCAUGCUCAUCAAAAAGAAUCUACUAACAAGGUUGAUCAAGUCUUGUUAGCAAACUCAUUCCGAUUACCAUGGAACCGGAGAAAUUUUGAAUAACACUAUGUUACCUCAACGGGGAUAUGGACAUCCCCAAUAAUAGGUAUAUCAUACUUUUUCUUGACAGUAGGGAGAGGAAAUUCAAAACCUCCAAAUAUAAUUGAUGGAAUUUUUCCAAUAGAGUUGACACUAUAAACCUGAGGUUGUUUCCUCGGAAAGUGUACCGUGUGCUCAUUGCCAUUAACAUGAAAAGUGACAUUGCCUUUGUUGCAAUCAAUAACAGCCCCUGCAGUAUUAAGAAAAGGUCUUCCAAGAAUAAUAGACAUACUAUCAUCCUCGGGAAUAUCAAGAAUAAUAAAGUCCGUUAAAAUAGUGACGUUUUCAACCACAACAGGCACAUCCUCACAAAUACCAACAGGUAUAGCAGUUGAUUUAUCGGCCAUUUGCAAAGAUAUUUCAGUAGGUGUCAACUUAUUCAAGUCAAGUCUACGAUAUAAAGAGAGAGGCAUAACACUAACACCGACUCCAAGAACACAUAAAGCAGUUUUAACAUAAUUUCUCUUAAUGGAGCAUGGUAUAGUAGGUACUCCGGGAUCUCCAAGUUUCUUUGGUAUUCCACCCUUAAAAGUAUAAUUAGCAAGCAUGGUGGAAAUUUCAGCUUCAAGUAUCUUUCUUUUAUUAGUAAUAAUAUCCUUCAUAUACUUAGCAUAAGGAUUUGUUUUGAGCACAUCAGUUAAUCGCAUACGCAAAAAGAUGGGUCUAAUCAUUUCAGCAAAGCACUCAAAAUCCUCACCAUCCUUUUUCUUGGAUGGUUUUGGAGGAAAAGGCAUGGGUUUCUGAACCCAUGGUUCCCUUUCUUUACCAUGUUUCCUAGCAACGAAGUCUCUUUUAUCAUAACGUUGAUUCCUUGAUUGUGGGUUAUCAAGAUCAACACCAGGUUCAACUUCUACAUCAUUAUCAUUACUAGGUUGAGCAUUAUCAUGAACAUCAUCAUUAACAUUUUCACUAGGUUCAUGUUCAUUACCAGAUUGUGUUUCAGCAUCAGACAUAGAGAUAUCAUUUGGAUUCUCAGGUGGCUCAGCAAUAGGUUCACUAGAAGUUUGCAAAGUCCUAUCAUUCAUAUUUUUCUUCUUUCUUGAAGAACUAGGUACAUUAAUAUCAUUUCUCUGAGAAUCUUGCUCAAUUCUCUUAGGGUGGCCUUCAGGAUACAAAGGUUCCUGAGUCAUUCUACCAGUUCUAGUAGCCACUCUAACAGCAUAAUCAUUUUUCUUACUAUUCAUUUCAUCAGGCACUUCUUUUUGAGCUUUAAGUACUUGUUCUACUUGAGUGGUAACCAUAGAAGCAUGUUUGCUAACAAGUUUAAGUUCACCUCUAAUAUCAGCCAUAUAAUCACCCAAGCUUUUAAUCAUAUAAGCAUCUUGUUUUAAUUGUCUACCUGAAAGCACAAGUGCUCCCUAGGUGGUUUUGGUAAUUAAUAAAAACAUAUCUCUUGUUGGACUAACACUUUUAUCUAGUAUGUUUCAGAUAAGUUCAACAAUGGAGUGGCAUGGACUAAAGGAUGUGGGAACUCCUUCAAGAUGCUAAGGACAAAGGAUUGGCUAAAGCUUCAAGCUCAAGACUCUUCAUUUUACAUUUUAGUGAUCCAAGAUCACAUUGAGUCUAUAGGAAAAGCCAAUACUAUGAAGAAGGGAUGAAGUGUUGCUUAAUGAGUUUCUUGCUCCACAGUGCUUAGUGAUAUGCUCCAAAACCCUCAACUACUUUCCCACUUCCACACAUAUGACCUAAACCUAAAGCCAAAAUCGGUCACACCGAUUCUUUCUAUCCGGCGCCACCGAGUUCAAAUGUCAUAGCCACUGCCACAAACCCUAGGCAAAUCGGUCUCACCGAUAGGGAUCUCGGUCUCACCGAGAUGGGAUUGUAAUCUCUCUGUGUAUGUCCAUUAUCAAAAUCGGUCUCACCGAGUUUGUGUAAUCUGUACUAUCGAGAUUACAAUGCAAACUCUCUGGUUAACUUAUUACAAAAAUCGGUCUCACCGAGUUUGAGUAAUCGGUCCCAUCGAGUUUGCCUCACCAACUCUCUGGUCAGCUAAUUACCAAAAUCGGUCUCACCGAGUUUGUGUAAUCGGUCUCACCGAGAUUACAUUAUGCCCUAACCCUAACCAUAUCGGUCCUACCGAGCUGCAUUUCGGUCCAACCGAAAAUCCUAACGGUCACUAGGUUUACUAAAUCGGUCUGACCGAGUUUGUUGAUUCGGUCCCACCGAGAUUGGUAAAUUGUGUGUAACGUUUAGAUUUUGUGUGGAGGCUAUAUAUACCCCUCCACCUCCUCUUCAUUCGUGGAGAGAGCCAUCAGAGCAAACCUACACUUCCAUCUUACCAGUUCUGAGAGAGAACCACCUACUCAUGUGUUGAGGCCAAGAUAUUCCAUUCCUACCAUAUGAAUCUUGAUCUCUAGCCUUCCCCAAGUUGCUUUCCACUCAAAUCUUCUUUCCACCAGAUCCAAAUCCUAUGAGAGAGAGUUGAGUGUUGGAGAGACUAUCAUUUGAAGCACAAGAGCAAGGAGUUCAUCAUCAACGCACCAUUUGUUACUUCUUAGAGAGUGGUGUCUCCUAGAUUGGCUAGGUGUCACUUGGGAGCCUCCGACAAGAUUGUGGAGUUGAACCAAGGAGUUUUUAAGGGCAAGGAGAUCGCCUACUUCGUGAAGAUCUACCGCUAGUGAGGCAAGUCCUUCGUGGGCGACGGCCAUGGUGGGAUAGAAAAGGUUGCUUCUUCGUGGACCCUUCGUGGGUGGAGCCCUUCGUGGACUCGCGCAACCGUUACCCUUCGUGGGUUGAAGUCUCCAUCAACGUGGAUGUACGAUAGCACCACCUAUCGGAACCACGCCAAAAACAUCUGUGUCUCCAACUACGUUUGAAUCCUCCAAACCCUUCCCUUUACUUUCUUGCAAGUUGCAUGCUUUAAUUUCUGCUACCUAUAUACUCUUUGCAUGCUUGCUUGAUUUGUGUGAUGAUUGCUUGACUUGUCCAAAGAUUGCUAAAAUCUGCCAAACUCUAAAAUUGGGAAAAGGUUAAGUUUUUAAUUGGUCAAGUAGUCUAAUCACCCCCCUCUAUACAUACUUCAAGGUCCUAUAAGUGGUAUCAGAGCUUUGGUCUCCAUUUGCUUUGAUUUCCAUAGCUUUUGGUGGUCAUAGCCUUGGUUUCACAACCUAGGAGAGUAUGGCGUCUAGCAAGGGAAAUUAUCACCGUAGAGGUCCUUACUUUGAUGGAACUAAUUUUGCUAUUUGGAUGCAUAAGAUGAAAAUGCAUAUUCUUGGACAUAACCCCGCCGUUUGGGCUAUUAUUUGUAUUGGCUUUCAAGGUGAAUUCUUUGAUGGGAGAGAGCCGAACCGUGAAGCUAAUGCGGAAGAAUUGAAGAUGCUGCAAUACAACGCUCAAGCUUGUGAUAUCAUCUUCAACGGAUUGUGCCCCGAAGAAUUCAACAAAAUCAACCGUCUUGAGAAUGUAAAGGAAAUUUGGGACACUUUGAUUGAUAUGCAUGAAGGUACCGACUCCGUCAAGGAAUUCAAGUUGGAUGUGCUCCAAAGUCAGCUUGACAAGUUCAAAAUGAAGGAUGGUGAAGGUGUCGCUGAAAUGUACUCUAGGCUUGCUCUUAUCACAAAUGAGAUUGCCGGCUUAGGGAGUGAAGAGAUGACCAACAGAUUCAUCAUCAAGAAGAUCCUAAGAGCAUUGGAUGGAAAAUAUGAUACCGUGUGCACAUUGAUUCAAAUGAUGCCCAAUUACAAGAAUCUCAAGCCAACGGAGGUCAUUGGUAGAAUUGUUGCUCAUGAGAUGUCACUCAAGGAUAAGGAGGAACUUCACAACAAGUCAAGUGGUGCUUACAAAGCCUCAUGUGAAGCCCCCACAUCAUCAAGUGAGAAACAAACCUUCAAUGAAGAAUUGAGCUUAAUGUUGAAGAAUUUCAACAAAUUCUACAAGAGUAGAAGCAAAGAAAGAAGCUCUAAGUCAAGGUCCUACAAUGACAAGAGAUCUUCCAAUCGAGAGCACAAUUGCUACAAUUGUGGGAGACCCGGACACUAUUCCAAUGAGUGUAUGGCACCCUACAAAAGAAGAGAAGAUUCUCCAAGAAGAAGAAGUAGAAGAGAAGAAUCACCACCAAGAGAGAGAAGGAGUAGAGAUGAUCGUUAUGAACGAAGACCCUCACGGAGAAGCAAAGAUUCGGAAAGGAAGGACAAGUCAUCAAAGAGCUACACAAAACGAAGACAUCAAGCUCAUGUUGGUGAAUGGGUAUCCGGUUCCGACUCUGAACAUCACUCCGAGAGAAGCUAUCACUCCGACUCUAAACAUACUCAAGAAGAAGGUGUUGCCGGUCUAGCACUUGUGUCAACCAGCUCCUAUGACAUAUUUGACUCACCAAAUGAAGGAAUUGGAAGAUGCUUCAUGGCUAAAGGCCCUAAGGUAACUCAUCCCGAGUAUGUUGAUUUCAAUAGUGAUGAAGAUGACUUGCUAGGUGAUGAUGAUUUACUUGUUGACAACUCUAGUGAUGAAUACUAUGAUGAAACGUCAAUUAAUCAUGCUAAACAAGAUAAAACGAAUGACAAUGAUAAGGAGAAGAUUGAGCUUCUAACUAAAGAACUAAACACUCUUAAGUUAGCUCAUGAAACUAUCUUCGAAAAUCAUCAAGAACUUUUAAGGGCUCAUGAGAAGUUACGCUUUGAAAAGCUCAAUCUUGAGCAAGAGCAUGAGUUCUUAAAGGCAAUCAAUGAUGAUCUUCGCAAGAAAAGUUCUUCUUAUAUUGCCAAGCGUUUACUCUAGUCAAGUCUAGUAACAAGAACAAGAAAGAUUCUUCCUCUAGUAGUAACAAUAACAAUGCUAAAUCCAAUAUUGUUGCUUCUAGUAGUUCUCUUGAUUCCACUAAUGAUUCUCUUAGCCAAGUUACACUUGAGCAAGAAAACAGCUUAUUGAAGGGAAUUAUAGAGAAAGGUGUAUACAAGAGCCUUGCUAGGAGUAAGCAAUUCGAGGAAAUUGUACGCAAGCAAGGAAGGCACCGGAAGAAUCAAGGUGUUGGUUUUGAACGAAAGUUCAAUGCCAAUGGAGUUGAGUGGGAAGAAGAUAAAUACCCCAAGACGAAGUUUGUUCCUCAACAAGAGAAGUAUGAUCCUACUUCCUUCAAGGGGACACAAGCACAAGAUGAUCUUCCACCACAAGACCAUAAGAACAAAGGCAAGGACAAGCUUCAAGAGGAGAUUGAUGCAUUUGAAGAAGCACCUAAGGCCUUGGUCAAGUGGGUUCCCAAGACUACGUCAAGUUCUACUUCAUCUAGCACAACUACUACACUAAGGAUUCCCAUCAAGAUGAUGUGGAUCCCGAAGAAGAAGAACUAGAGAGUUCUUGAGGGUGACUCCGCCAACAUUCUUCAAUCAUAUCUUUAUGGCAAGAACAAGUGCAAUCAACUUCCACAUCUUGCACUAGUUCAAGGAGUCACAAACCCUCAUGUUGGUAAGGCAAGGGACAAGGUAACCUAAUGUUUUCAUGGACAUCAUUUUGUGUGUGCAUCACUCUAUGUCUAUGGAUAUUCUUGUUUGUUCCUUGUGGGACUAAUCCGUGUAGGUAUUGAAAGUGCAACUCACUCCAAAGGAUUUCUCCAAAAGAUCUACAUCAACAUUGAGCAUCCACAUCUUCAACACCUACAUGAAGUCAUCAUCGACAAAACCCAAGGUUAGUUCAUCCAUCUAAAGGGGGAUCUCACAUCUAGGGGGAUCUUAACUCUAAAGAAUUGAGUCAAAGCAACUCUAAUGGUGUGAACACAUCAAUGCAUUAUGUAAAAGUGGUAACCCCACUUGAGCUAUAUAGAUGAUCAAAUGUUCUCAUUUGACUCCUAAGUCAAUAUACUCAUAUAUAGAUGACCUAGCCAUCGCCAAUUGUUUGAUAGAUGCUAGAAUUGGUUGUGCAUGGUUUGCCACAUAUUUCAUCUGUCAUUUUAUUGUGUGAGCAUGUUGGUUGCAUAUUUUACUCAUUCAAGGACAUCCACUUGUUGUUUUGAUUGAUUGGCUUCUUUUUCUUUGGCCAAGUGGAUGGACAAGAAUGCCUAAGAACCUUCUCUAGCUAUCUAUGCUUUUCUCGUCUCAAACUCUAUUCAUGCUACAUCACAAAAUUUGAUCAAGUCAGAUUCGAACCACUCUGUGUGAGGAGCACUUGGAGUCCCCAAUUCGUCAUAGACUUAAACUUCCAAAACUUCUUUGUGAUUUUUGGUCUGACCGAUUCCUCCAUUUCGGUCCUACCGAGAUUACUAAGUCGAUCUAGGUUUUCAAUCUCGGUGGGACCGAUCGCUCUUUUCGGUUAGACCGAAACGUUACGAAGGGAAACAGAGAGAUUACAAUCCCAUCUCGGUGAGACCGAGAUCCCUAUCGGUGAGACCGAUUUGCCUAGGGUUUGUGGCAGUUGCUAUGACAUUUGAACUCGGUGGCGCCGGAUAGAAAGAAUCGGUGUGACCGAUUUUGGCUUUAGGUUUAGGUCAUAUGUGUGGAAGUGGGAAAGUAGUUGAGGGUUUUGGAGCAUAUCACUAAGCACUGUGGAGCAAGAAACUCAUUAAGCAACACCUCAUCCCUUCUUCAUAGUAUUGGCUUUUCCUAUAGACUCAAUGUGAUCUUGGAUCACUAAAAUGUAAAAUGAAGAGUCUUGAGCUUGAAGCUUUAGCCAAUCCUUUGUCCUUAGCAUCUUGAAGGAGUUCCCACAUCCUUUAGUCCAUGCCACUCCAAUGUUGAACUUAUCUGAAACAUACUAGAUAAAUGUGUUAGUCCAAUAAGAGAUAUGUUGUUAUUAAUUACCAAAACCACCUAGGGAGCACUUGUGCUUUCAAUCUCCACCUUUUUGGUAAUUGAUGACAACAUACAUCAAAGCUUUAGAUAAGGAUAUAAAUAAUAGCAAGUAAAGCUUUGGAAAGACAUGUAACAAGCAUAGGCUCCCCCUACAUGUAUGCAAACAUGUGAAUAUGGAAUAUAGAAGCAUGUGAGAGCAUAACCAUGAUAGAGUUGGCAAUGAGUUACAUGUAUCUUGGCCAUAUGCAUCAGAGCAAAGAAUAUUAAAGAAAAUAUCUUCAUGCUCAUGAGUCCUUCUUGCAAACAGUAUGUACAUCAGCAAGAAUUCCUCAUACACAUGAUUGUGAUGCAUAUACUUACCUAGUAGUCUUGAGUUGGCUUAGGAUGGAAUGAACCUGCACAUCUUUGCAUGGAAACCUUCUGACAUGCCGGGUGUACCAAGGGAACUCGCUGAGCAUACUCUCAAUAUUGAUCCGAAGUAUAAGCCGGUCAGGCAGUUUCUCCGACGGUUCAAAGAAGAGAGACGAAAAGCUAUUGGGGAAGAGGUUGCCCGGCUCUUAGCGGCCGGGUUUAUUGUUGAAGUUUUUCAUCCGGAGUGGUUGGCUAACCCGGUGUUGGUGCUCAAGAAGAACGGCACUUGGCGAAUGUGUGUGGAUUACACGGACUUAAACAAGGCUUGUCCGGCUGAUCCCUUUGCUGUCCCCCGUAUUGAUCAAAUCAUUGAUGCUACGACGGGUUGUGAAUGUUUGAGCUUCUUGGAUGCUUACUCUCGUUAUCAUCAGAUCAAGAUGGCAGUUAAGGACCAGGAGAAGAUGGCUUUCAUCACUCCGUUUGGGCCUUCUGUUAUGUAUCUAUGCCGUUUGGACUCAAGAGUGCCCAGGCGACUUAUCAGCGAUGUGUGCUGAACUGUUUGCACGAUCAAAUUGGGCGUAAUGUUCAUGCUUAUGUGGAUGACAUCAUGGUGAAGUACAGAGAAAAGAAAACCUUAAUAUCCGACUUGAGAGAGACCUUUGACAAUCUCCAGGUUUACAAGAUGAUGCUUAACUCGGCCAAGUGUGUGUUUGGUGUACCUGCAGGCAAGCUCUUGGGUUUUCUGGUGUCAAACAGAGGCAUUGAAGCUAAUCCGGAGAAGAUCAUGGCGAUUACCUCUCUGGCUAAACCGACGUGUUGCUGCUUUAAGCCGGUUCAUAAGCCGGUUAGGGGAGAAGGCCUUACCGCUAUAUCAGAUGAUGAAGAAAACAGACACUUUCGUCUGGAGCGAUGCUGCUAACACUUCCUUUGAAGAUUUAAAAAGACAGUUGUCUGAGCCACCGGUUCUUGCAGCUCCCAUUGAUAGAGAGCCGCUAUUGUUAUAUGUGGAUGCUAACUCGCGGGCUGUCAGUGUUGCCAUCGUGGUGGAGCGUAAGGAGGCAGGGAAGGAGCAUCCGGUUCAAUGGCCGGUUUACUACAUCAGCGAGGUGCUCAUUGAGUCUAAACAAAGGUAUCCACAUUGGCAGAAGCUUGUUUAUGGUGUGUUCAUGGCAAACCGGAAGCUGAAGCAGUACUUCCAAAGUCAUCCUAUGACGGUGGUAAGUUCAGCUCCUUUGGGAGACAUCAUUCAGAACAGGGAGGCCACAGGACGAAUCACCAAGUGGGCUAUUGAGCUUGGGCCUUAUGAUUUGAAGUAUAUGCCCUGUACUGCCAUCAAAUCUUAGGCCUUGGUGGACUUUAUCAAUGAUUGGACAGAGUUGCAGGCACCUGAGGAGAAGCCGGAUAAUACGUAUUGGACUAUUCACUUUGAUGGGUCCAGGCAGUUAGAAGGAUCAGGGGCUGGAGUUGUUUUAACUUCCCCUCGAGGUGACAAAUUUCGUUAUGUGCUCCGGCUCAUGUUUCCCUGUACUAACAAUGCAGCUGAAUACGAGGCCUUGCUCCAUGGUCUCCGGAUGGCUAAGGAGAUGAAUUUAAGCCGGGUCAGGUGCUUGGGCGACUCAGACCUCGUGGCUCAACAGGUCUCAGGCACGUGGGAUUCUAAGGAUCUCCUUAUGGCGUCUUAUCAUCGUGAAGUGGAUGCUGUAGCUGGAUACUUCAAAGGGUAUCAGGUGGAGCACAUUGAUAGAAGGAAGAAUGAGGCGGCUGAUGCGUUAAGCCGGUUGGGCUCUCAGCGUAAGCCGGUGCCGCCUAACACCUUUCUUGACGUUCUGCAUAAUCCUUCUGUCAAGGUACCUACAGAGGAAGAGCUUGCAGUGCCAGACCCGGAGGCACAGUUGGUGGCCGCACUUCACGUCAUCCUAGAUUGGACGUUGCCAUACUUGGCUUAUAUGACCCGGGGAGAGCUGCCUGAGGAUGAGACCUUGGCGAGACAAAUUGUCAGGCGGUCCAAAUCCAUGACAAUUGUUAAUGGAGAGUUACAUCACCUCAGUGUCAGAGGGGCGUUCCAGCGUUGUGUGUCACCUGCAGAAGGUCAAGAGAUACUUCGAGAGUUCCAUGAAGGGGAUUGUGGUCAUCAUGCCGGCUCAAAAUCUCUGGUGGCCAAGGCCUUCCGUCAUGGUUUUUAUUGGCUAACGGCUCAUGCUGAUGCAGAUGAUCUUGUUAGCAAAUGUGACAGAUGUCAAAAAUUCUCACGACGAGCUCAUAUGCCGGCUCAAGAAUUGAGGAUGAUUCCAAUUACUUGGCCGUUUGCAGUCUGGGGGCUUGACAUGGUAGGACCCUUCAAGAGGUCUAAGGAUAAAAAGACACCUCCUGGUAGUAGUGGAUAAAUUUACAAAGUGGAUUGAGGCAGAGCCGGUCAGUCAGUGUGAUGCAGCCACAGCAGUUCAGUUCAUUAAAAAGGUGAUCUUUCAUUUUGGUUUUCCACAUAGCAUCAUAACUGAUAAUGGCACUAAUCUCUCCAAGGGUGCCAUGGAAGAGUUCUGUCAACGAGAGCAUAUCCGGCUUAACGUUCGGCUGUUGCUCACCCUCAAUCCAAUGGUCAAGCAGAAAGAGCUAAUCAGGAGAUCUUAAGGGGUAUUAAACCACGGCUCUUGGUCCCCUUACAGCUGACUCCGGGUUGUUGGGUGGAAGAGUUACCCUCUGUGUUGUGGAGCAUCAACACUACACCUAAUAGAUCUACGGGUUAUACACCUUUUUCAUGGUUUAUGGAGCAGAGGCAGUUCUGCCAAGUGAUAUCCGGCACGAUUCGCCCCGUGUGGCGGCUUACGUUGAGGCUGAUAAUGAAAAAGUUCGACAGGAGGCACUUGACUUGUUGGAUGAGGAGCGAGACUUGGCAAUAGCCCGCUCAGCGAUUUACCAGCAAGACCUUCGUCGCUAUCACAGCCAUCGGGUUAGAAACAGAACAUUUCAGGAAGGCGACUUAGUGCUCCGGCUCAUCCAGGAUCAGUCCAAUAUGCACAAACUAUCCCCUCCUUGGGAAGGGCCCUUUGUGGUCAGUAAGAAUCUGAACAACGGGUCAUACUACCUCAUUGAUAUUCGAGAGCACAAAGACUCAUGUAAGUCGGAGGAGGAGACCCGCCGGCCGUGGAAUAUAGCCCAUCUUCGGCCUUACUAUACUUAAGCCACUGGCUCUUGAGAUGUAUAUAUUUUUUAUCAAUGUAUAUAUUAUAUAAAGUAAUAAAGCAGGACCUCUGUCCUUUUUCACCCUCAAAAAAGUUUAUAUGUCUUUUUAUCAGAUGGUCGAAACAACCAACAGGGAGUGGAUCAUAUCUGAAUCCGGCUUUACCUUUGGUCCGGCUUAUGAUCAUAUCUGGAUCUAGCCAUGAUCACUUGGGGGCUUCCUGUUCAGACAUAGGUCGUAUCCAAACCAAAGAGAACAUAGCUGUCGAUACCCACUUGAUCGGCAUACUGCCAAACCUACUUGGGGGCUUCUUGAUAAUAUUUGAAUCAUAGCUUAACCCCUUUUGGGUCUGACGUGGAUCGUAUUCGAAUCAGCGUCAUUAAACAAAUCUUAUGGUCACUUGAGGGCUUCCUAUUCAAACAUAGGUCGUAUUCGAACCAAAGAGAACAUAGCUGUCGAUACCCACUUGAUCGGCAUCGCCAAAGCCACUGGGGGCUAUAUGAUCGUAUCCGAAUCUUAGCUUAACCCCUUUGGAACGGUUUACUGAUCGUAUUCGAAUCAGAAGCCUGUAAAUUAUUUGGACUAUCCUGCGACUUUUGUGGAAGGCAUUAUGAGAUGUUUUUUGUCUUUCUGGUUUAAUAUUGGUCACACCAUGUUGUUAAGUGCCAGGUGAGCAUCAUAUCAGCAGGAAGGAUUAUCAAAGGAUCACAGAAUAAGGUGAGAAAAUUUAACACGCCAAGGAAAUAAAAGCCAGAAAUAUAUAGCAGUGGCGGCUUACGUAAGUGUUGAGCGCUAGGAACAUGCGCGAAGGCAUGACAAACAUUGAGAAGUUUUUUCUAGCCUAUUACAAGACUCCCCAAGCCUGAAUAAAUGAAGCAUUGUUUUUUGCCAAACACCUGGCGAUUCACUCCUUCAGCGGGCUUGAAGACUCCGGGUUAUCCUUCUCCGCUUCUCCGUCAGCUGUUUUGUCCUGGAAAGUUGACGAGGCCCAGUCAAUGCCGCUCAAAGCUUCAAACUCAGCUUCAUCAUCUAUGAAACCGGCAGGGUCCACUUCAGGGGCAAAAGUAUGCUUACGAAUUGGAGGGAUCAGGAUGAUUUGAUCAUAUGGAGUGUUUGGAAUUCUCCGGUUCUCACUGUCAUAAGCCGGCGCAUAUUUGCUAUGGUCAGUGUCAUUUCCAAUAAGGGUUGCCACGGGAUGUAUGGCUUUGACACAGGCGGUGAAAUCAUGGUCGUCAAAUGCAGUGCCGUCCUCCUUCAGACUUGGGUAUCCAAGGGCAAGGUAGGCCGAGUCUAGUUCUGGGAGCCAUGCUUUAGCCCGCCUCAAUGUGGCCACGACCCCGACUCUUGAGGAAGCCCGCCUUAAGUCUUGGAUCUGUUGGGGAAGAAAAGCGAGGCUCUUCAAUACGUCUUGCAAAAGGCGAGGAUGUGGAGUUGAUAAGGCCACAACGGCCAAGGCACGUUGUGUCCCGGAGUAUAGCUGUUCCACUAAGGUGUAAACUGCUUUAAGCUUGAUCAGCAUGUUUUGCUUCAGGUUGGUACUCCUGGGGCCUGUAUGUGCACAAGCAUAACAGUGAGCCGGAAGUAAUUAUUACAAUAGUCAUUGUAAGGUUACAAUGUUUGAGGUUGUGCACAAUAACUUACCAAAGAUGGCUGAGACCAUUUGAGAUAUCUGUCGUUUUAAGUUGGACAGCUCGGUUGUUACCUCUGCAAGAGAUGCUUCUGCUGUCUCGGCCCGAGUCACCAGGGAAGCCUUCUCAUCAGCCCAAGCUUUCUUCUCCGACUCAAAAUUCUUCUUCAACUUCUCAUUUUCAGAGACGCUGAAUUCAAAUUUGGAGUUGGCCUUCUGAGUUUCAAGUUCUUGAGUUUCUAGACGACUCUUCAGGACAGUAAGCUCCGAUUCAAAUUGACUGAUGGUGGCCUGCAUUGACACCACGUUAUGGUAAGGAUCACGGUAAGGUAACAUUCAAGUCCCAAGCACUUUACAAGUAAAGAUAAUUGGCACUUGGGGGCUAAUGUAGGCUGAAGAAUUUUAAACCUAUCAUACCGGGUCACACAUGUUAAGUCUCAAGCACUUUACAAGCAAAGAUACUUGACACUUGGGGGCUAAUGUAUAUUCCAAAUUUAAAAGCCUCAUGUUAUAACCGGGUUAAAUAAAUUCUUUUUGAGCCGGAUAAGCUAACAAGUAAAGCAGUUUUCUAAAGUCUACAACAUAUUUAUUCAUAAGCAAUAGACUUGGGGGCUGGUACAGUAUGUAAGAUUUAGGUAAAAAGUAUAAGUUAUACCUCAGAUUUGUGCUGUAUUUGUUUUACCAUGUCCAUUUCCAGGUCACGGCUAUUAUGCACUUGAUUCAGAUAGCCCGAGACUAUAUCACUAAUGCUUAAGUGAGUAUAAUCAGUAAUGUCCUGAUUGGCUUUUCGGCGUUCGGCAAGUUCUUCCUUGGCAGUACAUUUGGCAAGGACGGUAGGCCGCCCUGGUUCAACAAACUGAGACCUCACAAUCUCAACUUCCGGUUCAUUUGUCUUGACCGGGCUAGGAGUAUCCGGGUCAUUUGUGUUGAGAUUAUCUUCGAAGAGCGGAUCAGAGGUUGGCACUGGAACAUCAGAAGCCGGAUCAGGCGGCGGCUGAUGGGUAGGGCUGUUUGGAGCAGACGUGUUAAUCACCGGUUCAGUUACAAUCGGGUCUUGGGACGGCUUAUUCUUCUUUGCCCUCUUGCUGGAUUUCACUUGCAUGUUGUUAACAAAGGCAGAAAGAUGAAUAUGCAAGCAUGGGUAAAGUAAAGCUCAAGGUAGAUAAGGUUACAUUACCCGGGAGCAGUUUUGAAAGCCAGUAUAUUUGAUUGCAUGGAUUCGUCGGAAGAAGGAGAGGUAUCCUGAUAAUUGGAGUCAGAUGAAUUGAGAGGUUGAUGAAUUAAGCCUGCUAAAGGUAAGACAGAACGUAAAUCGGAGAUAACCUCAGUCCGACGCUUCCUGAUUAUGUCAGGUUAGCCGGAGGAGAGUUCCGCAUCCUUGUUGUUCCGGGUCUGCCUCCGGUUCUCAAGCUGUUGUUGCUUCAAAAGAAAUUGAGGAUCUUGAUAAGCAAGAGCAUGUGAAAAUCUUACUUUCCGGGUCACCCUUCGGAUCCAUUGCUUUGGCAAAGGCUCUGAGUCGGAGGAGAUUAUAGUUACCUCUUCAUUGGCUGCUUGACUGUUCCCUGUACCCUCCUAAAGGGAUAGAAUGUCAGACAGGUAAUAACAAGGGAAUUAAGAAAAUUUAAAGAUUACCUCUUCAUCAUCCGAAGAACUAUCUUCCAAUCUGAGUAAGUCGGAGGCGCUGGGUUUCUUCUUCUUUGAGGUUCCCAUCUUGGCGGCUUUCCUUUCGGCUUUCUUGGUUGUCCUGGCUUGUUUGGCAGCCUCAUGGUCGUAUUUGACCUUCCAGAAGUUAUCAUCAGCCUGUGGAAAAAGAUAAGGAAUUAUAAGUACCAAAAAAGGUAUAAUAUAGCAGAGAGUAUUUAUUAAGAUUGAUAACUUACUACAGGGGCCGGGUUUUUCUUGCAAAAGGAAAGUAAGCCGAAGGCGUUACUCGUCAUAGUGCCCUCCUUCAGCAGCGACUGAGUCGUAGCAUCCACCACAUCAUCUGGUAAGUCGUCAGGACUAUGGCGUAACGGGUCAUCCUUUUCGCCUGUAUAAGUACACAUUAAGCCGGAACGGCGGCUUAAUGGAAGUACUCGCCAAGAAACCCAGACUCGGACCAGGUCGAUGCCGUUUAAACCAUUUCCCAAGAGAGCUUUGAUCUUCUUGAUCUUGGGAUUGAGAGGCAGACGUUCAACGGCUGUCAGUUUGUCUGGUAGCGGAUGGUUGGACUCAAGGCGUAGGGCGUGAAAGCCGAGCAGAGGCUUCUCAUCAGCCGAAGAAGUGUCCUGACAAUAGAACCACGUCUGGUUCAAAGAUUUUGGGUGACUCGGCAGCUCAGCAUAAGGAAAAAGACAGUCUCUCCAUCGCUGGAUCGAGAUGCCGCCAAGCUCAAGACUGGGCCCAUUGGCACGUUCAUUUUGCCGGUUCAUGUAAAAAAGUUCCCUGAACAAUAGCAGACUUGGCUCCUCUCCCAGGUACACCUCGCAGAAGACUUGGAAAUUGCAAAUAUUUGACACAGAAUUGGGUCCGAUGUCUUGAGGUCUAAGGUCAAAGAAAUUCAAAACCUCCCUGAAGAAUUUUGAGCCGGAAGGAGCAAAUCCCCGGCUCAUAUGAUCCAUAAAAAUUAUUACCUCCCCUGCUUUGGGUUGAGGCCUUUCUUCAGACGGGUCAGGGGCACGAUAAGACAUGACCUCCUUUUUUGGCAGAUGGCCAGAUUUCACGAACUCAGCCAGUUUGCUCUUGGUAACUAUGGAUGGGACCCAAUUGCAAGUUACAGGGGCCUUGGUAGCCAUAGGAGCCAUGACAACAAUUGGCCUAUGGAAAAAUAAGAAGAUCCGGUUCAAUUUUAACCCGGGAGAAAAAUCCUAAUUAUUCAAGGUGGCGGCUUAAUGAGGGGCCUAAUGAUAUAAGGAUGACUGUGCAACAAUAUUUAAGCCGCUACAAGUAUCAACAGCAGUUCAAAAUUCUUAAGGUCAUGAGAAGCAAGCAAGGCUCACAGAUCAGUGUCAUUUAUUUAAGCCGGACCAAUGGAUAGUUGUGUUUAAGGGCAUAUACCAGAAGAAGUUUUUCGGGUGAUAAAAUUAGGGUUCAUAAUCUUCUACUAAUAUUUGAGAUCAAAGGUCUGUUCUGAUAAGAAAAGUUUCUAGACCCAAAAACAGGGCACAGAAGUUCAUACACUCGAAGAAGGUUUCCAAACAAGGGAAUUGAGAUCUGUUUCUAUGCAAGAUAAACACAAACAAUUACCGCAACAGUUCUACGUAGUUUUUAUGAUCUAAACAGGGCAUUGGAGGUGAAAACUAGCGAGGGUUUGCUUCGGACGGUGAUGAACGCCGACGAACUCAACAAAGUUCCAAUGCAGAUCUAAGAAGGGGAAAGAGAGGAACUCACGGAUGCGGACGAGCUGCGGAGGUUCGCCGUCGAUUUCUGGUCAGAGUCAGGUUGAUGCAGCGGCCCGAGUCAGUGAAGAUGAGGGGUUUGACGGCGGCGGCGGCGGAGCUCGAGAGGAAGCAAGAGGAAGAGGACGACUGCAAGAAGGAAGAGUGAAAGACCUAGGUCGCCCUAUUUAUAAGGGAAGACUGACCGAGAUGGCGCGAGAAACGAGGAGACCAAAACAUCAUUAUCCAGCGGCCCCGACGCCUCGAUUCUCGGGAUGGUCAGUAAAGGCAAAGAUCCGUUGGAAGAUAUGACGGAGUAAAAAUAAGUUUUAUUGAAGAUGACGUCACGGUGAUUUAACCCGGAUCCAGAUGAUGACGUCACGACGGGUUAAAAUCUUCAUGCAAGACAAAAGACUAAGGACAGUUCCAUAAGGUAUUUUAAGAUUGACAAGAACAGGUUCAAAUCAAUCUGGGGCCUAAUGUUGGGGAUAUAACUAUUUGUGUAAAGCCGCCCAGGAGGGGCCGGGUUACGCAAAUAAGACUUACGAGAGAGAAGCCCAAGACCAAAGGUGAAGAUGGCGGUUCAUAGAGGGCUUAAGGCCCGCAGGCGACUUAAGGCCCGUUGUAAUAAACCGCCAUAGUAAUAUGACUUGUAUCAUAAAGUAGGCUUAACUAGUCACCGAGCCGGACACUGUUUAUAAGCCGGCCGUGACUCUGUAAGCCGCAGGGCGUCAACCCGUGUAUAUAAGGGGACGACCUGCUGGUGGCUUAGGGCAAGAAACAACUCAUCGAGAGCCGGGCAUAGCGUAUCUCGCUCCCUGGUCAUCGAAACAUCAAUACCAACCCAACUAGACGUAGGCCUUACCUUCACCGUAAGGGGCCGAACUAGUAUAAAAACCUCUCGUGUCCUUUGUCCCGAUUAACCCCUUCAAGCUUCCUAGUUGCGAUGGCUCCACAAAUAAGUCCUUUCACGAGGACAUCUGACGUGACAAUUCCACGACAGUAAGAGACAUCAUAGAUUGCACCAUAUCUAAUAAAGUACGGUUAUGAUGUUCGGACACACUGUUACGCUGUGGUGUUUGAUACGUAUCUAUAAUUUAUGAAGUAUUCAUGCUAUUAUAUAUAUUCUGUUUUGGAUGUUUAAUGGGCUUUAUUAUACACUUUUAUAUUAUUUUUGGGACUAACCUAUCAACCGGAGGCCCAACCCAAAAUGUUGUUUUCUUGCCUAUUUUAGUGUUUCGAAGAAAAGGAAUAUCAAAUGGAGUCCAAAUGGAAUGAAACCUUCGGGAGAGUUAUUUUUGGAACAGAAGCAAUCCAGGAGACUUGGAGUAGAUGUCAGGGAAGCUUUGAGGAAGCCACGAGGCAGGGUGGUGCGCCCUACCCCCUGGGCGCGCCCCCCACCCUCGUGGGCCCCUCGUGGCUCCCCUAACCAACUUCUUUCUCCUAUAUAUAUCCAUAUACCCUAAAAACAUCGGGGAAUAGAAUAGAACGGGAGUUCUGCCCCCGCAAGCCUCUAUAGACACCAAAAACCAAUCGGGACCCUGUUCUGGCACCCUGCCGGAGGGGGGAUCCCUCACCGUUGGCCAUCUUCAUCAUCCCGGCGCUCUACAUGACAAGGAGGGAGUAGUUCACCCUCGAGGCUGAGGGUAUGUACCAGUAGCUAUGUGUUUGAUCUCUCUCUCUCUCUCGUGUUAUUGAUUCGGCACAAUCUUGAUGUAUCGCGAGCUUUGCUAUUAUAGUUGGAUCUUAUGAUGUUUCUCCCCCUCUACUCUCUUGUAAUGAAUUGAGUUUUCCCUUUGAAGUUAUCUUAUCGAAUUGAGUCUUUAAGGAUUUGAGAACACUUGAUGUAUGUCUUGCAUGUGCUUAUCUGUGGUGACAAUGGGAUAUCACGUGAUUCACUUGAUGUAUGUUUUGGAGAUCAACUUGCGAGUUCCGUGACCUCGUGAACUUAUGCAUAGGGGUUGGCACACAUUUUCGUCUUGACUCUCCGCUAGAAACUUUGGGGCACUCUUUGAAGUACUUUGUGUUGGUUUGAGUAAAUGAAUCUGAGAUUGUGUGAUGCAUAUCGUAUAAUCAUACCCACGGAUACUUGAGGUGACAUUGGAGUAUCUAGGUGACGUUAGGGUUUUGGUCGAUUUGUGUCUUAAGGUGUUAUUCUAGUACGAACUCUAUGUUAGAUCGAAUCGAAAGAAUAGCUUCGUGUUAUUUUACUACGGACACUUGAAUAGAUCGAUCAGAAAGAAUAACUUUGAGGUGGUUUCGUACACUACAAUAAUCUCUUCGUUUGUUCUCCGCUAUUAGCGACUUUGGAGUGACUCUUUGUUGCAUGUUGAGGGAUAGUUAUAUGAUCCAAUUAUGUUAUUAUUGUUGAGAGAACUUGCACUAGUGAAAGUAUGAACCCUAGGCCUUGUUUCCUAGCAUUGCAAUACCGUUUGUGCUCACUUUUAUCAUUAGUUACCUUGCUGUUUUUAUAUUUUAGAUUACAAAACCUAUAUCUACCAUCCAUAUUGCAGUUGUAUCACCAUCUCUUCACUGAACUAGUGCACCUAUACAAUUUACCAUUGUAUUGGGUGUGUUGGGGACACAAGAGACUCUUUGUUAUUUGGUUGCAGGGUUGUUUGAGAGAGACCAUCUUCAUCCUACGCCUCCCACGGAUUGAUAAACCUUAGGUCUUCCACUUGAGGGAAAUUUGCUACUGUCCUACAGACCUCUUCACUUGGAGGCCCAACAACGUCUACAAGAAGAAGGUUGUGUAGUAGACAUCAAGCUCUUUUCUGGCGCUAUUGCCGGGGAGUUGAGUGCUUGAAGGUAUAUCUUUAGAUCUUGCAAUCGAAUCUUUUUGUUUCUUGUUUUAUCACUAGUUUAGUCUAUAAAAGAAAACUAAAAGAUGGAACUAAGGGUGCCUCAUAUGCUUCAUCUUUUUAAUGUCUUUCGUGAAAAUGAUGGGAAGGAAAAUUGUGCUCAAGUAAAAGAAGAAGAAUUACAUAGAAUGCUUGGCAUAAAAUAUGUGAAUAAUGAGCAUGAUUGCAAUGUUGUUAGUAUGAAUUCUUGGAAUACCCAUGAUGCUAAUGAUACGCAAAGCUACAAGCUUGGGGAUGCUAUGUUUGAUGAAGAUGAUAUGUUUUGUUUUGUCCCCCAAGUUAUGAUGAGCAAAUUUAUUAUGAUGAUAGCAUGCUUCCUAUUUCUGAUGAUUAUAUUGAUGAAAGUGGGUUUGGAAGAGUGUCAACUUUAGGAAGUAAUGAUCCCACUAUUUUGGAGGGUGUUGAAUCUUAUUGUGAUAAUUAUGAAAGUGGAUUUGGAGAGGUCAUGACUUUAUUUAGCGAUGAAUCCACUAUUUUGGAAGAGGUUCCAAUUGAUUAUGAGAAUAAAGUUGCUACCUAUGAUGAUUAUUGUGAUGACAUGUAUGCUAUAAAGAAUAAAGAUAACCAUGAAACUUGUCAUCAUGAUUUUAAUUUUCAAUUGGAUUAUGCUUCACAUGAUAGUUAUUUUGUUGAGUUUGGUCCCACUACUAUUCAUGAGAAGAAAUUUGCUUAUGUGGAGAGUAAUAAAAUUUCUAUGUUUGUAGAUCAUGAAAAGAAUGAUUUUAUGUGCUGGUUGUAAGGUUGAAUUCAUUCAUGAUGCUACUGAAAAUUAUUAUGAGAGAGGAUCAUAUGCUUCUACAUAUUGCAAUAAUAUCAAGUUUCCUCUCUAUGUGCUUAAAGUUUUAAAUUUAUGCUUGUUUUGCCUUCCUAUGCUAGUUGAUUAUUGUUCCCAUAAGUUGUUUUCUAACAAAAUCCCUACGCAUAAGAAGUGGGUUAGAUUUAAAUGUGCUAGUCAUAUUCUUCAUGAUGCUCUCUAUAUGUUUCAGUUCUUACCUUUUAUAUGAGCAUUAUUGAAAUCAUCAUGCCUAGCUAGAAAGGCAUUAAAGAAAAUCGCUUGUUGGGAGACAACCCAAUAUUUACCCCUACUGUUUUUGUGUGUUCACAUGAUUAAGCUACUGUAUUAAUCAUGUUUUAUAGCUUUUGUUUCAAUAAAGUGCCAAGUAGAACCUUUGGGAAGACUUGGGUGGAAGUUAAUGUGAUCUUGCUGUAAAAAACAGAAACUUUGCACUCACGAGUUUAGCUGUCAUAUUUUACAGAAGAGUGUCUUUAAGUUGAUUCUUUUUAUAGAAGAUUAAUAGACAAAUUCCUCAGGUCCACCAAUUUAUUUCAGAAUUUUUGGAGUUCCAGAAGUAUAUGUUUCAUACAGAUUACUACAGACUUUUCUGUUUUUGACAGAUUCUGUUUUCUAUGUGUUGUUUGCUUAUUUUGAGAAUCCGUGAGUAGUAUCGGAGGGUAAGAACCAUAGAGAAGUUGGAAUACAGUAGAUAUUACACCAAUAUGAAUUUAGAAUGAGUUCACAACAGUACCUAAGUGGUGAUUUAUUUUCUUAUACUAACGGAGCUUAUGAGUUUUCUGUUAUGUUUUGUGUUGUGAAGUUUUCAAGUUUUAGGUAAAGAUUCGAUGGACAAUGGAAUAAGGAGUGGCAAGAGCCUAAGCUUGGGGAUGCCCAAGGCACCCCAUUGUAAUAUUCAAGGACAACCAAAAGCCUAAGCUUGGGGAUGCCCCGGAUGGCAUCCCCUCUUUCAUCUUCAUUCACCGGUAACUUUACUUGGAGCUAUAUUUUUAUUCACCGCAUGAUAUGUGUUUUGCUUGGAGCGUCAUUUUAUUUUAUUUUGUUUUGCUUGCUGUCUGAAUAAAAUACCAAGAUCUGGAAUUCUUAAAUGAGAGAGAGUCUUCACAUAGCUACAUUAUUAUUUAACUACUCAUUGAUCUUCACUUAUAUCUUUUGGAGUAGUUUGUCAUUUACUCGUGUGCUUCACUUAUAUCCUAUGAGUAAAUGGUUGAAUGAUUUGAAUGUCAUAAAUCUGAAAUUAUAUAUGUUUCAUAUGCCUUUCCCAUGGGAGUAAUGCCUUCACAUAUAAGAAGUAUAGGUGGUAAAUUUUUUGAAGGUUAGCAAACAUUGUAUUGGUCACUUGAACAAUUCAUGAAAGAAUAUUGAAGGAAGAGGGAGUUCACAUAUAAAUAUACUAUCUUGGACAUCUUCUAUGAUGGUGAGCCCCAUUAAUUAUUUUCAAACCUGAGGAAAUUAGUUGAAGUUGGAAAAGGAAGAUAACAUAAUGAGUUAUGCUUGGGUAUAUUUGUAUAGAAGUUAUAUUGUUAUGGAUCCUCUAACAUGUGGUGCUUGCUAUUUAGAAUCCUUUGCUAGCCAAAAUAUCUGUACUAAGCGGCAAUACUGCUUGUGCAUACAAAUUCCUUGAACCAAGUUUAUUCCAUGAGUGUCCACCAUAUCUACCUAUAUGCGGUAUUUACUUGCCGUUCCAAGUAAAUUUGCAUGUGCCAAACUCUAAACCUUCAAAUAAUAAUCUGUUUUGUAUGCUCGAAUCACUCAUGUAGCGACUAGGGACUGUCAGUAUCUUCCAUGCUAGGUGGGUUAUUCUCACGAUGAGUGGACUUCACUCAUCAUUCAUGAGAAAAUGGCUGGUAACUGGGAUGCUCAGUCCUAUGAUCACAAGAUCAAAAACAAAUUCACAAAUAAUUUAAACAAAACUCCUUCAGGAUUGUUGAUAGUUGGACGGCACCCGUUGUUUCACACAAGCCGUGCAGUGUGAUUGUUGGUGGAGGGGGAGUAAAAUCUUUACCUUUCUGUUUGGGAACUGCCUAUAAUGUAUCUACUAUGGAAGAUAUUGGGAACUCUUGGUCGUUAUGUUGACAAUGAAAGCAUACCUCUCAAAAUUAUUUUCAUCUCUGUUUUUGCUUUGAGCUCUAGCACCUCUGCAAAUCCCUGCUUCUCUCUGCUAAGGGCCUAUCUUUUACUUUUAUGCAAGAGUCAGUAGUAUUCCUUCUCAUUCCAACCUACUUUUUAGUUGGCAAGCAUCAUGUGGUGGAGAAAGAUCUAAGCAUAUAUUGCCAUUCAAAUAUAUUUCAUCAUGAAUUAUUAUUGUUGACAAUUAUCUAUAUGAUAAAUAAGUUGGGAGGCGAAACAUUAAGCCCCUAUCUUUCUCUGUGUUUGAUGGAUGCUAUUUGUUCUAAAAAUAUGCUUUGAGUGGUAGCAAUCAUGGAAGAUUAUAUGAUAGUUGAGUAUGUGGGAUUUGCUAAAUCAAAGCUCUUACAUAGACCCUUCCUGAAAAUAAGAUGAAUUGCAAUUAUUUGAUGACUGAAAACUGUUUGUUAGUUUUCAAGAAAGUUUAUGAUCUAUACUUUAACAUGUUAAUAGCUUGUUACUUGACCAUGAGAAGUUUUAUGAUAUGAGCUACUGUUAUGACAUAUAAUGAUGCUAGAAAAAGUGAUUGCAACUAUCAUUGAUCAGACUUAUGCACUUGCCACCAUUCACACUUCAAAAACUAUUUCUUUUAUCACUUACCGACUCGAGGACGAGCAGGAAUUAAGCUUGGGGAUGCUGAUACGUCUCCAACGUAUCUAUAAUUUAUGAAGUAUUCAUGUUAUUAUAUAUUCUGUUCUGGAUGUUUAAUGGGAUUUAUUAUACACUUUUAUAUUAUUUUUGGGACUAACCUAUUAACCGGAGGCCCAACCCAAAAUGUUGUUUUCUUGCCUAUUUCAGUGUUUCAAAAAAAGGAAUAUCAAAUGGAGUCCAAACAGAAUGAAACCUUCGGGAGAGUUAUUUUUGGAACAGAAGCAAUCCAGGAGACUUGGAGUAGACGUCAGGGAAGCUUCGAGGAAGCCACAAGGCAGGGAGGCGCGCCCUACCCCCUGGGCGCCCCCCACCCUCGUGGCUCCCCUGACCAACUUCUUUCGCCUAUAUAUAUACAUAUACCCUAAAAACAUCGGGGAACAUAAUAGAUCAGGAGUUCCACCGCCGCAAGCCUCUGUAGCCACCAAAAACCAAUCGGGACCCUGUUCCGGCACCCUGCUAGAGGGGGGAUCCCUCACCGGUGGCCAUCUUCAUCAUCCUGGCACUCUCCAUGAAGAGGAGGGAGUAGUUCACCCUCGGGGCCGAAGGUAUGUACCAGUAGCUAUGUGUUUGAUCUCUCUCUCUCUCUCUCUCGUGUUCUUGAUUCGGCACGAUCUUGAUGUAUCGCAAGCUUUGCUAUUAUAGUUGGAUCUUAUGAUGUUUCCCCCCCUCUACUCUCUUGUAAUGGAUUGAGUUUUCCCUUUGAAGUUAUCUUAUCGGAUUGAGUCUUUAAGGAUUUGAGAACACUUGAUGUAUGUCUUCCAUGUGCUUAUCUGUGGUGACAAUGGGAUAUCACGUGAUUCACUUGAUGUAUGUUUUGGUGAUCAACUUAUGUGUUCCGUGACCUCGUGAACUUAUGCAUAGGGGUUGGCACACGUUUUCGUCUUGACUCUCCGGUAGAAACUUUGGGGCACUCUUUGAAGUAAUUUGUGUUGGUUUGAAUAGAUGAAUCUGAGAUUGUGUGAUGCAUAUCGUAUAAUCAUACCCACGGAUACUUGAGGUGACGUUGGAGUAUCUAGGUGACAUUAGGGUUCUGGUCGAUUUGUGUCUUAACGUGUUAUUCUAGUAUGAACUCUAUGAUAGAUCGAACGGAAAGAAUAGCUUCGUGUUAUUUUACUACGGACUCCUGAAUAGAUCGAUCAGAAAGGAUAACUUUGAGGUGGUUUUGUACCCUACAAUAAUCUCUUCGUUUGUUCUCCGCUAUUAGUGACUUUGGAGUGACUCUUUGUUGCAUGUUGAGGGAUAGUUAUAUGAUCCAAUUAUGUUAUUGUUGAGACAACUUGCACUAGUGAAAUUAUGAACCCUAGGCCUUGUUUCCUAGCAUUGCAAUACCGUUUGUGCUCACUUUUACCAUUAGUUACCUCGCUGUUUUUAUAAUUUCAGAUUACAAAAACCUAUAUCUACCAUCCAUAUUGCACUUGUAUCACCAUCUCUUUGCUGAACUAGUGCACCUAUACAAUUUACCAUUGUAUUGGGUGUGUUGGGGACACAAGAGACUCUUUGUUAUUGGGUUGCAGGGUUGUUUGAGAGAGACCAUCUUCAUCCUACGCCUACCAUGGAUUGAUAAACCUUAGGUCAUCCACUUGAGGGAAAUUUGCUACUGUCCUACAAACCUCUACACUUGGAGGCUCAACAACGUCUACAAGAAGAAGGUUGUGUAGUAGACAUCAGUGUUCUAGGUGGCGUGAGUUGCAAAAGUAUUCCGCAUUGUUUCAAAUGAAGACCAAACUCGUAACACAAAUAUUCUCCUCGACGAUCAGAUCGUAGAAACUUUAUUUUGUUGUUACGAUGAUUUUCCACUUCACUCUGAAAUUAUUUGAACUUUUCAAAUGUUUCAGAUUUAUGUUUCAUCAAGUAGAUAUACCCAUAUCUGCUCAAAUCAUCUGUGAAGGUCAGAAAAUAACGAUACCUUCCUCAAGCCUCAACUCUCAUCGGACCACAUAUAUUAGUAUGUAUGAUUUCCAACAAGUCUGUUGUUUGCUCCAUUGUUCCGGAGAACGGAGGCUUAGUCAUCUUGCCCAUGAGGCAUGGUUCCAAGCAUCAACAGUUUCAUAAUCAAGUGAUUCCAAAAGCCCAUCAGUAUGGAUUUUCUUCAUGCGCUUUACACCAAUAUGACCUAAACAGCAGUGCCACAAAUAAGUUGCACUAUCAUUAUUAACUUUGCAUCUUUUGGCUUCAAUAUUAUGAAUAUGUGUAUCACUAUGAUCGAGAUUCAAUAAACCAUUCACCUUGGGUGUAUGACCAUUGAAGGUUUUAUUCAUGUAAAUAGAACAACAAUUAUUCUCUGACUUUAUAUGAAUAACCGUAUUGCAAUAAACAUGAUCAAAUCAUAUUCAUGCUUAACGCAAACACCAAACAACAUUUAUUUAGGUUCAACACUAUUCCCGAAAGUAUAGGGAGUGUGCGAUGAUGAUCAUAUCAGUGUUGGAACCACUUCCAACACACAUCAUCACUUCACCCUUAACUAGUCUCUGUUCAUUUUGCAACUCCCGUUUUGAGUUACUAAUCUUAGCAACUGAACUAGUAUCAAAUACUGAGGGGUUGCUAUAAACACUAGUAAAGUACACAUCAAUAACAUGUAUAUCAAAUAUACCUUUGUUCACUUUGCCAUCCUUCUUAUCCGCCAAAUACUUGGGGCGGUUCUGCUUCCAGUGACCGGUCCCAUUGUAGUAGAAGCACUUAGUCUCAGGCUUAGGUCCAGACUUGGCCUUCUUCACUUGAGCAGCAACUUGCUUGCCGUUCUUCUUGAAGUUCCCCUUCUUCCCUUUGCCCUUCUCUUGAAACUAGUGGUCUUGUCAACCAUGAACACUUGAUGCUUUUCUUGAUUUCUACCUUCGUCGAUUGCAGCAUCACGAAGAGCUUGGGAAUCGUUUCCGUUAUCCCUUGCCUAUUAUAGUUCAUCAAGAAGUUCUAGUAACUUGUUGAUAGUGACUAGAGAACUCUGUCAAUCACUAUCUUAUCUGGAAGAUUAACUCCCACUUGAUUCAAGUGAUUAUAGUACUCAGACAUUCUGAGCACAUGCUCACUAGCUGAGCUAUUCUCCUCCAUUUUGUAGGCAAAGUACUUGUCAAAGUUCUCAUACCUUUCGACAUGGGCAUGAGUGCGAAAUACUAAUUUCAACUCUUGGAACAUCUCAUAUGCUUCGUGGCGUCUCAAAAACGUCUUUGAAGCCUCGAUUCUAAGCCAUGAAGCAUGGUGCACUAAACUAUCAAGUAGUCAUCAUAUCGAGCUUGCAAAACAUUCAUAACGUCCGCAUCUGCUCCUUCAAUCGGUCUGUUACCUAGCGGUGCAUUUAAGGACAUAAUUCUUCUGUGCAGCAAUGAUGAUAAUCCUCAGAUCACGGAUCCAAUCCGCAUCAUUUCUACUAACAUAUUUCAACUUAGUUUUCUCUGGGAACAUAUCAAAAAUAAAACAGGGGAGCUAAACGCGAGCUAUUGAUCUACAACAUAGAUAUGCUAAUACUACUAGGACUAAGUUCAUGAUAAAUUAAAGUUCAAUUAAUCAUAUUACUUAAGAAAUCCCACUUAGAUAGACAUCCCUCUAAUCAUCUAAGUGAUCACGUGAUCCAUAUCAACUAAACCAUGUCUGAUCAUCACGUGAGAUGGAGUAGUUUUCAAUGGUGAACAUCACUAUGUUGAUCAUAUCUACUAUAUGAUUCACGCUCGACCUUUCGGUCUCAGUGUUCCGAGGCCAUAUCUGCAUACGCUAGGCUCGUCAAGUUUAACCCGAGUAUUCUGCGUGUGCAAAACUAUCUUGCACCCGUUGUAUGUGAAUGUAGUGCUUAUCACACCCGAUCAUCACGUGGUGUCUCGGCAUGAAGAACUUUCGCAACGGUUCAUACUUAGGGAGAACACUUAUAUCUUGAAAUUUAGUGAGAGAUCAUCUUAUAAUGCUACCGUCGAUCUAAGAAAAAUAAGAUGCAUAAAGGAUAAACAUCACAUGCAACCAAUAUAAGUGAUAUGAUAUGGCCAUCAUCAUCUUGUGCCUUUGAUCUCCAUCUCCAAAGCACCAUCAUGAUCACCAUCGUCACCGGCGUGACACCUUGAUCUCCAUCGUAGCAUCGUUGUCGUCUCGCCAACUAUUGCUUCUAUGACUAUCGCUACCGCUUAGUGAUAAAGUAAAGCAAUUACAUGGAGAUUGCAUUUCAUACAAUAAAGCGACAACCAUAUGGCUCCUGCCAGUUGCCGAUAACUCCGUUACAAAACAUGAUCAUCUCAUACAAUAAAAUUUAGCAUCAUGUCUUGACCAUAUCACAUCACAACAUGCCCUGCAAAAACAAGUUAGACGUCCUCUACUUUGUUGUUGCAAGUUUUACGUGGCUGCUACGGGCUGAGCAAGAACCGUUCUUACCUACGCAUCAAAACCACAACGAUAUUUUGUCAAGUAUGUGAUGUUUUAACCUUCAACAAGGACCAGGCAUAGCCACACUCGAUUCAACUAAACUUGGAGAAACUGACACCCGCCAGCCACCUGUGUGCGAAGCACGUCGGUAGAACCAGUCUCGCGUAAGCAUACCCAUAAUGUCGGUCCGGGCUACUUCAUCCAACAAUACCGCCGAAUCAAAGUAUGACAUGCUGGUAAGCAGUAUGACUAGUAUCACCCACAACUCACUUGUGUUCUACUCGUGCAUAUAACAUCUACGCAUAAACCUGGCUUUGAUACCACUAUUGGGGAAUGUAGUAAUUUUAAAAAAAUUCCUACGCACAAUGCAAGAUCAUGGUGAUGCAUAACAACAAGAGGGGAGAGUGUUGUCCACGUACCCUCGUAGACCGAAAGAGGAAGCGUUAUGAAAACGCGAUUGAUGUAGUCGUAUGUCUUCAUGAUUGACCGAUCCUAGCACGGAAGGUACGACACCUCCAUGAUCUGCACACGUUCGGCUCGGUGACGUCCCACGAACUCACAAUCCAGUAGAGUGUCGGGGAAGAGCUUCGUCAGCAGGACGGCGUGAUGACGGUGAUGAUGAAGCUACCGGCACAGGGCUUCGCCUAAGCACUACGACGAUAUGAUCGAGGUGGAUUAUGGUGGAGGGGGGCACCGCACACGGCUAAAAGAUCAAUGAUUAACUUGUGUGUCUAUGGGGUGCCCCGCUCCCCCGUAUAUAAAGGAGUGGAGGAGGGGGAGGGCCGACCCUCCUAUGGCGCGCCCCAUGGGGAGGCCUACUCCCACCGGGAGUAGGAUUCCCAGGUUCCAUGUAGUAGGAGUAGGAGAGAAGGAAGGAGGAGAGAGGGAGAAGGAAGGGGGGGCGCCGCCCCCCCUUCCUAGUCCAAUUCGGAACAGAGGAAGAGGGGGCGCAUGGCCUGCCCUGGCAGUCCCUCUCUCUCUCUCUGCUAAGGCCCAUAAGGCCCAUUAUACUCCCUGGGGGAUUCCGGUAACUCCCCUGGCACUCCGGUAUAUAUCCGAAACCUCCUGAAACACUUCUCCGAAAAUAGUCGUCCAAUAUAUCGAUCUUUAUGUCUCAACCAUUUUGAGACUGCUCGUCAUGUCUGUGAUCAUAUUCGGGACUCCAAACUACGUUUGGUACAUCAAAACACAAAAACUCAUAAUACCGAUCGCCACAGAACUUUAAGCGUGCGGACCCUACACGGUUUCGAGAACUAUGUAGACAUGACCGAGACAUGUCUCCGGUCAAUAACCAAUAGCGGAACCUGGAUGCUCAUAUUGGUUCCUACAUAUUCUACGAAGAUCUUUAUCGGUCAAACCGCAUAACAACAUACGUUGUUCCCUUUGUCAUCGGUAUGUUAUUUGCCCGAGAGUCGAUCGUCGGUAUCUCAAUACCUAGCUCAAUCUCGUUACUGGCAAGUACCUUUACUCGUUCCAUAGUGCAUCAUCCUGUAACUAACUCAUUAGUCACAUUGCUUGCAAGGCUUAUAGUGAUGUGCAUUACCGAGAGGGCCCAGAGGUACCUCUCCGACAAUCGGAGUGACAAAUCAUAUUCUUGAUCUAUGCCAACUCCAUGAACACCAUCGGAGACACCUGUAGAGGACCUUUAUAAUCACCCAGUUAUGUUGUGGCGUUUGGUAGCACACAAAGUGUUCCUUCGGUAUUCGGGAGUUGCAUAAUCUCAUAGUCAUAGGAACAUGUAUAAGUCAUGGAGAAAGCAAUAGCAGUAAACUUAACGAUAAAGUGCUAAGCUAACGAAAUGGGUCAAGUCAAUCACAUCAUUCUCCUAAUGAUGUGACCCCGUUAAUCAAUUGACAACUCAUGUCCAUGGCUAGGAAACUCAACCAUCUUUUAUCAACGAGCUAGUCAAGUAGAGGCAUACUAGUGACACUAUGUUUUACUAUGUACUCACACAUGUAUUAUGUUUCCGGUUAAUACAAUUCUAGCAUGAAUAAUAAACAUUUAUCAUGAUAUGAGAAAAUAAAUAAUAACUUUAUUAUUGCCUCUAGGGCAUAUUUCCUUCACCUAGCACCACUGUUCAAGAUAUCUUCCGAUAUUCCGAUAAAUCGGCCGAUUUAUCGCUUACCGUUGUCUGACCGAUAAGAUAAAUCAGCCGAUAAAUUAGCCGAUAUGGCGAUAAAUCGACCGAUAUGCCGAUAAACUGGCUGAUUUACCCCUUAUCUUGGGUCGACUGAUAAGUUCCCGAUAAGCGAUAUCCCAAACAUUGCCUAGCACCGAAGGUACAACACCUCCGCGAUCUGCACACGUUCGGCUCGGUGACGUCCCACGAACUCACGAUCCAGAAGAGUGUCGGGGAAGAGCUUCAUCGGCACGAUGGCAUGAUGAUAGCGAUGAUGAAGCUACUGGCGUAGGGCUUCGCCUACGCACUACGACAAUAUGACCGAGGUGGAUUAUGGUGGAAGGGGGCACCGCACACGGCUAAAAGAUCAAUGAUCAACUUGUGUGUCUAUGGGGUGCCCCCUCCCCCGUAUAUAAAGGAGUGGAGGAGGGGGAGGGCCGGCCCUCCUAUGGCGCACCCCAUGGGGAGUCCUACUCCCACCGAGAGUAGAAUUCCCCCCCCCUUGCAUGUAGUAGGAGUAGGAGAGAAGGAAGGAGAAGAGAGGGAGAAGGAAAGGGGGGCUCCACCCCCCCUUCCUAGUCCAAUUAGGACCAAAGGGGGAGGGGGCAUGCGGCCUGCCCUGGCCGCCCCUCUCUCUCUCCACUAAGGCCCAUAAGGCCCAUUAAACUCCCCGAGGGGUUCUGGUAACCCCCCGGUACUCCGGUAUAUGUCCAAACUCACUCGGAACCAUUUCAAUGUCCAAACAUAGUCAUCCAAUAUAUCGAUCUUUAUGUAUCGACCACUUUGAGACUCCUUGUCAUGUCCGUGAUCAUAUCUGGGACUCCGAACUACCUUCGGUACAUAAAAACACAUAAACUCACAAUACCGAUCGUCACUGCACGUUAAGCGUGCGGACCCUACAAGUUCGAGAACUAUGUAGACAUGACCGAGACACGUCUCCGGUCAAUAACCAAUAGCAGAACCUGGAUGCUCAUAUUGGCUCCUACAUAUUCUACGAAGAUCUUCAUCGGUUAAACCACAUAACAACAUACGUUGUUCCCUUUGUCAUCGAUAUGUUACUUGCCCGAGAUUCGAUCGUUGGUAUCUGAAUACCUAGUUCAAUCUCGUUACCGGCAAGUCUCUUUACUUGUUCCGUAAUGUAUGAUCCCGCAACUAACUCAUUAGUUACAUUGCUUGCAAGGCUUAUAGUGAUGUGCAUUACCGAGAGGGCCCGGAGAUACCUCUCCGACAAUCGGAGUGACAAAUCCUAAUUUCGAUCUAUGCCAACUCAUCAAGUAGCAUCGGAGACACCUGUAGAGCACCUUUAUAAUCACCCGGUUACGUUGUGACAUUUGGUAGCACACAAAGUGUUCCUCCGGUAUCCGGGAGUUGCAUAAUCUCAUAGUCAUAGGAACAUGUAUAAUCAUGAAGAAAGCAAGGGCAAUAUACUAAAAGAUCAAUUGCUAAGCUAACGGAAUGGGUCAAGUCAAUCACAUCCUUCUAUAAUGAUGUGAUCCCGUUAAUCAAAUGACAACUCAUGUCUAUGGCUAGGAAACUUAACCAUCUUUGAUUCAACGAGCUAGUCAAGUAGAGGCAUACUAGUGACACUCUGUUUGUCUAUGUAUCCACACAUGUACUAAGUUUCCGGUUAAUACAAUUCUAGCAUGAAUAAUAAACAUUUAUCAUGAAAUAAGGAAAUAAAUAAUAACUUUAUUAUUGCCUCUAGGGCAUAUUUCCUUCAGUAUUCCACUUGCACUAGAGUCAAUAAUCUAGUUCACAUCGUGAUGUGAUUUAACACCAAUAGUUCACAUCACCAUGUGAUUAACACCCAUAGUUCACAUCGCCAUGUGACCAACACUCAAAGGGUUUACUAGACUCAGUAAACUUAGUUCACAUCACCAUGUGAUUAUCACCCAAAGAGUACUAAGGUGUGAUCAUGUUUUGCUUGUGAGAGAAGUUUAGUCAACGGGUCUGCCAUAUUCAGAUCCGUAUGUAUUUUGCAAAUUUCUAUGUCAACAAUGCUCUGCACGGAGCAACUUUAGCUAAUUGCUCCCACUUUCAAUAUGUAUCCAGAUUGUGACUUAGAGUCAUCCAUAUCGGUGUCAAAGCUUGUAUCGACACAACUCUUUAUGAUGAACUCUUUAUCACCUCCAUAACGGAGAAAUAUUUCCUUAGUCCUCUAAGGAUAAUUUUGACCGCUGUCCGGUGAUCUACACUUAGAUCAAAAUUGUACUCCCUUUCCAUACUCAGGGCAGGGUAUACAAUAGGUCUGGUACACAACAUGGCAUACUUUAUAGAACCUAUGGCCGAGGCAUAGGGAAUGACUUUCAUUCUCUCUCUAUCUUCUGUCGUGGUCGGGCUUUGAGUCUUACUCAACUUCACACCUUGCAACACAGGCAAGCACUCUUUCUUUGACUGUUCCAUUUUGAACUACUUCAAAAACUUGUCAAGGUAUGUAUUCAUUGAAAAAACUUAUCAAGCGUCUUGAUCUAUCUCUAUAGAUAUUGAUGCUCAAUACGUAAGCAGCUUCACCGAGGUCUUUCUUUGAAAAACUCCUUUCAAAUACUCCUUUAUGCUUUCCAGAAAAUUCUACAUUAUUUCCGAUCAACAAUAUGUCAUUCACAUAUACUUAUCAGAAAUGUUGUAGUGCUCCCACUCACUUUCGUGUAAAUACAGGCUUCUCCUGAAGUCUGUAUAAAACCAUAUGCUUUGAUCACACUAUCAAAACGUUUAUUCCAACUCCGAGAUGCUUGCACCAGUCCAUAGAUGGAUCGCUGGAACUUGCACAUUUUGUUAGCACCUUUAGGAUCGACAAAACCUUCUGGUUGCAUCAUAUACAACUCUUCAUUAAGAAAUCUAUUAAGGAAUAUAGUUUUGACAUCCAUUUGCCAGAUUUCAUAAAAUGUGGCAAUUUAUUAACAUGAUUCGGACAGACUUAAGCAUCGCUACGAGUGAGAAAAUCUCAUCGUAGUUAACACCUUGAACUUUGUUAAAAACCUUUUUCGACAAGUCUAGCUUUGUAGAUAGUAACACUACUAUCAGCGUCUGUCUUCCUCUUGAAGAUCCAUUUAUUUUCUAUGGCUUGCUGAUCAUCGGGCAAGUCACCCAAAGUCCACACUUUGUUCUCAUACAUGGAUCCCAUCUCAGAUUUCAUGGCCUCAAGACGUUUCACGGAAUCUAGGCUCAUCAUAGCUUCCUCAUAGUUCGUAGGUUCGUCAUGGUCAAGUAACGUGACCUCCAGAACAGGAUUACCGUACCACUCUGGUGCCGAUCUUAUUCUGGUAGACCUACAAGGUUUCGUAGUAACUUGAUCUUAAGUUUCAUGAUCAUCAUCAUUAGCUUCCUCACUAAUUGGUGUAGGAAUCACUAGAACUGAUUUCUAUGAUGAACUACUUUCCAAUUUGGGAGAAGGUACAAUUACCUAAUCAAGUUCUACUUUCCUCCCACUCACUUGUUUCGAGAGAAACUCCUUCUCUAGAAAGGAUACAUUCUUAGCAACGAAUGUCUUGACUUCGGAUCUGUGAUAGAAGGUGUACCCAACAGUCUCCUUUGGGUAUCCUAUGAAGACACAUUUCUCCGAUUUGGGUUUGAGCUUAUCAGGAUGAAACUUUUUCACAUAAGCAUCGCAACCCCAAACUUAAAGAAACAACAACUUUGGUUUCUUGCCAAACCACAGUUCAUAUGGUGUCAUCUCAACGGAUUUAGAUGGUGCCCUAUUUAACGUGAAUGCAGCUGUCUCUAAUGCAUAACCCCAAAACGAUAGUGGUAAAUCGGUAAGAGACAUCAUAGAUUGCACCAUAUCUAAUAAAGUACGGUUAUGAUGUUCGGACACACCAUCACACUAUGGUGUUUGAUACGUCUCCAACGUAUCUAUAAUUUAUGAAGUAUUCAUGCUAUUAUAUAUUCUGUUUUGGAUGUUUAAUGGGCUUUAUUAUACACUUUUAUAUUAUUUUUGGGACUAAACUAUUAAUCAGAGGCCCAGCCCAAAUUGUUGUUUUCUUGCCUAUUUCAGUGUUUCGAAGAAAAGGAAUAUCAAAUGGAGUCCAAACGGAAUGAAACCUUCAGGAGAGUUAUUUUUGGAAUGGAAGCAAUCCAGGAGACUUGGAGUAGACGUCAGGGAAGAUUCGAGGAAGCCACAAGGCAGGGAGGCGCGCCCUGUCGGUGUCAAAACCGGCAGAUCUCGGGUAGGGGGUCCCGAACUGUGCGUCUAAGGCUAAUGAUAACAGGAGGCGGGGGACACAAUGUUUACCCAGGUUCGGGCCCUCUCGAUGGAAGUAAUACCCUACUUCCUGCUUAAUUGAUCUUGAUGAUAUGAGUAUUACAAGAGUUGAUCUACCACGAGAUCGUAGAGGCUAAACCCUAGAAGCUAGCCUAUGGUUAUGAUUGUUGUUGUCCUACGGACUAAACCCUCCGGUUUAUAUAGACAUCGGAGGGGGCUAGGCUUACACAGAGUCGGUUACAGAGAAGGAAAUGUACAUAUCCGAAUUGCCAAGCUUGCCUUCCACGCAAAGGAGAGUCCCACCCGGACACGGGACGAAGUCUUCAAUCUUGUAUCUUCAUAGUCCAACAGUCCGGCUAAAGUAUAUAGUCCGGAUGUCCGAGGACUGCCUAAUCCAGGACUCCCUCAGUAGCCCCUGAACCAGGCUUCAAUGACGAUGAGUCCAGCGCGCAGAUUGUCUUCGGCAUUGCAAGGCGGGUUCCUUCUCCGAAUACUCCAUAGAAGAUUCUGAACACAAGGAUCGUGUCCGGCUCUGCAAAACAAAUUUGACACACCACCGUAGAGAGCAUAACAUUCCACAAAUCUAAUCUGCUGACCACUUUUCAUAGUGUGACAUCACGCCACGGCUUGGUCAUUAUUCGACCCGUUUUUCUCAACCAGUUGUUGCACAUAUUGCGAGGCGGUUUCCUUGGCACGUCUUGUCGAAGCAGAGAUCGUGUCCCGUUAUCACGGGAUUCUUAUCAAUAUGGGCGUGGAUAACCCAACCGUGCCAUCAACGCGACGCUUGGGGAAUAAGCGAAUUUACCGGGCAUGUGGGGAGGCGCAGGAUCCUGCCGCCGUUAUAAAGACAUAAGGGAUCCCCUUUUUCACCCACACCUUCUUCCUCUUCUUAUCCAUUCUAUCUCGCUCGAGCUCCAGCGCCCAAGCCUUCGUCUUCUCUGCCCACAAAGGCCCUUCGGAAAUGUCCGGAUCCGGAGUAGGAGGCAAGUGGAUGGCCUCUACCGUCCGGGAGAAGGACAUCAAAAAGCUUCGGGAGGCCGGGUAUCUGGCCAAGAACAUCAGCCAUCAUCUCCCGACGGCGGGACAGAUCGUCCCAACCCCGGAACCCCACGAGAGGGUUGUAUUCCUCCCUCAUUUUGUCCGUGGGCUAGGGUUUCCCCUCCACCCAUUCGUUCGCGGCAUCAUGUAUUACUAUGGGUUUGAUUUUCAUGAUAUAUCCCCCAAUUCCUUCCUCAACAUCUCGACAUUCAUCGUCAUGUGCGAGGCCUUUCUCUGCAUCUCACCACACUUCGGCUUAUGGCUGAAGAUCUUUAACGUGAAGCCCAAGGUAGUAAGCAGCGAGAACACCGAAUGCGGAGGUGCCAUGGUGAGCAAGAUGCUCAACGUCACAUGUCUAUCAGGUACUUUUAAUGAUUCCGUCAAAGGGUGGCAGCAGCAGUGGUUCUAUGUAACCGAGCCACGUGACCCAAAAUGGGUUGCGGCUCCCGAAUUCCGAUCCGGGGCUCCCCUGCACCUUACGUCCUGGACCAAGAAGGGCCUGAAUUGGUCUUCGCCUGACGAAUUGUCAGUGCUCCAGACGUGCGUCAAGGAUAUGGAAUACAAGAACAUCAAACUUGUCAAUGUAGUCCAGGUGAUGUUAGUUCGCCGGAUCCUUCCUUGUCAACACAGGGCUUGCAAUUUAUGGGAAUUUGACCCGGCCAAGCACCAGACCCUGCUAGAGCUCUUUGGCUCCUCGCACAAAGACAUCUGGAAGGUGCUUUUCAAGUCCGCCAAAUCAUGGCCGGACUCAGACGAGGACCGUGGGUACCAACUGUCCCGCCCUGCAAGUUCAGUAAGUCAUCAUAUGUUGGCAAGUCAUAUGUUUUAUUUGCAUAACCCAGGUGAAAUGCUUAAUGUGUUUUCCACAACUCUUCUAGGGAUGGACGAAGAAAGCAGGGCGGAUCUACUGUCCGGCCCCACUGCCGGAAGAACCGGCCAGCCCACUUCUGACAAAGAUGCUGGUCCCGGCGCCUUACAAGGUGCUGAAGAAGAAGGCCGAGAAUGAAGCCAGAAAGACCAGGGGCGGCCUUCGUCACCGUGGUACUUCGGACACAAUAUCUGAAGACUCCGAUGCCUGAUCUUCCUCCAGAGAGGACGAGGAAGAGGAGGAAGACCAAUCCCCAGCGAGGGGAGGAAAGAAAAGGACGGCCUCCACAUCCUUGGAGGUCGAGUCGCCGAAUAAGGGAAAAACACCCCUUCCGGAGGAGUCCACCGCCGCUACUGACAGCAGCCCAAAGUGGGAUUGCAGGGCCCAGCCCCUGGAGAACUUGUUUGCGCAUCCAGACUCACAAUGGCAUGCUGUUUUAAUCAUUAAGCCAUACUUUUUUGUAGUCUGGCGAGGUCCCGCACCAAACAAUCCUCAUUGGAGGAUUCACUGGACUCGGAUGCUAUGGACAGUGGGAGACCACCGAAGGCCCCUUCCCCAAAGCACGUGAAUGAUACCGAGGUAUCGUCUCAGAAGGACCCAGACCAAGGAGGGGGGAGACCGUAAAGGCGGCACCAGGAGGUCAAACUUCAGGGGCCAGACACAUGGGAGUGAAGGCCCCCACGGAUGUCGAUGGUGGGGGCUAUCUCGAAUUUGGCCCCAGCCGGACACAAUUUCGGAGACCAAUAUGGCUCCAGAUUUAGGCCGACAACCUCCCUCGGAUGGAGGGGGUGUGCCUAUUCCACCGGCAACCCCUGUCCAACCAGAGGUGCCGGAUACUUUAUCGGCGGCGCUGAAAAGUGCCUCCAUCAUCGAUGAACAUCGUGCCCUUAUGGGUGCGGUGAUUGAGAAGAUUCAGUCUGCUGAGAGUGGACUGAAUGAAGCCUGCAUCAGCCUUAUAACGGGCUUUGAGGUAUGUUUUGUGAGGUUUUCUAAGAGUGUCAUAGUAUAGGUAGUAGCCCCUGGUACACUGUUCGGUAGAAGAAAGAACCGAACAGGGGAUCAAAUAUAUGUUUGCAGGAGACUUACCUUAUGGCAUCUGUCCCUCUCUUUUUCGUAAACAGGCGUCUGUGGUGACUGCCGCCUCUCAUACUGUGGAAGUCUCCAAACUGAAGCAAAGUUUGGAGCAGGCCGGAGAAGAACUCGGCCAAGUGAAUAAGCAGGUGGAGGAUAACCAAGGUAUGCAAAAAACCUUGCUCGCGUUCAACGCAAAUGAAUAAUUUUGUAUGAUAAGAAUAUUUAUAUGAUGUGCUCUAGGGGCGACGGCCGGAAUUGAGGCUCUUAAGAAGGCUGUGGCCGAAGCCGAGAAGAAGGCAGCCGCAGAGCAGGCUCUUCGCGAGAAGCACGAGGCCAGGGUUAUUGAAGCUGAGCAAGAGCUUCAAGAGGCCGUGAAAUGAUGCGAGACCUUGGAGCAUAAUUUAGCGGGGAAAGACUCCGAACGCUCCCAAGCUCGCCAAGCCGCAUGUGAUGCCCGGGGGGAAGCCCAAGGUGCCCUAAAGGAAAUCCAGGAGGGAAGGAAGAUUGCGGCGGGUAAGGCUUUUUCUAUGUAAAGCAUGUCUUUGAAGGGAGAAAAUCAUGUUUACUAAUUUGAAUUCGGAUUUCUCCAAGAGUAUUUGCGGAGCUGCCAUGCAGCAUAUCUGAUGCCGCCCAAUUCUAACAAGCCGAAGAAAGGAUCACUGCGGAGAAGCUCUUCUGGUCACAGUAUCUAGCGCCGAAUUAUCCAGUGCCAUUUGCCGAUCAGCUGAAGCAGCUGAUCGAACUGCAGAAGGCGGCCGGACUAGCCAUGAAGGAUUUAAUUAUCUGGCAAUGGCCCGCCGAGCUGAUUCCGAGGAGCUACUUCAGACUCAUGAAGCGGCUUGUGAGUGCCUGCCCUCGACUCGAGGUCAUCAAGCGGUCGGUCUGUAUAGAGGGUUGAUACGUCUCCAACGUAUCUAUAAUUUUUGAUUGCUCCAUGCUACUUUAUCUACUGUUUUGGACUAUAUUGGGCUUUAUUUUUCACUUUUAUAUUAUUUUUGGGACUAACCUAUUAACCGGAGGCCCAGCCCAGAAUUGUUGUUUUUUGCCUAUUUCAGUAUUUCGAAGAAACAGAAUAUCAAACGGAGUCCAGACGGAAUGAAACCUUCGGGAACGUGAUUUUCUCACCGAACGUGAUCCAGGAGACUUGGACCCUGCUCCAAGGAACAAAAGAGGCGGUCACGAGGGUGGGGGACGCCCCCCCUAGGGCGCAUCCCCUGCCUCGUGGGCCCCCUGUUGCUCCACCGACAUACUCCUUCCUCCUAUAUAUACCUACGUACCCCCGACAGAUCAAAUACAGAGGCAAAAACCUAAUUCCACCGCCGCAACUUUCAGUAUCCGCUAGAUCCCAUCUUGGGGCCUGUUCCGGAGCUCCGCCGGAGGGGGCAUAUACCACGGAGGGCUUCUACAUCAACACCAUAGCCUCUCCGAUGAAGUGUGAGUAGUUUACUUCAGACCUUCAAGUCCAUAGCUAGUAGCUAGAUGGCUUCUUCUCUCUUUUUGGAUCUCAAUACAAUGUUCUCCCCCUCUCUUGUGGAUAUAUAUUCGAUGUAAUCUUCUUUUUUGCGGUGUGUUUGUUGAGACCAAUGAAUUGUGGGUUUAUGAUCCAGCUUAUCUAUGAAUAAUAUUUGAAUCUUCUCUGAAUUCUUUUAUGUAUGAUUGAGUUAUCUUUGCAAGUCUCUUCGAAUUAUCCGUUUGGUUUGGCCAACUAGAUUGGUAGUUCUUGCAAUGGGAGAAGUGUUUAGCUUUGGGUUCAAUCUUGCGGUGUCCUUUCCCAGUGAUAGCAGGGGCAGCAAGGCACGUAUUGUAUUGUUGCCAUCGAGGAUAACAAGAUGGGGUUUUUAUCAUAUUGCAUGAAUUUAUCCCUCUACAUCAUGUCAUCUUGCUUAUGGCGUUACUCUGUUUUUAACUUAAUACUCUAGAUGCAUGCUGGGUAGCGGUCCAUGAGUGGAGUAAUAGUAGUAGAUGCAAAAUCGUUUUGAUCUACUUGUCUCGGACGUGAUUCUUAUACACAUGAUCAUACCUAGAUAUCGUCAUAAUUAUUCGCUUUUCUAUCAAUUGCUCAACAGUAAUUUGUUCACCCACCAUAGAAUACUUAUGCUCUUGAGAGAAGCCACUAGUGAAACCUAUGGCCCCCGGGUCUAUUCUCAUCAUAUCAAUCUCCAUUACUUUAUUACUUGCUUUGUUUUUACUUUACCUUUUACUUUUCACUUUGCAUCUUUAUAUCAGAAAUACCAAAAAUAUUAUUUAUCAUCUCUAUCAGAUCUCACCCUCGUAAGCGACCGUGAAGGGAUUGACAACCCCUAAUCGCGUUGGUUGCGAGUAGCUAUCGUUUUGUGUAGGUAUGAGGGACUUGUGCGUGGCCUCCUACUAGAUUGAUACCUUGGUUCUCAAAAACUGAGGGAAAUACUUAUGCUACUUUACUACAUCAUCCUCUCCUCUUCGGGGAAAUCCAACGCAGUGCUCAAGAGGUAGCAAGAAGAAUUUCUAGCACCGUUGCCGGGGAGGCUCACGCAAGCAAGUAAACAUACCAAGUACCCAUCACAAUCCCUAUCUCUCGAAUUACAUUAUUUGCCUCUCGUUUUCCUCUCCCCCACUUCACACUUGACGUUUUAUUCGCCCUCUCUUUCCCAAUCUCCUCCUCUCUUUCCCUUUCACCUUUUUCUCGUUUGCCUUUUUGUUUGCUUGUGUGUUGGAUUACUUGUUGCCAUGGCACAAGAUAAUACCAAAUUGUGUGACUUCUUGAAUACCAAUAAUAAUGAUUUCCUUAGUACUCCGAUUGCUCCUCUUAAUAAUGAUGAGUCUUGUGAAAUCAAUACCGCUUUGCUGAAUCUUGUUAUGAAAGAUCAAUUCGCCGGCCUUCCUAGUGAAGAUGCCGCUACUCAUCUAAAUAAUUUUGUUGAUUUGUGUGAUAUGCAAAAUAAGAAAGAUACGAAUAAUAAUAUUGUCAAAUUUAAGUUAUUUCCGUUUUCACUUAGAGAUCGUGCUAAAGUUUGGUUUUCGUCUUUGCCGAGAAAUAGUAUUGAAUCUUGGAAUAAGUGCAAAGAUGCUUUUAUCUCUAAGUAUUUUCCUCCCGCUAAGAUCAUCACUCUUAGGAAUGAUAUCAUGAAUUUUAAACAACUUGAUCAUGAGCAUGUUGCCCAAUCUUGGGAAAGAAUGAAAUUGAUGCUUUGCAAUUGCCCUACUCAUGGUUUGAAUUUAUGGAUGAUCAUACAAAAUUUUUAUGCCGGAUUGAAUUUUGCUUCUAGAAAUCUUUUAGAUUCGGCCACGGGAGGCACGUUUAUGGAAAUUACAUUAGGAGAUGCUACAAAAUUACUUGGUAAUAUUAUGGCUAAUUAUUCUCAAUGGCACACCGAAAGAUCUUCUAGUAAAAAAGUACAUGCUAUAGAAGAAAUCAAUGUUUUGAGUGAAAAGAUGGAUGAACUUAUGAAGAUGUUUGCUACUAAAAAUACUUCUCUUGAUCCCAAUGAUAUGUCUUUAUCUACUUUGAUUGAGAAUAAUAAUGAAUCGAUGGAUGUGAAUUUUGUUGGUAGGAAUAGUUUUGGAAAUAACGCGUAUAGAGGGAAUUUUAAUCCUAGGCCUUAUCCUAGUAAUCCUUUUAAUAAUUAUGGAAAUUCCUACAACAACUCUUACGGAAAUUUUAAUAAGAUGCCCUCUGAAUUUGAGAGUAGUGUUAAAGAGUUUAUGAAUUCACAAAAGAAUUUUAAUGCUUUGGUUGAAGAGCAAUUUCUUAAAGUUGAUGAUUUGGCUAGGAACGUUGAUAGAAUUUCUCUUGAAAUUGAUUCUUUAAAGCUUAGAUCUAUUCGUCCUAAGCAUGAUAUCAAUGAGUCCAUCAAAGCCAUGAGAAUUUCCAUGGAUGAGUGCAAAGAAAGAACUGCUAGGAUGCGUGCUUCCAAAGAUGCAUUUAUUAAAGCAUGUUCUUCCAAUUCCUAUGAAAAUCAAGAUGAAGAUCUAAAAGUUAUUGAUGUGUCCCUUAUUAAAUCUUUGUUUUGCAAUAUUAAUCUUGAUGAAACUGAAUAUGAUCUUCCUUUACCUAGAAGGCGUUCUAAGAAUUCGGAGUUUCUAGAUCUUGAUGAUGAAAUUGAUGAAAGUGGGAUUGAAAGAAAUAAAAAUCUAGAUGUUGCUAAACCCACUAUUUUGGAUCUCAAGGAAUUUAAUUAUGAAAAUUGCUCUUUGAUUGGUUGUAUUUCCUUGUUGCAAUCCGUGCUAGAUUAUCCUCAUGCUUAUAGUCAAAAUAAGGCCUUUACCGAACACAUUGUUGAUGCCUUGAUGCAAUCUUAUGAAGAAAAACUUGAGUUGAAAGUUUCUAUCCCUAGAAAACUCCAUGAUGAGUGGGAACCAACUAUUAAAAUUAAAAUUAAAGAUUAUGAGUUUCAUGCUUUGUGUGAUUUGGGUGCUAGUGUCUCCACUAUUCCCAAAACUUUGUGCGAUUUGCUAGAUUUCUGUGACUUUGAAGAUUGCUCUCUAAACUUGCAUCUUGCGAAUUCCACUAUUAAAAAGCCUAUGGGAAGAAUUAAUGAUGUUCUUAUUUUUGCAAAUAGGAAUUAUGUGCCCGUAGAUUUUAUCGUUCUUGAUAUAGAUUUCAAUCCUUCAUGUCCUAUUAUUCUUGGUAGACCUUUCCUUAGAACGAUUCGUGCGAUUAUUGAUAUAAAGGAAGGGAAUAUUAGAUUCCAAUUUGCCUUGAGAAAGGGUAUGGAACACUUCCCUAGAAAGAAAAUAAAAUUACCAUAUGAAUCUAUCAUGAGAGCCACUUAUGGAUUGCCUACCAAAGAUGGCAAAACCUAGAUCUAUCCUUGUUUUUAUGCCUAGCUACGGGCGUUAAACGAUAGCGCUUGUUGGGAGGCAAACCAAUUUUAUUUUUUGUUUUUUGUUUUUUCUUCUGUUUAGGAAUAAAUAAUCCAUCUAUCCUCUGUUUGGAUGUGGUUUUAUGUUUUAAUUAGUGUUUGUGCCAAGUAGAACCUAUAGAAUAAGCUAUGAUGAUAGUUGAUUUGAUUCUGCUGAAAAACAGAAACUUUGCGCUCACGAGAAACAAUUCAAUAAAUCACAGAAACGUGCUUUUGCAUUCAUUCUUUUUGCUGCUGAUCAAUAAACAAAUUUUCCAGUACUUACUAUUUUGGUAGAAUUUUUAGAGUUCCAGAAGUUUGCGUUAGUUACAGAUUCCUACAGACUGUUCUGUUUUUGACAGAUUCUGUUUUUCGUGUUUUGUUUGCUUAUUUCAAUGCAUCUAUGGCUAAUAAAUUAGUUUAUUAACCAAAAGGAAGUUGGAAUACAGUAGGUUUAACACCAAUAUAAAUAAAUAAUGAGUUCAUUACAGUACCUUAAAGUAGUCUUUUGUUUUCUUUCACUAACGGAGCUCACGAGAUUUCUAUUGAGUUUUGUGUUGUGAAGUUUUCAAGUUUUGGGUGAAUUCUUUUGAUGGAUUAUGGAACAAAGAGUGGAAAGAGCCUAAGCUUGGGGAUGCCCAUGGCACCCCCAAGAUAAUCCAAGGACACCAAAAAGUCAAAGGUUGUGGAUGCCCUGGAAGGCAUCCCCUCUUUCGUCUACUUCCAUCGGUAAUUUACUUGGAGCUAUAAUUUUAUUCACCACAUGUUAUGUGUUUUGCUUGGAUCGUCUUGUAUUAUUUGCGUCUUUGCUUGUUAGUUUACCACAAUCAUCCUUGCUGUACACACCUUUUGAGAGAGCCAUACAUGAUUUGGAAUUUUCUAGAAUACUCUAUAUGCUUCACUUAUAUCUUUUGAGCUUGAUAGUUUUGCUCAUAGUGCUUCACUUAUACCUUUUUGAGCGUGAUGAUUUUUGCUCUAGUGCUUCACUUAGAUACUUUAGAGCACGGUGGUGGAUUUGUUUUAAAGAAACUAUUGAUCUCUCUUGCUUCACUUAUAUUAUUUUGAGAGUUGUUAAUAGCAUGGUAAUUUGCUUAAAGAUAAUAUACCUGGUAUUCAAGAUAUGUGAAACUUUCUUUUGAGUGCGUUGAAUACUAAGAUAAGUUUGAUGCUUGAUAAUUAUUUUGAGAUAUGGAGGUGAUAAUAUCAAAGCAAUGCUAGUUGGGGUGAUUAUUAAUUUAAAGAAUGCUUGUGUUGAAGUUUGUGAUUCCUGUAGCAUGCACGUAUGGUGAACCGCUUUGUGAUGAAGUCGGAGCACAAUUUUAUUUAUUGAUUGUCUUCCCUAUGAGUGGCAGUCAGGGACGAGCGAUGGUCUUUUCCUACUAAUCUAUCCCCCUAGGAGUACGUGUGUAGUUCUUUGGUUUUUGAUGACUUCUAAAUUUUUGCAACAAGUGCAUGAGUUCUUUUGAUUAAUGUUGAGUCCAUGGAUUAUACGCACUCUCACCCUUCCACCAUUGCUAGCCUCUCUAAUACCACGCACUUUUCGCCGGUAUCAUACACCCACCAUAUACCUUCCUCAAAACAGCCACCAUACCUACCUAUCAUGGCAUUUCCAUAGCCAUUCCGAGAUAUAUUGCCAUGCAAAUUUGCAGCAUUCCGUUCAUAUGACACACAUUAAUUUUGUCAUAUUGCUUUGUGCAUGAACAUGUAGUUGACAUUGUAUUUGUGGCAAGGCCACCUUAAUAAUUUUCAUACAUGUCACUCUUGAUUCAUUGCAUAUCCCGGUACACCGCCGGAGGCAUUCAUAUAGAGUCAUAUUUUGUUCUAAGUAUUGAGUUGUAAUUGUUGAGUUGUAAGAAAUAAAAGUGUGAUGAUCAUCAUUAUUAGAGAAUUGUCCCAGUAAGGAAAGGAUGAUGGAGACUAUGAUUCCCCCAUAAGUCGGGAUGAGACUCCGGACGAAAAAAAAGAGUGGCCAUAAAAAAAAAGAGAAAAGGCCCAAAUAAAAAAAUGAGAGAAAAAGAGAGAAGGGACAAUGCUACUAUCCUUUUACCACACUUGUGCUUCAAAGUAGCACCAUGAUCUUCAUGAUAGAGAGUCUCAUAUGUUGUCAAUUUCAUAUACUAGUGGGAAUUUUUCAUUAUAGAACUUGGAUUGUAUAUUCUAAUGAUGGGCUUCCUCAAAAGUGCCCUAGGUCUUCGUGAGCAAGCAAGUUGGAUGCACACCCACUUAGUUUCUUUUGUUGAGCUUUCAUAUACUUAUAGCUCUAGUGCAUUCGUUGCAUGGCAAUCCCUACUCACUCACAUCGAUAUCUAUUAAUGAGCAACUCCAUAGCCCAUUGAUACGCCUAGUUGAUGUGAGACUAUCUUCUCCUUUUUUGUCUUCUCCACAACCACCAUUCUAUUCCACCCAUAGUGCUAUGUCCAUGGCUCACGCUCAUGUAUUGCAUGAAAGUUGAAAAAGUUUGAGAUUACUAAAGUAUGAAACAGUUGUUUGGCUCGUCAUCGGGGUUGUGCAUGAUUAAAUACUUUGUGUGAUGAAGAUAGAGCUUAGCCAGACUAUAUGAUUUUGUAGGGAUAACUUUCUUUUGGCCAAGUUAUUUUGAGAAGACAUGAUUACUUUGAUUUGUAUGCUUGAAGUAUUAUUACUUUUAUGUUAAUAUGAACUUUUGUCUUGAAUCUUUCGGAUCUGAAUAUUCAUGCCACAAUUAAGAAGAUUUACACUGAAACUAUGCCAAAGUAUCACUCCGCAUCAAAAAUUCUUUUUUAUCAUUUACCUACUCGAGGACGAGCAGGAAUUAAGCCUGGGGAUGCUUGAUACGUCUCCAAUGUAUCUAUAAUUUUUGAUUGCUCCAUGCUACUUUAUCUACUGUUUUGGACUAUAUUGGGCUUUAUUUUCCAAUUUUAUAUUAUUUUUGGGACUAACCUAUUAACCGGAGGCCCAGCCCAGAAUUGCUGUUUUUUGCCUAUUUCAGUAUUUCGAAGAAACAGAAUAUCAAACGGAGUCCAAACAGAACGAAACCUUCGGGAACGUGAUUUUCUCACCGAGCGUGAUCCAGGAGACUUGGACCCUGCUCCAAGGAACAAAAGCGGUGGUCACGAGGGUGGGGGCGCCCCCCCCCCCAAGGAGCGCCCCCUGCCUCGUGGGCCCCCUGUUGCUCCACCGACAUACUCCUUCCUCCUAUAUAUACCUACGUACCCCCGACAGAUCAAAUACAGAGCCAAAAACCAAAUUCCACCGCCGCAACUUUCUGUAUCCGCGAGAUCCCAUCUUGGGGCCUGUUCCGGAGCUCCGCCGGAGGGGGCAUCUACCAUGGAGGGCUUCUACAUCAACACCAUAGCCUCUCCGAUGAAGUGUGAGUAGUUUACUUCAGACCUUCGGGUCCAUAGCUAGUAGCUAGAUGUCUUCUUCCCUCUUUUUGGAUCUCAAUACAAUGUUCUCCCCCUCUCUUGUGGAGAUCUAUUCGAUGUAAUCUUCUUUUUUGCGGUGUGUUUGUUGAGACUGAUGAAUUGUGGGUUUAUGAUCCAGCUUAUCUAUGAAUAAUAUUUGAAUCUUCUCUGAAUUCUUUUAUGUAUGAUUGAGUUAUCUUUGCAAGUCUCUUUGAAUUAUCCGUUUGGUUUGGCCAACUAGAUUGGUAGUUCUUGCAAUGGGAGAAGUGUUUAGCUUUGGGUUCAAUCUUGCGGUGUCCUUUCCUAGUGACAGCAGGGGCAGCAAGGCACGUAUUAUAUUGUUGCCAUUGAGGAUAACAAGAUGGGUUUUUAUCAUAUUGCAUGAAUUUAUCCCUCUACAUCAUGUCAUCUUGCUUAAGGCGUUACUCUGUUUUCAACUUAAUACUCUAGAUGCAUGCUGGAUAGCGGUCGAUGAGUGGAGUAAUAGUAGUAGAUGCAGAAUCGUUUCGAUCUACUUUUCUCGGACGUGAUGCCUAUACACAUGAUCAUACCUAGAUAUCGUCAUAAUUAUUUGCUUUUCUAUCAAUUGCUCAUAAGUAAUUUGUUCACCCACCGUAGAAUACUUAUGCUGUUGAGAGAAGCCACUAGUGAAACCUAUGGCCCCCGGGUCUAUUCUCAUCAUAUCAAUCUCCAUUACUUUAUUACUUGCUUUGUUUUUUCUUUACCUUUUACUUUUCACUUUGCAUCUUUAUAUCAAAAAUACCAAAAAUAUUAUUUAUCAUCUCUAUCAGAUCUCACCCUCGUAAGUGACCAUGAAGGGAUUGACAACCCCUAAUUGUGUUGGUUGCGAGUAGCUAUCGUUUUGUGUAGGUACGAGGGACUUGUGCGUGGUCUCCUACUGGAUUGAUACCUUGGUUCUCAAAAACUGAGGGAAAUACUUACGCUACUUUACUGCAUCAUCCUCUCCUCUUCGGGGAAAUCCAACGCAGUGCUCAGGAGGUAGCAAGGGUGUGCAAAUGGCCUUCGCCCGCGCAAAGGUGCACUGGGGGAAGAUGGAUGCGGAAAAGCUGAUGACCGAGGUACUACGGGAGGGGAAGGAGCACCGCAAGCCCGAAUUAUAUUAUGAUAGUGUCCUAAAAGGAUCCUGCCUUGCGGCGGAGAAAUGCACCAAGGACAUUAUAUUUCCAUGAAUACAGUCAUCUUGUCCUUUGUAAUGUUGAACCAGGUCAUCUCUAUUAUUUAUUGCCUUUUAUUUGAAAGUUUUUCCUCCUGCGUGGCCGUUUUAUAUAUUAAUCCUGAGAGUUGGCCAGUCGUCGGCUUCUGCCACCACGUAGGAAGUACGGGGGUGUUCGGGAUAAACCUGAGCACUCUUUAUCCCAGUUAUGGGUCCUUGAAGGAGGUGUUCAGCACAACGAACCAGGCAAUCGGACUAUAAGGCUUUAUCACUCUCACUUAGCCAUAGGAGUUUGACAAAAAGAAGGUAGGCGCAGCCCCUGGUGUUCGGAAGACCGCGCGAGGGGCUCUAUAAGCACCUGAUCGGAAGAAAAACCGAUCCAUUGCACGCAGCAUUAGUUAUCGCAUAAUGCGGAAGAAAUCCUUAAAGAUUUUACAACCUCUCGAACAGCUGACCAACUCUUGCUGUAUCAUGACAGUCAGUUUUUGGCUUUCUCUACUGAGGCGCUCGUACGGAAGAACUGGGACACAAUCGCUGUAGUUCUCCCUGUGCCGCCUUAGCCGAUGUAGCAGAAUGUAUGGCAGCAAAACAUGGGAGACGGGCAAACCCAACUAUUGACCCAAGACAUGAUUCGGAGUUGAUGCAUAUAAUGCAAUAAGUUCAGGGUGCCAAAUGACCGCGAAGGUGUUCGUACUUUAUUGCCGUUAUUAUGGGUACAAUGAAGCCCCUGGCAUAUUAAGGCAUAUCAUGGUGUACGGAUGCCAUUUGACAAAGAGUAUCAAUAAGAAACAACAUCAGAUAAGCGUCAUAUAAAUCCACAUGUUGUAAUUGAAUAAUACGUCGAUGCGUACGAAUACAAGUAAUUGUGAUAAAAAGAAAUAUGACUUCGGAACCUACUGAGAUCAAGCGGGAGGAGGCUGUGUGCGGAUCCGGAGUGUAAUCGGAUGGUCAUCAAUGGGCAUAUCUAAGGAUUCCCUUACACAUUCGAGCUGUUUCCAUGUCGCCAGUCCUGGACUACGCAGAAGUGGACCUGCCAAGAAAGUGCAAAAAGAUUUUUAUGUGUCACGGAGUGGUUAAGCCGCCUUGUGUGGCCUAUCCUAGUUGUGCCUCCGUUUACUGCUGGAGUGUUUUUAAUUGAGCUCUGGACGAGCCAGGCUAUCCUGCCACGAAGUAGUUCAGACUCCCUUAACGGUGUCUAGGAGCUUGGCCGUUGACUCGAGUUUCGGUUGAAGGAUGCCCCUCGUUGCUUCUGCCGUUAAGGCGGCGGUAUGCUCUUCAGCGCACAGGGGGGGUUCAGCCUUGCCAUUAACUGUUAUGACGCCGCCGGACCAGGCAUCUUGAGCUUUCGAUAGGCAUAAUGUGGCACUGCGUUGAAUCGAGCAAACGCGGUUCGUCCGAGCAGUGCAUGAUAAUUACUGCGAAAAGGGACAAUGUCGAAGGUUAACUCUUCGGUACGGUAAUUGUCCGGUGAUCCAAAGACUACCUCCAGAGUGAUGGAGCCUGUACAACGGGCCUCCACCCCUGGUAUAACACCUUUAAAGGUGGUUUUAGUGGGCUUGAUCAUCGAAUGAUGAAUACUCAUCUUGCACACUUGUCCUGAUACAGCAGGUUUAGACUGCUGCCUCCGUCCAUAAGGACUCGUGUGAGGUGGAAUCCAUCAAUUAUUGUGUCAAGGACUAGUGCGGCUGAAUUGCCCUGAUUGGUGUUGGCUGGACGAUCCGUGCGACCAAAAGUGAUCGGCCGUAGUUUAUAUUGUGGGGCGACUGGCUCCGUUAAGUCGACAUCCCUAAGAGUGCAGGUCCGUUCCAGCUUGGGAAUAUGGAUGGCGUUUAUCAUUUUCACCGCUUUGAUUUGCAGGGGAAAUUUCUUUUGCCCUCCUGUGUUUGGUGAUCGGGGCUCCUUGUCAUCGUCAUCGCUUUGAGACCCCUUCUCCUUGUUUUUGGCACCUGCCCUCUUGUUUGAAGACCCAGCAUUCUCUGUUGGUAUGAUUGGCUGGUGUUCCUGGGGUGCCAUGAAUUUGGCAUGGACGAUCGAGUAUGCGGUCUAGACUGAACGGGCCCGAAUUGUUCUUUUUGAAUGGCUUUUUCCACUGACCGGUCUUAGAGCCACUGAAUCCGGCAUUGACUGUCGUGUCUUCAGCGUUAUCACCAUUUUUGCGAUGCUUGUGUCUGUUGCGUCGGUGCUUGCCAUUGUUAUCUCUGGCAUCUGAAGUGCCAGGGUUUCUUGAUGUGAUGUUGCUACGAGCCAGCCAGUUGUCCUCGCCUGCAGAAAAGCGGGUCAUGAGUGUCGUGAGGGCUGCCAUGGACUUCGGCUUUUCUUGGCCGAGGUGUCGGGAAAGCCAAUCGUCGCGGAUGUUAUGCUUAAAGGCCGCUAGGGUUUCGGCAUCCGGACAAUCGACAAUUUGGUUCUUUUUAGUUAGGAACCGAGUCAAGAAUUUCCUGGCUGACUCUCCAGGCUAUUAGGUAAUGUGACUUAAAUCGUCAGCAUCCGGUGGGUGCACAUAAGUGCCCUGGAAGUUAUCCAGGAAUGCGUCUUCCAGGUUCUCCCAACUUCCAAUGGAGUUUGCCGGCAAACUAUUCAGCCAAUGCCGAGCUGGUCCCUUGAGUUUUAGUGGGAGGUACUUGAUGGCAUGGAGAUCAUCGCCGCGGGCCAUGUGAAUAUGGAGAAGGAAAUCUUCAAUCCAUACCGCGGGGUCUGUUGUCCCAUCAUAUGAUUAAAUGUCCACGGGCUUAAACCCUUUUGGGAACUCAUGGUCCAUUACUUCGUCAGUGAAGCAUAGGGGGUGUGCGGCGCCUCUGUGCCGGGCUACAUCACGACGUAAUUCAAAUGAGUCUGGUCAGUUGUAUUCAGCCCUGACAGAUUUAUAUUUAGUGUAUCCGGCGUGGUGAUCUUCGUCAUGCGUUGGGGCGCCCCCCCGUGAUCCGUAGAUCGACCUUGACUGUCCCGCUUUGUUUUCCAACACGUCUCGCAGGUCCUGCAUGUAGCCCCAGGCCUUAGUGUUUUUGUUUGAUUGGCGACAGGGUGCGGGCUGAACUUCAGGCUGAUGCGCCGCUUUGUCUGAGCCACGAGGUGGCCGGUCAGCCGCAUUCUGCGCUAGUAGUGUAGGCUUUACUGCCUCCUCCUCGAGUUGAGGUAGCAAAAUGUGCUUUGGGUAACUUUUGGUUGGGCGCUCGAGUCCGUAUUCCUCGGCUGCCAGGACCUCAGUCCAUCUAUCAGUUAGCAGAUCUUGAUCAGCUUCAAGCUGCUGCUGUUUUUUCUUCAGGCUUUUUGAAGUGGCUAUAAGCCGGUGCUUGAAGAGCUACUGCUCGACGGGGCCCUCAGGCAUGAUGAAUUCUUUGUUGCUUAGGCUCGCUUCGUCUUCAGAGAGGGGCAUGUAAUUGUCAACCUCCGAGUCUCCAUCCAUUGCCUAUUUAUCAGGGCUAAGUUGCCCAUCCUUCUGUCCGGCUUGCUCGAAGCUUGGCUGGGCGGGAUUGUUUUCGUCUUCAGCACCAUCCGGAGUGCUAUUGUCUCUUGUGCCGGUAUUGUUGUUUUUGCUAUGGCGGGGGUUUGAGCGGCGCCACUGACGCUGGUGCUUAGAUUGCUUCCCUAGGGGAUUAUCCUCCGUUGCCUCAUCGCCAUUGCUUUCUUUGGGCGUGUCCACCAUAUAUAUAUCAUAUGAUGAGGUGGCUGUCCAGCGCCCUCUGGGCGGUGGUUCCUGUUCUUCUCCUCCAUCGUCGUCUAUACCGUCGAUGUCUUCGGAGUCGAAAUCAAGCAUGUCGGUUAAGUCGUCAACAGUGGCUAUUAAGUGGGUGGUGGGUGGGGAACGAAUUUCUUCGUCGUCUGCUUCCCACUCAAGCCGGACAUAGUUUGGCCAAGAGUCUCCUGAUAGGGAGAGAGACUUUAAUGAAUUUAGCACGUCGCCCAAGGGCAAGUACUGAAAGAUGUUCGUGGAGGUAAACUCCAGGAUCGGUGCCCGAUCAGAUUCGAUAGGCAUGGAUGCACGCGGUUCGUAGCCUAUGAUCGGAGACGAGUCCGAGGGUCUGAUGACACAGACCUCAUUGGAGGCGAAGUCUGUGUUCGGCUCUAAUGCCGAUGAGUGUGCGCCUCCAUGGUGGCGUCCAUCCACCGGUCCUCGGAUGGCAUGAUCUACUCCAGAUUAAGAGCCGGGGCAACCAUAGGUGUGAUCUCUCGAACAUCGUCCGAUGGCAGAUCUAAGUCAUGUUCAUCGUGACUGUUCGGCGCACCUGUCAUGGGCUCGAAUCCGUCAAAGAUCCGGUCUCCGCUGAUGUCGGCUGUGUAGUUCAGGCUUCCAAACAUGACCUAAUGGCCAGGGGCGUAGCUAUCAAUCUACUCCAGAUGGCCAAGCGAGUUGGCCCAUAGAGCGAAGCCGCCAAAUACGAAGAUCUGUCUGGGAGGGAAAACCUCACCCUGGAUCGCAUUGUUGUCAAUAGUUGAAGGAGCCAUCAAGCCUUACCGUGACGACACAGUGGAACUCUCAAUGAAAGCACCAAUGUCGGUGUCAAAACUGGCGGAUCUCGGGUAGGGGGUCCCGAACUGUGCGUCUAAGGCUAAUGGUAAUAGGAGGCGGGGGAUACAAUGUUUACCCAGGUUCGGGCCCUCUCAAUGGAGGUAAUACCCUACUUCCUGCUUGAUUGAUCUUGAUGAUAUGAAUAUUACAAGAGUUGAUCUACCACGAGAUCGUAGAGGCUAAACCCUAGAAGCUAGCCUAUGGUUAUGAUUGUUGUUGUCCUAUGAACUAAACCCUCCAGUUUAUAUAGACAUAGGAGGGGGCUAGGGUUACACAGAGUCGGUUACAGAGAAGGAAAUGUACAUAUCCAAAUUGCCAAGCUUGCCUUCCAUGCAAAGGAGAGUCCCACCCGGACAUGGGACGAAGUCUUCAAUCUUGUAUCUUCAUAGACCAACAGUCCGGCCAAAGUAUAUAGUCCGGCUGUCCGAGGACCCCAUAAUCAAGGACUCCCUCACGCUCCCCACCCUCGUGGGCCCCUCGUGGCUCCCCUGACCGACUUCUUUCACCUAUAUAUAUCCAUAUACCCUAAAAACAUCGGAGAACAGAAUAGAUCAGGAGUUCCACCACCGCAAGACUCUGUAGCCACCAAAAACCAAUCGGGACCCUGUUCCGGCACCCUGCCGGAGGGGGGAUCCCUCACCGGUGGCCAUCUUCAUCAUCCCGGCGCUCUCCAUGACGAGGAGGGAGUAGUUCACCCUCGGGGCUGAGGGUAUGUACGAGUAGCUAUGUGUUUGAUCUCUCUCUCUCUCUCUCUCUCUCUCUCUCUCUCUCUCUCUCGUGUUCUUCAUUCGGCACGAUCUUGAUGUAUCGUGAGCUUUGCUAUUAUAGCUGGAUCUUAUCAUGUUUCUCCAACUCUACUCUCUUGUAAUGGAUUGAGUUUUCCCUUUGAAGUUAUCUUAUCGGAUUGAGUCUUCAAGGAUUUGAGAACACUUGAUGUAUGUCUUGCAUGUGCUUAUCUGUGGUGACAAUGGGAUAUCACAUGAUUCACUUGAUGUAUGUUUUGGUGAUCAACUUGCAAGUUCCGUGACGUCGUGAACUUAUGCAUAGGGGUUGGCACACAUUUUCGUCUUGACUCUCCGGUAGAAACUUUGGGGCACUCUUUGAAGUACUUUGUGUUGGUUUGAAUAGAUGAAUCUGAGAUUGUGUGAUGCAUAUCGUAUAAUCAUACCCACAGAUACUUGAGGUGACAUUGGACUAUCUAGGUGACAUUAGGGUUUUGGUUGAUUUGUCUCUUAAUGUGUUAUUCUAGUACGAACUCUAUGAUAGGUCGAACAGAAAGAAUAGCUUCGUGUUAUUUUACUACAGACUCUUGAAUAGAUCGAUCAGAAAGGAUAAUUUUGAGGUGGUUUCAUACCCUACAAUAAUCUGUUCGUUUGUUCUCCACUAUUAGUGACUUUGGAGUGACUCUUUGUUGCAUGUUGAGGGAUAGUUAUAUGAUCCAAUUAUGUUAUUAUUGUUGAGAGAACUUGCACUAGUGAAAGUAUGAACCCUAGGCCUUGUUUGCAUUGCAAUACCGUUUGUGCUCACUUUUAUCAUUAGUUACCUUGCGGUUUUUAUAAUUUCAGAUUACAAAGACCUAUAUCUACCAUCCAUAUUGCACUUGUAUCACCAUCUCUUCGCCGAACUAGUGCACCUAUACAAUUUACCAUUGUAUUGGGUGUGUUGGGGACACAAGAGACUCUUUGUUAUUUGGUUGCAGGGUUGUUUGAGAGAGACCAUCUUCAUCCUACACCUCCCAUGGAUUGAUAAACCUUAGGUCAUCCACUUGAGGGAAAUUUGCUACUGUCCUACAAACCUCUGUACUUGGAGGCCCAACAACAUCUAGAAGAAGAAGGUUGUGUAGUAGACAUCAAGCUCUUUUCUGGCGCCGUUGCCGGGGAGGUGAGUGCUUAAAGGUAUAUCUUUAGAUCUUGCAAUCGAAUCUUUUUGUUUCUUGUUUUGUCACUAAUUUAGUCAAUAAAAGAAAACUAAAAAAGGAAUUAAGGGUGCCUCAUAUGCUUCAUCUUUUUAAUGUCUUUCGUGAAAAUGAUGGGAAGGAAAAUUGUGCUCAAGUACUAGAAGAAGGAUUACAUAGAAUGCUUGGCAUAAAAUAUGUGAAUGAUGAGCAUGAUUGCAAUGUUGUUAGUAUGAAUUCUUUGAAUACCCAUGAUGCUAAUGAUAUGCAAAGCCACAAGCUUGGGGAUGCUAUGUUUGAUGAAGAUGAUAUGUUUUGUCCCCCAAGUUAUGAUGAGAAAAUUUAUUAUGAUGAUAGCAUGCUUCCUAUUUAUGAUGAUUAUAUUGAUGAAAGUGGGUUUGGAAGAGUGUCAACUUUAGGAAGUAAUGAUCCCACUAUUUUUGAGGGUGUUGAAUCUUAUUGUGAUAAUUAUGAAAGUGGAUUUGGAGAGGUCAUGACUUUAUUUAGUGAUGAAUCCACUAUUUCAGAAGAGGUUCCAAUUGAUUAUGAGAAUAAAGUUGCUAUCUAUGAUGAUUAUUGUGAUGACAUGUAUGUUAUAAAGAAUAAACAUAACGAUGAAACUUGUCAUCAUGAUUUUAAUUUUCAAUUGGAUUAUGCUUCACAUGAUAGUUAUUUUGUUGAGUUUGCUCCCACUACUAUUCAUGAGAAGAAAUUUGCUUAUGUGGAGAGUAAUAAAAUUUCUAUGCUUGUAGAUCAUGAAAAGAAUGCUUUUAUGUGCUGGUUAUAUGGUUGAAUUCAUUCAUGAUGCUACUGAAAAUUAUUAUGAGAGAGGAUCCACUAGUAGAAAACAGGGCUACCGUUCGGCCCUGGCCAGCCCAUUAGUCCCGGUUCUUCAAGAACCGGGACCAAUGGGGGGUAUUAGACCCGGUUUGUGAGCCCAGGGGGCCGGCCGGGGCCUCGUGGGCAUUAGUCCCGGUUCAUGUAGAACCAUUUGUCUCGGUUCGAGCCACGAACCGGGACUAAUGGUCCUCGCUGCUGGCCCACAACCAUUGGUCCCGGUUCGUGGCAUGAACCGGGACAGAAGGGGUGGCUUUAGUCCCGGUUCAUGCCACGAACCGAGACAAAUAACUUGCCUAUAUAUACCCACCGCCGCGGAAGAGCACUCCAUAGUGCUCUGUUUUUUCAAUCCGGCGAGGAGAGGGUAUUUGGGUGCUCUAGUUCACCUCCUAUGCACAUGAUGUGUUCGAUGAAAUGCCCGAGCCACACUAGUUAAGCUUUCUCCUCUCGAAGCUCGACCUAGGAGCUCCAUUUUUUUGAGAUUUGUCUAGAUUUAGGGGUCCAUCAUGCCCCGUCCCCGUUCUCACCGCCGUUGAUCGCCCGCGCCGAUCUCGUCGUCGGCACCACCGUGGUGAGCCUCUUGUUCUUAUCUUCUUUAUGAUACUUGUCUGAUUUUCUUACUUUAGAUAGAUAUUUGUCUGAUUUUCUUAAUUUUGACACACAUAAUUAUAUGUAAUGCACACAGAUGAACCGGCAAUGGAUGUAUGGUGACAAACACACCUCUGAGUACAAUAAGGGCGUGCAUAUUUUUCUCGAAGUGGCUGAGGCAAACAAGCAGAAUGGUUUUAUGUGUUGUCCAUGCAGUAAAUGUGGUAAUACGAAGUCUUACUCUGACCGGAAAAUCCUUCACACCCACCUGCUUUACAAGGGUUUCAUGCCACACUAUAAUGUUUGGACGAGGCAUGGAGAAAUAGGGGUUAUGAUGGAAGACGACGAAGAAGAAGAGGAGGAUGACAACUAUGUGCCCCCUGAAUACGGUGAUGCUACAACGGGGGGAGCUGCUGAAGAUCAAGAGGAACCAGACAAUGUGCCCGAUGAUGCUGCAACGGGGGAAGCUGCUGAAGAUCAAGAGAAACCAGAUGAUGUGCCCAAUGAUGAUCUCCGUCGGGUCAUUAUCGAUGCAAGGACGCAAUGCAAAAGUCAAAAGGAGAAGCUGAAGUUCGAUCGCAUGUUAGAGGAUCACCAAAAAAAGUUGUACCCCAAUUGUGAAGAUGGCAACACAAAGCUGGGUACCGUACUGGAAUUGCUGUAGUGGAAGGCAGAGAAUGCUGUGCCUGACAAAGGAUUUGAGAAGCUACUGAAAAUAUUGAAGAAGAAGCUUCCAAAGGAUAAUGAAUUGCCCGACAGUACGUACGCAGCAAAGAAGGUCGUAUGCCCUCUAGGAUUGGAGGUGCAGAAGAUACAUGCAUGCCCUAAUGACUGCAUCCUCUACCGCGGUGCGUACGAGGAUUUGAACGCAUGCCCGGUAUGCAGUGCAUUGCGGUAUAAGAUCAGACGAGAUGACCCUGGUGAUGUUGACGGCGAGCCCCGCAGGAAGAGAGUUCCUGCGAAGGUGAUGUGGUAUGCUCCUGUAAUACCACAGUUGAAACAACUGUUCAGAAACAAAGAGCAUGCUAAGUUGAUGCGAUGGCAUAGUGAGGACCAUAAGAAAGACGGGAAGUUGAGAGCACCCGCUGACGGGUCGCAGUGGAGAAAAAUCGAGAGAGAGUACUGGGCUGAGUUUGCACGUGACCCAAGGAACGUAUGGUUUGGUUUAAGCGCGGAUGGCAUUAAUCCUUUCGGGGAGCAGAGCAGCAAUCACAGCACCUGGUCCGUGACUCUAUGUAUGUAUAACCUUCCACCUUGGAUGUGCAUGAAGCGGAAGUUCAUUAUGAUGCCAGUUCUCAUCCAAGGCCCUAAGCAACCCGGCAACGACAUUGAUGUGUACCUAAGGACAUUAGUUGAAGAACGUUUACAGCUGUGGAAUGGAAACGGUGUACGUGCGUGGGAUGAGCACAAACAUGAGGAAUUUAACCUGCACGCGUUGCUAUUUGUAACCAUCAACGAUUGGCCCGCUCUCAGUAACCUUUCAGGACAGACAAACAAGGGAUACCACGCAUGCACGCACUGUUUAGCUGACACCGAAAGUAUAUACCUGGGAAGCUGCAGCAAGAAUGUGUACCUGUGCCAUCGUCGAUUUCUUCCGACCAACUAUCAAUGUCGAAAGAAAGGCAAGUAUUUCAAAGGCGAGGCAGAUCACCGGAAGAAGCCCACCAUGUGUACCGGUGAUCAUGUACUUGCUAUGGUCAAUGAUUUACAUGUAAUCUUUGGAAAGGGUCCGGGCGGACUAGCUGUUCCGAGUGACGCUGGGGGACACGCACCCAUGUGGAAGAAGAAAUCUAUAUUUUGGGACCUACCCUACUGGAAAGACCUAGAGGUCCGCUCUUGAUCGACGUGAUGCACGUGACGAAGAACCUUUGCGUCAACCUACUAGGAUUAUUGGGCGUGCAUGGGAAGACAAAAGAUACAGCUGAGGCACGGGAGGACCUACAACGUUUGCACGAAAAAGAUGGCAUGCCUCCAAAGCAGUAUGAAGGUCCUGCCAGCUACGCUCUUACCAAAUAAGAGAAGGAAAUCUUCUUUGAAUGCCUGCUUAGUAUGAAGGUCCCGACUGGCUUCUCAUCGAAUAUAAAGGGAAUAAUAAAUAUGGCAGAGAAAAAGUUUCAGAACUUAAAGUCUCAUGACUGCCACAUGAUUAUGACGCAACUGCUUCCGGUUGCAUUGAGGGGGCUUCUAUCGGAAAACGUCCGAUUAGCCAUUGUGAAGCUAUGUGCAUUCCUCAAUGCAAUCUCUUAGAAGGUGAUCGAUCCAGAAAUCAUACCAAGGCUAAGGAGUGAUGUGGUGCAAUGUCUUGUCAGUUUCGAGCUGGUGUUCCCACCAUCCUUCUUUAAUAUCAUGACGCACGUCCUAGUUCAUCUAGUUGACGAGAUUGUCAUUCUGGGCCCCGUAUUUCUACACAAUAUGUACCCCUUUGAGAGGUUCAUGGGAGUCCUAAGGAAAUAUGUCCGUAACCGCGCUAGGCCAGAAGGAAGCAUCUCCAUGGGCCAUCAAAUAGAGGAUGUCAUUGGGUUUUGUGUUGACUUCAUUCCUGACAUUAAGAAUAUAGGUCUCCCUCAAUCGCGGUAUGAGGGGAGACUGACUAGAAAAGGCACGCUUGGAGGGGAGACAAUAAUAUGCAGGGACGGAUAUUCUUGGUCUCAAGCACACUGCACAGUUUUAUAGAACUCUACCUUGGUGACCCCUUAUGUCGAUGAACACAAGAACAGUCUGCGCUCCAAACACCCGGAGCAGUGCGACGACUGGAUUACAUGUGAACACAUCAAGACUUUCAGCAGUUGGUUGGAAACACGUCUCAGAGAUGAAAACACUGUUUGUGAUGAGCUGUACUCGUUGUCCAGGGGACCAUCUUCGACUGUUACGAUUCAGAAAGGAUACGAGAUAAAUGGGAAUACAUUUUACACGAUCGCCCAAGAUCAAAAGAGAACCAACCAAAACAGCGGUGUCCGCUUUGAUGCAGCCACCGAGAGGGGAAAGGACACAUAUUAUGGUUACAUAGUGGACAUAUGGGAACUUAACUAUGGAGUAGAUUUUAAGGUCCCUUUGUUUAAGUGCAAAUGGGUCAAUCUGUUAGGAGGCAGGGUACAGGUAGACCCACAGUAUGGAAUGACAACAGUGGAUCUGAACAAUCUUGGUUACACUGACGAACCGUUCAUCCUAGCCAAUGAUGUGGCACAGGUUAUCUAUGUGAAGCACAUGUCUACCAAACCGAUAAAAAGAGAAAAUAAGGAAGCAAAUACAUCAUACGAUGAGCCAAAGUGCCACAUGGUUCUUUCAGGAAAAAGGGACAUCGUGGGAGUGGAGGGCAAGACAGACAUGUCCGAAGAUUAUGAAAAGUUUCAUGAAAUUCCUCCCUUCAAAGUCAAGGCGGACCCAAGCAUCCUGAUAAAUGAUGAAGAUUAUCCAUGGUUACGGCGCAAUAAGGAAAGGACACAAGCGAAGAAAAAGUGAAGACUUUCUCCACAACUAUUAUGAUGAUACCAUGCCAACUUUCAACCUUUUGUAGUUCAUUUGAAAUGCAUGUUGUAACAGACAAGUUUCCGUAUGAAAUCCUGAUACUUCGAAAGAGAUUGUCCGUUUUGUACACGAAGUGCAUCCAGUUUUGUCGUAACCCUCUCAACUUUCUUGCAUAUGCUAUGUGGAUGAAAUGAUGAUACCAUGCCAAAAUAACAGAGAGGCGCAAUGCUCACCUGCACGUUGCUUAGCUUCAGGCCAACGUGCAGGUGAGCACUGCGCUUCUUCCUUCAUCGUCUCUACACUCAGGGCUUAUAAAACGCCGCGAGUGCCUCUCGCUUGGCGAGGUGGGAUUAAAAAACAGCUGCAGAAAGAAACAACUAAAAAACUCAUUUACUGGUUCAUGCCACGAACCGGUACUAAAAGGUGCUCGUGGGGCCCCAGCCUUAAAACCUGUACCAAAUAAAAUGCCUUUGUAACAGCCUUAGAACUGGUACUAAAGGAAUCAACUAAAAAGCUUUUAUAAACCUCUAGUAUUAUUGAAACUAAAAUUAUAUAGAAUUUUGUUACAAACUUUAAUAGAAAAAAGAAUUAUCAUAAAAGAAAAUAAAUAAGUAAUUAGAAUUUUGUUCAAAAUAUUAAAAGCAAAAAGAAUUAUCAUAAAAGAAAAUAAAUAAGUAAUUAGAAUUUUGUUACAAACUUUAAUAGCAAAAAGAAUUAUCGUAAAAGAAAAUAAAUAAGUAAUUAGAAACAAAAAAGAAAGCAAAAAAACUGGGAAAAAUUUAAAAAAAGUGCCACCUACAGGGCCACCACGGCCUGCAUACAACUAGAAACCCAUUACUAGGGCCAGGAUGCAGGCCCGCAGUAGGCCUAAUAGGCCCACAAGUACAGAGAGUGAUUUUAGGCCCAUAAGCCUACAGUAGAGAGGAGCUCAAAGUGGUAGGUUCGGCAAGACUUAUAAACCACUCUGAGCCCCUCUCGGCUAGCGAGGUGGGACUAAACAUAGCACCGCACCGUGCCAGCACACGACCUUUGGUCCCGAUUGGUGCCACCAACCGGGACUAAAGGGGUGCAUUGGUACCGGUUGGUGGCACCAACCGGGACCAAUGCCUCUCUUUUGUCCCGGUUUGUGGCACCAACCACGACCAAAGGUCUCUGUUUUCCGCCCUUUGGGCUGCUGAAAAGAGGCCUUUGGUCCCGGUUGGUGCCACUAACCGGGACUAAAGGGGUGCAUUGUUCUCGGUUGGUGCCAUGAACCAGGACCAAUGCUCUGCCUAUAUAAGCAGCACUCGUGAAAAUUUGGUUCAGUUCGUUCUUCCCCGCCGCGCGACGCCGCCAGGCUGCCUGUCCGUCUCUGCCUCGCCGUCGCCGUCGUCGCCCCGCGCCGNNNNNNNNNNNNNNNNNNNNNNNNNNNNNNNNNNNNNNNNNNNNNNNNNNNNNNNNNNNNNNNNNNNNNNNNNNNNNNNNNNNNNNNNNNNNNNNNNNNNNNNNNNNNNNNNNNNNNNNNNNNNNNNNNNNNNNNNNNNNNNNNNNNNNNNNNNNNNNNNNNNNNNNNNNNNNNNNNNNNNNNNNNNNNNNNNNNNNNNNNNNNNNNNNNNNNNNNNNNNNNNNNNNNNNNNNNNNNNNNNNNNNNNNNNNNNNNNNNNNNNNNNNNNNNNNNNNNNNNNNNNNNNNNNNNNNNNNNNNNNNNNNNNNNNNNNNNNNNNNNNNNNNNNNNNNNNNNNNNNNNNNNNNNNNNNNNNNNNNNNNNNNNNNNNNNNNNNNNNNNNNNNNNNNNNNNNNNNNNNNNNNNNNNNNNNNNNNNNNNNNNNNNNNNNNNNNNNNNNNNNNNNNNNNNNNNNUAUGUUCAUAUAUAUGCAAAGAUCGAAUAUGUCAAAUUUUUAUGAUUUUUUUCUGUAGUAAUUUUGUUCGUAGAAUUUUAAUGAUUUUUUUGUUCAUAGUAUUUUCUUUGUCAAUUUAUGUAUAUGUUCAUAUUGUGUAUGUAUAGGAAAAUUUUGCAUGAUCAAUGUCAUUUAUGAAUAUGUUCAUAUUUAGAAUAGAGGAAAAAGGAAAAAAUAAGAAGAGAAAGUGUUUAAUAUAAUUCGUUAGAAAAAUAAUAGAACUAUAGUUAAACUAGUUUAUUUUUAGUAAGUACUACUUUAUUUUAUUUAUAGUAAGUGCUUCAUAUAUAGUUGAACUAGCUAGUUGAUUUAAUAAACUACUUUAUUUUACUAUAUAUAGAAGUAGUUUGUUUUGAGUGAGUACUACUUUAUUUAUUUAUAGUAAGUGCUUAGUAGUUGAACUAGUUGAUUUAAUUAAUGAAACUACUUUAUUUAACUAUAUAUAGAAGUAGUUCCCGCAUCGACGUCGAUGAUGCCUAUCCCACAUCCUCGUCGUCCUCGACUCGGCGGUGGAGGCCUGCUUGAUCAGGGCCAUGUUCGGGACUGGGCUCCGCCGGGCUGGUAUUGGGAGGUGCUACCUUCUGGGGGACGUAGGUUGGUGAGGAGGCAGCCCGUUGUUGACCCGAUCCUUCUUUGGUGGCGGUCGCGUGGGCCAGUGACGGUGCCGAGGCUUCCGGACACCGCGGAGGUGGUACGUCACCGUGUCAGCGAGGAGGACGAGCACGUCCGUCGCUACAUGGUUGCAUUGGAGGGAAGGUUCGACAAUACCUGACAGGUUCUUCAGGGAUCUCACUAGAGCUAUGAUCCUGUGAUGGUUCCUUAUCUUUGGGUGUCCACCGCCCGCGACGAUACCCGUCGGGCGCUACGGUUCUAGCUGUAUUAGCGAUGCUAUAUGUAUGAUAGUAUUCGAGGAGUAUUAGUGAUAAUAUUCGACGAUGUACAGACACAAGAGAUGAUGUAGUUUUGGGUAUAAUUGAAUGCAUGCUAAUUUGAAUACUACUUUAUUUUACGAUUUGGUUUUGCUUGUUGAAUGCUCAUAUUGGAAAAGUACUCCUACUAUGAGUGCUAAAAUUCAAGAGCACUCUAUGCAGAAAUCUAGGAGCCACCUCCAUCAUCCACGCCGUCGUGGGGGUAGCUUCUCCUUCAUUUGGUGUAAUAAUGCACUCGGGAAUGAAAGGAGGAGCUACCAUCACCGAUAGUCAACCCGUGAUUAAUAAUAAUGAUCUAAUUUAGGUUUUUUAGUACAUAUAUUUAAUUUUACAAGUUUAAUAUUUGAAUUAUGAACAUAGGCCGGAAAUGUCGUACUCGGACGACGAAAACCGCCCGGGGGAGUGCGACUGGUGCCACGACGACCGAGAUAUGUGCGACAGGUUCAUUGAGCUAGACAAAGAUCGGCGCUUCAGCAUUAAGCUCGAGGAGACCUUCGAUGUUCAUACGGUACGCAACAACGACAAUAGUUUUUUUUCGUAAUUAAGCAUGACUUCAAAUAUUUUAACGUGUAUUUUUCAUCUUUUCCAAUUCGACUAGCUUAUCCCAUGCUAAGCAAGACGCUAUGUCUUGGAGAGGAUGGGUUUUGAAGACCAUGAAAGUAUGGAAACCAAAAAAAUUCUCAUAAGGACCCAUCAUGGUGUGGAUUUUAAAGUAAAGUUGUACAAUGCUGAGAGUGUAACCCAUUUUGGUUGCAAAAAUUGGGAAGCACUUUGCAAGAUGUAUGAUUUUGAUGAGGGUAUGCUUGUCACCAUGGAUCUUGGUGAUCCCACAAUCAAGCAAGACAAUAUGGACAUUUGGGUCCUUGUGGAUACACCUCCAAUUCUUUCCCCCAUGUGAGCUUAACAUAGUUAUUAAGUAAAUUAUAUUGUUUAUUUCAAAAUAGUUGACAACUUAUUUCCAUUGACAGCUUAUUUCAUUCUUCAAAGAAUGUGCGGAAGAUGGUAGACAAAACCCACUACACGGAUGCCUCUGAAUUAACUUAUAAGGAGAAAAAUCAUCUGAUCGCAUUUUGUACUGAUCUUGAGAAUUACAAUGUCUACAAUCGAACUCCUCAACAUUAUGGUCAAUACGUGCCACUAGUGCCUGUGUUGAACUACGGUAACUAACAUGGAGAUACCCUGGUAAGAUUUUUUACUAUUACGACAUCCGUGCAUCUUUUUGCAUACUUCUAAAACUAGUACAUCAUUGCUAACUUAUUACUAUGUUUUUCAACAGAUAAUCCCGAAUGAUUGUGUGCCUCAUCUGAUGUAUAUGCACGGUCUCCUUGAUGUUUUGAACAUACAACCAGGUCGUCCUACGAAUCUCAACUGUCCAUACCGGAUUUCUAAAAGAAGUGGAGACAUGACAAUCAAAGAAUGGAAAAAAUGUAUGGAUAGUCGUAAGGAGCUUCUUGGAAGCAAAAGGAAGCGAAGCGCAAGAAUUGGAGACAGGAUGAUCUCCAUUCUUCAUAAUGGAGAGUCAGGGUCUAUAUUAUUUUAUGCUAUUUUAUCUUAAGUGUGUUUAGGUCUACCUGAUACUGAUGAUGUGCUAAGAACAAUUAUGUAGGGUUGGGUUCGAUGACUAUGAGUAUGAUGAUCGUAUGACUUGUUAUUAAUAACGAGUAGAAGUUGUAUGAUGAUGCAUGAUUAGUAGGACUUGUUAUUAUCUAUGAUGAUGUAUGAUGCGAGCAUGAAGAGUUAUUAUAUAUCAGCGGGUGAAAUGAACAUAGCAGUAGCGUUGGUAAACUAAGCACGAAGAUAAGAGAGGACACUUCUCUCUAUUAGCUAGCUAAUAACAACCUAAAUUAACCCCCAAAACCCCUAAACCAGCCACUUUCAAAAAAAACCUCAGCUGCAGCCAGCUUCUAACGUGUGGAUGCCUUUUGGUCCCGAUUUAUGUAACCAACCGGGACCAAAGGCCCCCCUGCCUGGGCUGCCCGCAGCGGCCACGUGGAUGCCCAUCUGUCCCGGUUCAUGUAAGAACCGGGACUAAAGGGGGGAGGCAUUAGUAACGACCUAUUAGUCCCGGUUCAAGAACCGGGACUUAAAGGCCCUUACGAACCGGGACAAAUGCCCUAUUUUCUACUAGUCAUCAUAUGCUUCUACAUAUUUCAAUAAUAUCAAGUUUCCUCUCUAUGUGCUUAAAGUUUUAAAUUUAUGCUUGUUUUGCCUUCCUAUGCUAGUUGAUUAUUGUUCCCAUAAGUUGUUUGCUCACAAAAUCCCUACGCAUAGGAAGUGGGUUAGACUUAAAUGUGCUAGUCAUAUUCUUCAUGAUGCUCUCUAUAUGUUUCAAUUCUUACCUUUUAUACGAGCAUCAUUGAAAUCAUCAUGCCUAGCUAGAAAGGCAUUAAAGAAAGGCACUUGUUGGGAGACAACCCAAUAUUUACCCAUACUGUUUUUGUGUGUUCACGUGAUUAAGCUACUGUAUUAAUCAUGUUUUGUAGCUUUUGUUUCAAUAAAGUGCCAAGUAGAACCUUUGGGAAGACUUGGGUGGAAGUUAAUGUGAUCUUGCUGUAAAAAACAGAAACUUUGCACUCACAAGUUUAGCUGUCAUAUUUUACAGACGAGUGCUUUUAAGCUGAUUCUUUUUAUAGAAGAUUAAUAGACAAAUUACUCAGGUCCACCAAUUUAUUUCAGAAUUUUUGGAGUUCCAUAAGUAUACGUUUGAUACAGAUUACUACAGACUGUUCUGUUUUUGACAGAUUUUGUUUUCUAUGAGUUGUUUGCUUAUUUCGAUGAAUCUGUGAGUAGUAUCGGAGGGUAAGAACCAUAGAUAAGUUGGAAUACAGUAGAUAUUACACCAAUAUGAAUUUAGAAUGAGUUCACAACAGUACCUAAGUGGUGAUUUAUUUUCUUAUACUAACGGAGCUUAUGAGUUUUCUGUUAAGUUUUGUGUUGUGAAGUUUUCAAGUUUUGGGUAAAGAUUCGAUGGACUAUGGAAUAAGGAGUGGCAAGAGCCUAAGCUUGGGGAUACCCAAGGCACCCCAAGGUAAUAUUCAAGGACAACCAAAAGCCUAAGCUUGGGGAUGCCCCGGAUGGCAUCCCCUCUUUCGUCUUUGUUCAUCGGUAACUUUACUUGGAGCUAUAUUUUUAUUCACCGCAUGAUAUGUGUUUUGCUUGGAGCGUCAUUUUAUUUUAUUUUGUUUUGCUUGCUGUUUGAAUAAAAUACCAAGAUCUGAAAUUAUUAAAUGAGAGAGAGUCUUCACAUAGCUACAUAAUUAUUUAACUACUCAUUGAUCUUCACUUAUAUAUUUUUGGAGUAGUUUGUCAUUUACUCGUGUGCUUCACUUAUAUCCUAUGAGUAAAUGGUUGAAUGAUUUGAAUGUCAUAAAUCUGAAAUUAUAUAUGUUUCAUAUGUCUUUCCCAUGGGAGUAAUGCCUUCACAUAUAAGAAGUAGAGGUGGUAAAUUUUUUGAAGGUUAGCAAACAUUGUAUUGGUCACUUGAACAAUUCAUGAAAGAAUAUUGAAGGAAGAGGGAGUUCACAUAUAAAUAUACUAUCUUGGACAUCUUCUAUAAUUGUGAGCCCCAUUAAUUAUUUUCAAACCUGAGCAAAUUAGUUGAAGCUGGACAAGGAAGAUAAGAUAAUGAGUUAUGCUUGGGUAUAUUUGUAUAGAAGUUAUAUUGUUAUGGAUCCUCUAACAUGUGGUGCUUGCUAUUUAGAAUCCUUUGCUAGCCAAAAUAUCUGUACUAAGGGGAAUACUGCUUGUGCAUCCAAAUUCCUUGAACCAAGUUUAUUCCAUGAGUGUCCACCAUAUCUACCUAUAUGCGGUAUUUACCUGCCGUUCCAUGUAAAUUUGCAUGUGCCAAACUCUAAACCUUCAAAUAAUAAUCUAUUUUGUAUGCCCGAAUUGCUCAUGUAGCGACUAGGGGUUGUCUGUAUCUUCCAUGCUAGGUGGGUUAUUCUCACGAUGAGUGGACUCCGCUCAUCAUUCGCGAGAAAAUGGCUAGUAACUAGGAUGCUCAGUCCUAUGAUCACAAGAUCAAAAACAAAUUCGCAAAUAAUUUAAACAAAACUCCCCCGGGAUUGUUGAUAGUUGGACGGCACCCGUUGUUUCGGACAAGCCGUGGAGUGUGAUUGUUGGUGGAGGGGGAGUAAAAUCUUUAACUUUCUGUUUGGGAACUGCCUAUAAUGCAUCUAGUAUGGAAGAUAUUGGGAACUCUUGGUUGUUAUGUUGACAAUGAAAGCAUACCUCUCAAAAUUAUUUUCAUCUUUUUUUUGCUUCGAGCUCUGGCACCUCUGCAAAUCCCUGCUUCCCUCUACGAAGGGCCUAUCUUUUACUUUUAUGCAAGAGUCAGUCAUAUUCCUUCUCAUUCCAACCUACUUUUUAGUUGACAAGCAUCAUGUGGUGGAGAAAGAUCUAAGCAUAUAUGGCCAUUCAAAUAUAUUUGAUCAUGAAUUAUUAUUGUUGACAAUUAUCUAUAUGAUAAAUAAGUUGGGAGGCGAAACAUUAAGCCCCUAUCUUUCUCUGUGUUCAACGGAUGCUAUUUUUUCUAAAAAUAUGCUUUGAGUGGUAGCAAUCAUGGAAGACUAUAUGAUAGUUGAGUAUGUGGAAUUUGCUAAAUCAAAGCUCUUACAUAGACCCUUCCUGAAAAUAAGAUGAAUUGCAAUUGUGUGAUGAUUGAGAACUGUUUGUUAGUUUUCAAGAAAGUUUAUGAUCUAUACUUUAACAUGUGAAUAGCUUAUCAUGAGAAGUUUUAUGAUAUGAGCUACUGUUAUGACAUAUAAUGAUGCUAGAAAAAGUGAUUGGAACUAUCACUGAUCAAACUUAUGCACUUGCUAGCAUUCUAACUUCAUAAUUAUUUCUUUUAUCAUUUACCUACUCGAGGACGGGCAGGAAUUAAGCUUGGGGAUGUUGAUAUGUCUCCAACGUAUCUAUAAUUUAUGGAGUAUUCAUGCUAUUAUAUAUUUUGUUUUGGAUGUUUAAUGGGCUUUAUUAUACACUUUUAUAUUAUUUUUGGGACUAACCUAUUAACCGGAGGCCCAGCCCAAAAUGUUGUUUUCUUGCCUAUUUCAGUGUUUCGAAGAAAAGGAAUAUCAAAUGGAGUCCAAACGGAAUGAAACCUUUAGGAGAGUUAUUUUUGGAACGGAAGCAAUCCAGGAGACUUGGAGUAUACGUCAGGGAAGCUUCGAGGAAGCCACAAGGCAGGGAGGUGUGCCCUACCCCCCUGGGCGCGCCCCCACCCUCGUGGGCCCCUCGUGGCUCCCCUGACCGACUUCUUUUGCCUAUAUAUAUAUAUAUCCAUAUACCCUAAAAACAUCAUGGAACAUAAUAGAUCGGGAGUUCCGCCGCCGCAAGCCUCUGUAGCCACCAAAAACCAAUCGAGACCCUGUUCCGGCACCCUGCCGGAGGGGGGAUCCCUCACCAGUGGCCAUCUUCAUCAUCCCGGCGCUCUCCAUGACGAGGAGGGAGUAGUUCACCCUCGGGGCUGAGGAUAUGUACCAGUAGCUAUGUGUUUGAUCUCUCUCUCUCUCUCUCGUGUUCUUGAUUCGGCACGAUCCUGAUGUAUCGUGAGCUUUGCUAUUAUAAUUGGAUCUUAUGAUGUUUCUCCCCCUCUAGUCUCUUGUAAUGGAUUGAGUUUUCCCUUUGAAGUUAUCUUAUCGGAUUGAGUCUUUAAGGAUUUGAGAACACUUGAUGUAUGUCUUGGAUGUGCUUAUCUGUGGUGACAAUGGGAUAUCACGUGAUUCACUUGAUGUAUGUUUUGGUGAUCAGCUUGCGAGUUCCGUGACCUCGUGAACUUAUGCAUAGGGGUUGGCACACGUUUUCGUCUUGACUCUCCGGUAGAAACUUUGGGGCUCUCUUUGAAGUACUUUGUGUUGGUUUGAAUAGAUGAAUCUGAGAUUGUGUGAUGCAUAUCGUAUAAUCAUACCCAUGGAUACUUGAGGUGACAUUGGAGUAUCUAGGUUACAUUAGGGUUUUGGUCGAUUUGUGUCUUAAGGUGUUAUUCUAGUACGAACUCUAUGAUAGAUCGAAAGGAAAGAAUAGCUUCGUGUUAUUUUACUAUGGACUCUUGAAUAGAUCGAUCAGAAAGGAUAACUUUGAGGUGGUUUCAUACUCUACAAUAAUCUCUUCGUUUGUUCUCUGCUAUUAGUGACUUUGGAGUGACUCUUUGGUGCAUGUUGAGGGAUAGUUAUAUGAUCCAAUUAUGUUAUUAUUGUUGAGAGAACUUGCACUAGUGAAAGUAUGAACCCUAGGCCUUGUUUCCUAGCAUUGCAAUACCGUUUGUGCUCACCUUUAUCAUUAGUUACCUUGCUGUUUUUAUAAUUUCAGAUUACAAAAACCUAUAUAUACCAUCGAUAUUGCACUUGUAUCGCCAUCUCUUCGCUGAACUAGUGCACCUAUACAAUUUACCAUUGUAUUGGGUGUGUUGGGGACACAAGAGACUCUUUGUUAUUUGGUCGCGAGGUUGUUUGAGAGACACCAUCUUCAUCCUACGCCUCCCAUGGAUUGAUAAACCUUAGGUCAUCCACUUGAGGGAAAUUUCCUACUGUCCUACAAACCUCUGCACUUGGAGGCCCAACAACGUCUACAAAAAGAAGGUUGUGUAGUAUACAUCAGUGUUCCAGGUGGCGUGAGUUGCGAAACUAUUCCGCAUUGUUUCAAAUGAAGACCAAACUCGUAACUCAAAUAUUCUCCUCUAUGAUCAGAUCGUAGAAACUUUAUUUUCUUGUUACGAUGAUUUUCCACUUCACUCUGAAAUUAUUUUUACUUUUCAAAUGUUUCAGAUUUAUGUUUCAUCAAGUAGAUAUACUCAUAUCUGCUCUAAUAAUCUAUGAAGGUCAGAAAAUAACGAUACAUGUCGCGAGCCUCAACACUCAUUGGACCACAUACAUCAGUAUGUAUGAUUUCCAACAAGUCUGUUGCUCGCUCCAUUGUUCUGGAGAACGGAGUCUUGGUCAUCUUGCCCAUGAGGCAUGGUUCGCAAGAAUCAACUGAUACAUAAUCAAGUGACAAAAGCCCAUCAGUAUGGAUUUUCUUCAUGCGCUUUACACCAAUAUGACCUAAACGGCAGUGCCACAAAUAAGUUGCACUAUCAUUAUUAACUUUGCAUCUUUUGGCUUUAAUAUUAUGAAUAUGUGUAUCACUACGAUCAAGAUUCAAUAAACCAUUCACCUUGGGUGUAUGACCAUUGAAGGUUUUAUUCAUGUAAACAGAACAACAAUUAUUCUCUGACUUUAAAUGAAUAAUCAUAUUACAAUAAACAUGAUCAAAUCAUAUUCAUGCUUAACGCAAACACCAUAUAACAUUUAUUUAGGUUCAACACUAAUCCCAAAAGUAUAGGGAGUGUGCGAUGAUGAUCAUAUCAAUCUUGGAACCACUUCCAACAUACAUCGUCACUUCACCCUUAACUAGUCUCUGUUCAUUCUGCAACUCCUAUUUCGAGUUACUAAUCUUAGCAACUAAACUAGUAUAAAAUACUGAGGGGUUGCUACAAACGCUAGUAAAGUACACAUCAAUAACAUGUAUAUCUAAUAUACCUUUGUUCACUUUGCCAUCCUUCUUAUGCGCCAAAUAAAUGGGGCAGUUCUGCUUCCAGUGACCAGUCCCUUUGCAGUAGAAGCACUUAGUCUCAGGCUUAGGUCCAGACUUGGGCAUCUUCACUUGAGCAGCAACUUGCUUGCCAUUCUUCUUGAAGUUCCCCUUCUUCCAUUUGCCCUUUUCUUGAAACUAGUGGUCUUGUCAACCAUGAACACUUGAUGCUUUUCUUGAUUUCUACCUUCAUCGAUUUCAGCAUCACGAAGAGCUUGGGAAUUGAUAACCCACAAGUGUAGGGGAUAAUUGUAGCCUCUUUCGAUAAGUAAGAGUGUUGAACCCAACGAGGAGCUAAAGGUAGCACAAAUAUUCUCUCAAGUCCUAUCUGCCACUGAUACGACUCUACGCACGCUUAGUGUUCGCUUUACCUAGAACAAGUAUGAAACUAGAAGUACUUUGUAGGUGUUGUUGGAUAGGUUUGCAAGAUAAUAAAGAGCAUGCAAAUAAAAGGUAGGGGCUGUUUAGAUAAAGAUGCAAUAAAGUAAAUAUAGCGAGUGUGGAAAAGUGGUGGUAGGAGUUGUGGAAUUGUCCCUAAGCAAUUGACUACUUUACUAGAUUGGUAAUCACUAUUGCAAUUCUAUUUGAGGGAGAGGCAUAAGCUAACAUACUUUCUCUUCUUGGAGCAUAUGCACUUAUGAUUGGAACUCUAGCAAGCAUCCGCAACUACUAAAGAUCAUUAAGGUAAAACCCAACCAUAGCAUUAAAGUAUCAAGUCCCCUUUAUCCCAUACGCAAACAACCUACUUACUCAGGUCUGUGCUUCUGUCACUAACGGCACCCACCAUGAGAAAAUCAUGAACAUAUUGCAAACCCUACAGCGGGGAUCCCUCGCGCUUGAGCGACACGGAGGGCACUAUAGGACAACACCAAUGAUAAAACAUGCAACUCAAACCAAUCAUAGCAAUUCAUUAAUCAUCGAUAGGACAACGGAAAUCUACUCAGACAUCAUAUGAUGGCAACACAUCAUUGGAUAAUAAUAUGAAGCAUAAAGCACCAUGUUCAAGUAGAGGGUAUAGCGGGUUGCAGGAGAGUGGACUGCUGAAUAUAGAAGGAGGACGGUGAUGGAGAUGUUGGUAAAGAUCGCGGUGAUGAUGAUGGCCCCCGGCAGCGCUCCGGCGCCACCGGAAGCAAGGGGGAGAGAACCCCCUUCUUCUUCUUAUUCCUUGACCUCCUCCCUAAAUGGGAGAAGGGUUACCCCUCUGGUCCUUGGCUCCCAUGGAGUGGGAGGGGCGAGAGCGCCUACGAGGUUGGAUCUAUCUCUCUGUCUCUCUCUGUUUCUGUGUUCUUUGAUUCUUCCCCUUCACCGUUUCUUUUAUAUCCGGAGAUUCGUAACUCCGAUUGAGGUGAAUCAUUCGCCCAGAUCUUUCUCAUAAAAUUAGCUUUAUUGCGGCAAAAGAAGAGCGUCAACCGCCGUACGAGGGGCCCAGGAGAGUCGAGGGCGCGCCUGCCUCCCUAGGGCGCCCCCCUAUCUCCUGGCCCCCUCGGGCACCGUCUCAUGUUGAUUUUAAGUCCCAAAAAGCACAAAUAUUCCAAAAUAAUUCUCCGUUCAUUUUUAACCCGUUUGGACUCCGUUUGAUAUGGGGUUUCUGCGAAACAUAAAACAUGCAACAGACAGGAACUGACACUGGGCACUGGAUCAAUAUGUUAGUCCCAAAAAAUAGUAUAAAAAGUUGUCAAAAGUAUAUGAAAGUUGUACAAUAUUGGCAUGGAACAAUCAAAAAUUAUAGGUACGACGGAGACGUAUCAGCAUCCCCAAGCUUAAUUCCUGCUCGUCCUUGAGUAGGUAAAUGAUAAAAAAGAUAAUUUUUGAUGUGGAAUGCUAACUAGCAUAAUCUUGAUCAUAUGUCUAAUUAUGGCAUGAAUAUUAAGACACGAGUGAUUCAAAACAAUAGUCUAUCAUUAGACAUAAAAAACGAUAAUACUUCGAGUGUACUUAAUAAAGCAAUCAUGUCUUUUCAAAACAACAUGGCCAAAGCAAGCUUAUCCCUACAAAAUCAUAUAGUUUGGCCAUGCUUCAUCUUCGUCACACAAAAUGCUUCCAUCAUGCACAACCCCGAUGACAAGACGAGCAAUUGGUUCAUACUUUUUAACGCGCUUCAGCUUUUUCAACCCUCACGCAAUAAACUAGCCCAAGCCAUGGAUAUAGCACUACAAGUGGAAUAGAAUAUGAUGGUGGGGGUUUACGUGGAGAAGACAAAAAGGGAGAAAGUCUCACAUCGACACGGCUAAUCAACGGGUUAUGGAGAUGCCCAUCAAUUGAUGUCAAUGCGAGGAGUAGGGAUUGCCAUGCAACGGAUGCACUAAGAGCUAUAAGUGUAUGAAAGCUCAACAAAAGAAACUAAGUGGGUGUGCAUCCAACUUGCUUGCUCAUGAAGACCUAGGGCAUUUGAGGAAGCCCAUCGUUGGAAUAUACAAGCCAAGUUCUAUAAUGAAAAUUCCCACUAGUAUAUGAAAGUGACAAUAUAGGGGACUCUCUAUAUGAAGAACAUGGUGCUACUCUGAAGCACAAGUGUGGUAAAAGGAUAGUAACAUUGCCCCUUUUCUUUUUUUUUUGUUUUUCUUUCUUUUUCUUUUUUUUGGGCGGGCUUCUUUGCCCCCCCUUUUUUAUUUAGGCUUCUUUGGCCUCUCUUUUUUCUUUUUCUUUUCUUUUCUUUUUUUUCAUGGGGUAAUGCUCUAUAAUGAUGAUCGUCACACUUUUAUUUACUUACAACUCAAUAUUACAACUCGACACUAGAACAAAGAUAUGACUCUAUAUGAAUGCCUCCGGCGGUGUACCGUGAUGUGCAAUGAUCUAGCAUAGCAAUGACAUCAAAAACGGACAAGCCAUGAAAACAUCAUGCUAGCUAUCUUACGAUCAUGCAAAGGAAUAUGCCAAUGAAUGCUCAAGUCAUGUAUAUGAUGAUGAUGGAAGUUGCAUGGCAAUAUAUCUCGGAGUGGCUAUGGAAAUGCCAUGAUAGGUAGGUAUGGUGGCUGUUUUGAGGAAGAUAUAAGGAGGCUUAUGUGUGAUAGAGCGUAUCAUAUCACGGGGUUUGGAUGCACCAGCAAAGUUUUCACCAACUCUCGAGGUGAGAAAGGGCAAUGCAUGGUACCGAAGAGGCUAGCAAUGAAGGAAAGGUAAAAGUGUGUAUAAUCCAUGGACUCACAUUAGUCAUAAAGAACUCAUAUACUUAUUGCAAAAUUUUAUUAGCCCUUGAAGCAAAGUACUACUACGCAUGCCCCUAGGGGGAUAGAUUGGUAGGAAAAGACCAUCGCUCGUCCCCGACCGCCACUCAUAAGGAAGACAAUCAAUGAAACACCCCAUGCUUCAAAUUUGUCACACAAUGGUUACCAUAGGUGCAUGCUACGGGACUUGCAAACCUCAACACAAGUGUCUAUACAAUCCACAACCACCCACUAGCAUGACUCUAAUAUUACCAUCUUUAUAUCGCAAACUAUUGCAAGGAAUCAAACAUAUCAUAUUCAGUGAUCUACAAGUUUAUGUAGGAUUUUAUGACUAACCAUGUGAAUGACCAAUUCCUGACAUCUCUCUAAAUAGAUAUAAGUGAAGCAAGAGAGAAUUCUACAAAUGGUGGUUUUCUAUGUGAAGAGAAACAUGCAAUCCAGACUUCAAAAGAUAUAAGUGAGGCAUGUGAAGCAUUCUAUAAAACCAUACUCAAAAGAUCUAAGUGAAGUGCAAUGAGCAUUAUAUAAAUCAACCAAGGACUAUCUCAUACCAGCAUGGUGCAUAAAAGAAAAGUGAAAACUAAAUGCAAAAGACGCUCCAAGACUUGCACAUAUCGCAUGAACGAAACGAAUACGAAAACAUACCGAUACUUGUUGAAGAAAGAGGGGAUGCCUUCCGGGGCCCUAAGCUUAGACGCUUGAGUCUCCUUGAAUAUUUCCUUGGGGUGCCUUGGGCAUCCCCAAGGUUGAGCCCUUUCCUCUCUUCCUUUUCCUCAUAUCGAGACCUCCUCGAUCAAACACUUCAUCCACACAAAACUUCAAUAGAAAACUCGGUAAGAUCCACUAGUAUAAUAAAGCAAAUCACUACUCUAAGUACUGUAGCAAACCAAUUCAUAUUUUGUUUUGGCAUUGUGUCUACUGUAAUAUAGCUUUUCCAUGGCUUAAUCCACUAAUAUAAAUUGAUAGUUUCAUCAAAACAAGCAAACUAUGCAUCAAAAACAGAAUCUGUCAAAAAGAGAACAGUCUGUAGCAAUCUGAACAUUCACCAUACUUUUGGUACCCCAAAAUUCUACAAAAAUUAGGAAAAAUAAACAAUUUGUACGGAAAGACAGUGCAAAAAGAAGCAGAACCAUUUGGCAUUCCAGUAAAACAUGUAAAAUCGUGCACUACAGCAAAAGUUUCUGUCCUGCACCGUACAAACCAACAAGCAUUGUAAACAUCCUAAAGGCAAACCUUGGCACAUUAUUUUUAUAAUACAAUGGAAUUGUACAAGGGGGAUAAUUAUUUUUGAUGAAAAAUUUCUAUAAUCAAGAUUCACAAAGUUUCCGUGAGCAUGAACAAAGUUCAAGGAGCUCUCCCACUUCAACAAUGCUUGUCUUUCUCACUUUCACUUUCCUUUUUGAAAAAGUUUUGGGUUCUGCUCUUUAUUUUUUUUGUUUUUAAACUAUAUAAAAGCACUCAACAGAAAUAAAUUACUCUCUAAAACUUCUGGGUUGUCUCCCUGGCAGCGCUUUCUUUAAAGCCAUUAAGCUAGGCAUAUAGUGCUCAAGUAAUGAAUCCACCCGGAUCCCAAGGUAUAUCAAAGCCAAUUUUAAUUAACAUUGAUUUGUAAUUUAGUAGUGAGCACAAAGUAACAUAUAUCAUGCAACAAUGAAGUCUAACUCUCUUCCUAUGCAUCGGCAUGUCAUAAAAGAACAAUUCAUGCACACCAAGUAAAGGCCAAUGCAUAGUAUAAGCAGUUUCUUGCAAUUUUAUCAUAUUGGAAACAUAGAGAGGUGGAGAUAUAGUUCCUCUCUCAUAAUAAUUGCAAGUAGGAGCAUCAAUCACAUGCAUAUUAUAUCUAUCAAAAUCAUCAUGUGUAGUAGUAAAACACAACCCAUCAAUAUAAUCCUUAAAAAGCACAAACUUCUCCGAUAUAGUGUAGUCGGGAGAAUUCAAAAAGAUAAUAGGACUAUCAUGCAUGGGUGCAAUAGCAACAAUUUCAUGUUUAACAUAAGGAACUAUAGCAAGUUCAUCUCCAUGAGCAUAAUUCAUAUUGGCAUCUUGGCCACAAGCAUAGCAAGCAUCAUCAAAAAGGGAUAUUUCAAGAGAAUCAACGGGAUCAUAACAAUCAUCAUAGCAAUCGUCCUUCGGUAAGCACGAAGGGAAAUUAAACAAUGUAUGAGUUGAAGAUUUACUCUCAUUAGAAGGUGGGCAUGGGUGAUCAAUCCACUCUUCCUCCUUUUGUUCUUCUCUCUCCUCCUCAUCUUUUCAUCCAAUGAGCACACAGUUUCAUCAAUUUAUUCUUCCACAGACUCCUGCAAAAUAUUAGUCUCUUCUUGGACAGCGGAGACCUUCUCAAUAAAAGCAUCAAUAUUGGAUUUAUAUUCAUAAUUCUCAUAGCAAUAUUUCAAUAUAGCGGCCUAUAAACAUCAUCAUCUAAAGCUUCAUACUUUUCAAACAAAGAUUCAAUUUCAUAAGCACCCUUAAAAGCAACGAAUUCUUCUAUUUGUUCACAUCAUAGUAAUCAUAUAUACCAUUAGCAUAAGAAGCCAAGGCUUUAUCAUCAUUAAAUUUGCAUGAAAAGGGAAGGUGUGGAGCCUUCAACCUAGAGCAACAAGUAAUAUCAUAUCUCAAGCAUAGAUCCCGAGCAUACCAAUGCAACAUAUAAAUUUGAUCCCAUAAUAGUUUCCCUUUUUGUGUCAAGCGAUAAUCCCUAAAGUAUUCACAUUGAUCCAACGUGUCUCCCAUAACAAAAUUGAAUGGGAUUUUCUCAGGAUUAUCAAAGUAGUACAUAGUAUCUUGAACAUAAUGAGCAUCGAGGGUUUUAGGAGGUUCCCCAUCUCCAUGAGUAGCAAGUACACCUAAUUUUUUUGGUAUUUCGUGUUCCAUAUCCAUAACUAAAGGUAGAGAACAACUAAGAACAGCAAAAUAAAAAUUACUUCGUGAUAAAGCAAACAAGCACACACGAGAAUAUUCACGCCACGCUAUGACUCCCCGGCAACGGUGCCAGAAAAAUGUCUUGAUAACCCACAAGUUAGGGGAUAAUUGUAGCUUCUUUCGAUAAGUAAGAGUGUAGAACCCAACGAGGAGCUAAAGGUAGAACAACUAUUCUCUCAAGUCCUAUCUUCCACUGAUACGACUCUACGCAUGCUUAGUGUUUGCUUUACCUAGAACAAGUAUGAAACUAGAAGUACUUUGUAGGUGUUGUUGGAUAGGUUUGCAAGAUAAUAAAGAGCAUGUAAAUAAAAGGUAGGGGCUGUUUAGAUAAAGAUGCAAUAAAGUAAAUAUAGCGAGUGUGGAAAAGUGGUGGUAGGAGUUGUGGAAUUGUCCCUAAGCAAUUGAAUACUUUACUAGACCGGUAAUCACUAUUGCAAUUCUAUUUGAGGGAGAGGCAUAAGCUAACAUACUUUCUCUUCUUGGAGCAUAUGCACUUAUGGUUGGAACUCUAGCAAGCAUCCGCAACUACUAAAGAUCAUUAAGGUAAAACCCAACCAUAGCAUUAAAGUAUCAAGUCCCCUUUAUCCCAUACGCAAACAACCUACUUACUCAGGUCUAUGCUUCUGUCACUCACGCCACCCACCAUAAGCAAAUCAUGAACAUAUUGCAAACCCUACAGAGGGGAUCCCUCAUGCUUGCGCGACAUGGAGGGUACUAUAGGACAGCACCAAUAAGAAAACAUGCAACUCAAACCAAUCAUAGCAAUUCAUCAAUCACCUAUAGGACAACGGAAAUCUACUCAGACAUCAUAGGAUGGCAACACAUCAUUGGAUAAUAAUAUCAAGCAUAAAGCACCAUGUUCAAGUAGAGGGUACAACGGGUUGCGGGAGAGUGGACCGCUGACUAUAGAAGAGGGAAGGUGAUGGAGAUGUUGGUGAAGAUGGCAGAGGUGUUGGUGAAGAUCAGGGUGAUGAUGAUGGCCCCCGGCAGCGCUCCGGCGCCACCGGAAGCAAGGGGGAGAGAGCCCCCUUCUUCUUAUUCUUCCUUGACCUCCUCCCUAGAUGGGAGAAGGGUUUCCCCUCUGGUCCUUGGCUCCCAUGGCGUGGGAGGGGCGAGAGCCCCUCCGAGAUUGGAUCUAUCUCUCUGUCUCUCUCUGUUUAUGUGUUCUCUGAUUCUGCCCCUUCACCGUUUCUUUUAUAUCUGGAGAUCCGUAACUCCGAUUGGGGUGAAUCUUUCGCCCAGAUCUUUCUCAUAAAAUUAGCUUUCUUGCAGCAAAAGAAGAGCGUCAACCGCCUUACCGGGGGGGGCAGGAGAGUCCAGGGUGCGCCCCCCUAUCUCCUGCCCCCCUCGGGCACCGUCUCGUGUUGAUUUUACUUCCCAAAAAUCACAAAUAUUCCAAAAAUAUUCCAAAAUAAUUCUCUAUCCGUUUUUAUCCCGUUUGGACUCUGUUUGGUAUGGGGUUUCUGCGAAACAUAAAACAUGCAACAGACAGGAACUGGCACUGGGCACUGGAUCAAUAUGUUAGUCCCAAAAAAGAGUAUAUUGGCAAAAGUAUAUGAAAGUUGUAGAAUAUUGCCAUGGAACAAUCAAAAAUUAUAGAUACGACGGAGACGUAUCAGGAAUCGUUUCCGUUAUCCCUUGCAUAUUAUAGUUCAUCACGAAGUUCUAGUAACUUGUUGAUAGUGACUAGAGAACUUUGUCAAUCACUAUCUUAUCUGGAAGAUUAACUCCCACUUGAUUCAAGUGAUUGUAGUACUCAGACAUUCUGAGCACAUGCUCACUAGCUGAGCUAUUCUCCUCCAUUUUAUAGGCAAAGUACUUGUCAAAGGUCUCAUACCUUUCUACAUGGGCAUGAGUCUGAAAUACUAAUUUCAACUCUUGGAACAUCUCAUAUGCUCCGUGGCGUUUCAAAAACGCCUUUGAAGCCCCGAUUCCAAGCCAUAAAGCAUGGUGCACUAAACUAUCAAGUAGUCAUCAUAUCGAGCUUGCCAAACAUUCAGCUGCUCUUGCAAUCGGUCUGUUACCUAGCGGUGCAUUAAGGAGAUAAUUCUUCUAUGCAGCAAUGAGGAUAAUCCUCAGAUCACGGAUCCAAUCCGCAUCAUUGCUACUAACAUCUUUCAACUUAGUUUUCUCUGGGAACAUAUCAAAAAUAAAAUAGGGGAGCUAAACGCGAGCUAUUGAUCUAUAACAUAGAUAUGCUAAUACUACGAGGACUAAGUUCAUGAUAAAUUAAAGUUCAAUUAAUCAUAUUACUUAAGAACUCCCACUUAGAUAGACAUCCUUCUAAUCAUCUAAGUGAUCACGUGACCCAUAUCAACUAAACCAUGUCCGAUCAUCACGUGAGAUGAAGUAGUUUUCAAUGGUGAACAUCACUAUGUUGAUCAUAUCUACUAUAUGAUUCACGCUCGACCUUUCGGUCUCCGUGUUUCGAGGCCAUGUAUGCAUAUGCUAGGCUCGUCAAGUUUAACCCAAGUAUUCUGCAUGUGUAAAACUGGCUUGCACCCGUUGUAUGUGAACGUAGAGCUUAUCACACCCGAUCAUCACGUGGUGUCUCAGCACGAAGAACUUUCGCAACCGUGCAUACUCAGGGAGAACACUUAUAUCUUGAAAUUUAGUGAGAGAUCAUCUUAUAAUUCUACCGUCGAUAUAAGCAAAAUAAGAUGCAUAAAGGAUAAACAUCACAUGCAACCAAUAUAAGUGAUAUGAUAUGGCCAUCAUCAUCUUGUGCCUUUGAUCUCCAUGUCCAAAGCAUCGUCAUGAUCACCAUCGUCACCGGCGCGACACCUUGAUCUCCAUCGUAGCAUCGUUGUCGUCUCGCCAACUAUUUCUUCUACGACUAUCGCUACCGCUUAGUGAUAAAGUAAAGCAAUUACAUGGCGAUUGCAUUUCAUACAAUAAAGCGACAACCAUAUGGCUCCUGCCAGUUGCCGAUAACUCCGUUAUAAAACAUGAUCAUCUCAUACAAUAAAAUUUAGCAUCAUGUCUUGACCAUAUCACAUCACAACAUGCCCUGCAAAAACAAGUUAGACGUACUCUACGUUAUUGUUGCAAGUUUUACGUGGCUGCUACGGGCUGAGCAAGAACCGUUCUUACCUACACAUCAAAACCACAACGAUAUUUUGUCAAGUAUGUGAUGUUUUAACCUUCAACAAGGACCGGGCGUAGCCACACUCGAUUCAACUAAACUUGGAGAAACUGAAACCCGCCAGCCACCUGUGUGCGAAGCACGUCGGUAGAACCAGUCUCGCGUAAGCGUACGUGUAAUGUCGGUCCGGGCUGCUUCAUCCAACAAUACCGCCGAAUCAAAGUAUGACAUGCUGGUAAGCAGUAUGACUAGUAUCUCCCAUAACUCACUUGUGUUCUACUCGUGCAUAUAACAUCUAAGCAUAAACCUGCCUCUGAUACCACUAUUGGGGAACGUAGUAAUUUCAAAAAAAUCCUACGCACACGCAAGAUCGUGGUGAUGCAUAGCAACAAGAGGGGAGAGUGUUGUCCAUGUACCCUCGUAGACCGAAAGCGGAAGCGUUAUGACAACGCGGUUGAUGUAGUCAUACGUCUUCACGAUUGACCGAUCCUAGCACGGAAGGUACGGCACCUCCGCGAUCUGCACACGUUCGGCUUGGUGACGUCCCACGAACUCACAAUCCAGUAGAGUGUCGGGGAAGAGCUUCAUCAGCAGGACGGCGUGAUGAGGGUGAUGAUGAAGCUACCGGCGCAGGGCUUCGCCUAAGCACUACGACGAUAUGACCGAGGUGGAUUAUGGUGGAGGGGGGCACCGCACACGGCUCAAAGAUCAAUGAUCAACUUGUGUGUCUAUGCCGUUCCCCCCUCCCCCGUAUAUAAAGGAGUGGAGGAGGGGGAGAGCUGGCCCUCCUAUGGCGCGCCCCAUGGGGAGUCCUACUCCCACGGGGAGUAGGAUCCCCCCCCUUCCAUGUAGUAGGAGUAGGAGAGAAGGAAGGAGGAGAGAGGGAGAAGGAAAGGGGGGCGCCGCCCCCCUUCCUAGUCCAAUUCGGACUAAAGGGGGAGGGGUGCACGGCCUGCCCUAGCAGUCCCUCUUUCUCUCUCCACUGAGGCCCAUAAGGCCCAUUAAACUCCCCGGGGGGUUCCGGUAACCCCCCGGUACUCCGGUAUAUGUCCAAACUCACUCGGAACCCUUCCAUUGUCCAAACAUAGUAAUCCAAUAUAUCGAUCUUUAUGUCUCGACCAUUUCGAGACUCCUCGUCAUGUCCGUGAUCAUAUCCGGGACUCCGAACUACCUUUGGUACAUCAAAACACAUAAACUCAUAAUACUGAUCGUCACUGAACGUUAAGCGUGCGGACCCUACGGGUUCGAGAACUAUGUAGACAUGACCGAGACACGUCUCUGUAACCAAUAGCGGAACCUAUAUGCUCAUAUUGGCUCCUACAUAUUCUACGAAGAUCUUUAUCGAUCAAACCGCAUAACAACAUACGUUGUUCCCUUUGUCAUCGAUAUGUUACUUGCCCGAGAUUCGAUCAUCGGUAUCUCAAUACCUAGUUCAAUCUCAUUACCGGCAAGUCUCUUUACUCGUUCCGUAAUGCAUCAUCCGCAACUAACUCAUUAGUUAUAUUGCUUGCAAGGCUUAUAGUGAUGUGCAUUACCGAGAGGGCCUAGAGAUACCUCUCCCACAAUCAGAGUGACAAAUCCUAAUCUCGGUCUAUGCCAACUCAACAAUUACCAUCGCUGACACCUGUAGAGCACCUUUAUAAUCACCCAGUUACGUUGUGACGUUUGGUAGCACACAAAGUGUUCCUCCGGUAUCCGGGAGUUGCAUAAUCUCAUAGUCAUAUGGACAUGUAUAAGUCAUGAAUAAAGAAAUAGUAAUGUACUAAACGAUCAAGUGCUAAGCUAACGGAAUGGGUCAAGUCAAUCACAUCAUUCUCUAAUGAUGUGAUCCCGUUAAUCAAAUGACAACUCAUGUCUAUGGCUAGGAAACUUAAUCAUCUUUGAUUCAACGAGCUAGUCAAGUAGAGGCAUACUAGUGACACUUUGUUUGUCUAUGUAUCCACACAUGUACUAAGUUUCCGGUUAAUACUAUUCUAGCAUGAAUAAUAAAUAUUUAUCAUGAAAUAAGGAAAUAAAUAAUAACUUUAUUAUUUCCUCUAGGGCAUAUUUCAUUCAGGAAAUAGAUAAUGCACGUAAUGAAAAAUUAGUGAUGUAACUCCUUUUGACUUAGGUUCUAACUAAUAAAAACUUCUGCACAUGCCAUGUUUAAUAAUAACUCACAGAACAUCUUUUUCUCCCAACAAUUCUAAUUUAUACAAACUUUUGGAUAAAUAUAUAUCAAAAGUGCUCGCCUGUUUAAGCGCGACCGUUGUUGACUAGUUAUCGGCUAAUGGUAGAUGGAGACAUGGUGGAAAUACGACGGACUGCUAGACACAUGCAUCUGACUAGGGCAGUUACUUCUAUGCGUCGAACAUGUCUUUGAAUAUUGCAGAAAAUGGGCGGUUUCAUAUGAAGUAGUAGCCCAGACUUGUUUGAUCGAUGCCAUAAAUAUGAACGGAUUGUCUUUUCAAAAAGGAGCUCAAAACACCCGGCAUAUCAACAAAAUACUGUAGAGAGCUAAUUGAAAAUGCGGAAAACAAGAUCCAUUUCAUGGUUUACAGCACAGACAUCAAACAACAUGAGGUCAAGCCUAAUUAAGGUCCAAAGAAUAUCACGUGAACCAUAUGCUCAGAGUUUAUAUCCAUAGGAAAAUGAUACAACAUAUGAUAUUAUAUCUCAAUCAUGGAGUCGGCACGUCCUGAACCAAAUGGGCAUAUGCACCCACUUUUUGAAAUAUGCAUUUUAAACAUGUUUUAAAAUGUCUAAAAAUUCAAAAGAAAAUUUCACAUAUACAUGUUCACAUAUGUGUGUGCACGGCACAAAGUUUUGUGAAAAAAAUGUCUCUUCGAUUUGUCUCCGCAAAAAAGACAAAUUUUGAUGCUUCUAAAUAGAGUUUUAUGACAUAUUUUUUUGUCUUUUUUGCACAUGCCACAAAAAAUUAUUUUUCCACGAAACUUUAUGCACGCACAUAAACACAUGAAGGCGUCUCCGUGCAACCUUUUUCAGUUUAUUUUAGCAUUUAGAAAUGUGUUUUUCAAAAUGGGUUCAUAUGUACCCGAAUUCAUCGAUGCACUUUCCCUCAAUCAUGGCAGUACAUCAAGCAGGCAGCAACAUGGCAUCCACCAUGAUAUCUUUUAUUGUAGCAACUAGCAACGAAAGAAAAUACAGACAAGCACAUAAACAAACCGACACACUGGUUUGGGUACUCUCAAUGGGAUCCAGUUUUAUUGAACACGAAGGCGAGACAUAACUUUGG